rnacentral:lncRNA from 1 species
CUCUGGGAAAUGAAGAGGCGAACGAUGCCGUUGAGAGUUGCGACCAAGCCUGCUCUAGCUUCUGCAGCGUGCAUGUUGGCAGCGCCACCGUGGUUGCUUAAGCAAAUGCAUCCAACUAGAUCGUCCUUGUGCUGAAUAAUUGGAUAUCGUAUCCACUUAAAGCUGCCUUGUGUAGUACGUCUUUGUGUCUCUCUUUAUAUUCCAAUAAGGUCGGUGAUCUUGAUGCCACACACUCAGAUGUGUGUUCAUCUCCAGAUACUACUCCAUGCUACCUGCCCUUUGUGUUUUGUUCAAUAACUGGGUAUCAUAUCCCAACCAGUAUGCCGUCUGUUUUGUGUUUGUUUCCUUCUAGUUCCAAAAGGGUCAUCAUGAUGUUACCUUCUUUCAAUAUGGUGCUUUGCAUGACUACUGUUGUAUGGUACCAUCUUGUGGCCAAUAAGUACAUCUUAUCCUAUGACCCUUUGCUAUGACCCUUUGCAAAUAAGUAGAAGAUUGUUAUAAGCGUCAAUACUCAGUAUAAUUGAUCGCUGCUGUGAGUUCCCUUUCAGCUUAUCGUAGGCAUACAUUAUUGCUAGCACGGUAAAGCCAACCAACACGAAUGAUGAAGUAAACGUAGCGGUACUUCUGUAUACCAACACCCUUACUUAAAUGUACCGGUGUCAUUCCCUACUGGCACAUAUAUUCUUAUAUGCUAGCCAGCUUGUAAAAUUAACCAAUUAAAAUAAUUAUUUCAAGAUAGAAAUAACUUAUCGGCUUCUGGAAGCAUGUGUAAUGUGAAUUCAAGGACUCGACGGAAGUUGAAUCACUUCAUCUAUAUUGCUUUCAGGAUUUUGGGUAACUAAAUUUAACAUUUGCACAUACAAAUGUUAAAGUACAAAUGUUAAAUCUAGUUACCCAAGCAGAAUAUGAAGAUAGUUUAUAGUAUAUAUAUACUAUAAAUAUACUAUAUAAAUCUAGUUAACAUUUAGUCUAAAUGUUAAAUCUAGUUACCUAAAAUCCUGAAAGCAAAAUGUAUAAAUAUAUAUCUUUUAAGGCAGUAUAAGCUUCGAUUCCUAUUGCUGCUCUGUUAAAUCUCAUCUUUCGUUGUGGCCCAACACUCUAGUAUGCAUGUUGCACCAAGCUUCUUUGAGCCGCUCUGCCCUCUGAUUUUGCUGUGUAGGGGAAUCUUUAUCAGGUUGGGCUACUUCCAGUUGUGCGAUGUAAAGAUUCGUAUUUUCUAGAAGGUAGACAAAAAACUCGCGUUCUCUUAAGGCAACAACCGGAAGAUUCUGCAGCGCAUAGGGCAUACCAUUAUUGUAGAAACGACCUUUAGUACCGAUCUCCAACCCCCUUUAAAACUGGUUUUGCAACCGGUACCGUUAUGUCGGUCCUUUAGUACCAGAUCAAAUAACCGGUACUAAAAGAGUCAACUAAAAGGACUCUUUUAGUACCGGUUGGUAACCAGUAUCAACUUGUUUUGUGGCCAAAAAAAUAAAGAAAAAAACAGUCAGAAGGCUCGCACACACGCGCAUCACAUGAAAUAUGCGUGUGCGGGGUCCAUGGGAUUCGAACCCAUGAAAUCAAGCUACGCGCGACCCUUCGUUACCAUCUCACCUGAAGUAACCCGUGGAGGAGGCUUUAGUACCGGGUCAUAACACCACCCGGUACUAAAAGUGACUCUUCAGUACCGGGUCAUAACACCACCCGGUACUAGUAUCGGAUGGUGUAAUGACCCGAUACUAAAAGGCCUCUAGGGACCCUCAAAUUUGAACCCGGUACUAAUGCUAAUAUUAGUACCGGGUCAAAGUGCAGCCAGAACUAAAGCAUGGGAUGAAAGGUCAUAUUUCUAGUAGUGUAUAGUUGUUGUGAAGGACUUACUUGGCUGUCCUCUCUCUUCUCCAUCCCCUUGGUCUUACGCCGCCGCUCGCACGCGAGCUGGUGCCCAACCAGAGGAGUGAGAGCUAGGGGCAGGUUGGGAGGUGGGGAUAGCGACUGGUGGCCAGGGUGAUGGUUGAUCCUGGCGGGGUUAGGGUUUUAGGGUUUUCGAGCUUCCUAUGGUCGGCGAACCUAGAGGAGGAGCUCAACAUCAGCUGCAACCCGCGAUGGUGGUGGUUUGGCCAGCGCCCGAGGCGAGGCAGCGCGGGAGUGCUGCCGGUGGGUUGGUGUUGGCACUCAUUAUUGACAACUAUUUUGUUCAUAAAAUAACACUCAAACUUGCUGCUGCUGCCGCCGCCAUCGCCACCCUAGCCAUAAUAUAAAGGCAAAAUUUGCUAAAGGACAUGCAAAAUGAUGCUAGUUUGCUGGCGGGCAUCGUUGACCUUGUAAUAUGCUACAAGACACUCUAGUUGUGUAUCAAUUUGCUGAAAGACAUUGCUAUGACUAAAAUAAUGUUUCUGGACUGAGUUGGAGAGAGAGAUGGAGUGAAAUGUCUGUUUUGCCCAUGACCCCACUGGUCAGAUCCUUCUUCUUCCACCCUCCUUUGUUCUUUCUUCAACCAUUACCCAGCUCCAGCGUGUUGCAGAUCUACGAGGGUGGCGGCCUGGGGCGAGGGGCAUUGCUCGCCCUCGGAGGAGCGCUGCGAGCGACGGCGCGGGGGCGGCAACCGCGCGUCAGAACCUGACUGUUCGUUAGCUCCUCUCGCUGCUGGGGAAGAAGGAGGGGGAUGGGCCAUGGACGGGGUUCCCUUGAAAACCUCAGCGUCGAGCUCGGGCGGCUACGCGCAGGCAGCACUAGGCUGCUUCACGGGGAGGGGGCGCGGCCAAUCAUUGGCACCCCACUGGUCCAAUGCUGAUGAAGAUGGUGCCAGCGUCGUGUGAGGACAUCUCAUCUCCUCGAGUUCCAUGGCCAGCACAGGUGAGCUGCCGCUACCACAAAACAGAGAUUUCGUGAGAGUCAAAAAACCUUAUGAAAAUAGCUAAAACCAUCAUGAAAAUAAUCCGUGACAUGACACUCUCACGAAAAUCCUCUCACAAAUAUGGUGCCAUGAAAAUACCAUUUUCAUGAGAGUGAACUGUCAUGAUUUUAUUUCGUGAGAGUAUUUCCUAUCAAUGACCUCCACGAAAUACUUUGUGCCACCAGGUCUUCAAGAUCAUUUUCAUGAGAGCUGAACAUCAGGAAAAGUCCGCCACAAAUGUUUUUCUUGGAGCCUCUAACUCUCAUGAAAAUCAUGCGGGCCGCCACGAAAAACAGCAUGACCAAAUGACAAAUUUUAUUUUCAUGUGUUCAUACCGUGAAAAUGGUCAUUUUCAUGAGAGUUGAUGAAACAAAAAAUAGUGCCAUUUUCAUGAGAGUUCAAGCAACCAGGAAAAGACACUAAUAAACAUCCAGAUCCCAUCCAGCACACAUCCAUGCACACAUAUAACCCACAUAUUGCUCCAGCACACAUCCAUGCAUAUACAAGAUCCAAAUGUUAAUAUAGUAGACAUCCAUGCCUGAACUAGUCUGCCACACAAGUCAUUGAUGCUACAAAUCCUACAAUCGCAGCAUGUGCAUACAAGUCACAGAAUGAGACAAUGUACCCAAAACUAAAAGGUUAGCAUCAACUGUGCUUCAACCAAAGUUGUCAUCCCAACUCUCCUCUUCAUCCAUGCCAUUCUUGUCAUGGCCGUCACUGUCAGUCCCCAUGGCAUUGCCAAUGCUGUGCAUGUCUUGGUAGGAACCUACAUGUGAUGAACCAGUAACCUGCAAAAAGAACUCAAAGGAUCUUGUUCUCAUAUUGUUCUCAUAUUGUAGCUGUGAAAUUCUUACAAGUAGUGUUGCAAUCAGUUCACUUUGAACCAAAAGAGCUCAAAGGAUCUUGUCCUAAAAGUUCCUCAUAAAGCUUAUGGGUUUGCUGGUGGAACUGGAAGGGCUUGAUGCAGCAGAUGCCAUUCUGCAAUAGAGAAAAAUUUAGAGAGCAGUAAUAGUUAAAAUUGGAUGCAGCAGAUACACAUGAAACUAGUAUUUAUACAAGUCUAUACAAUUAAAAUCUAAGGAGACUUAUCAUCGUUUUCAUGUGUUGCGAAUUAAAAUAAUGAAGGAUACACUGUUAGGUGAAAAUUCAAGAAACAAAAUUUUGCAUAGAGAUAAAGGUCCAACAUUAUUACAAGUUAAGGUAGUUUUAAAUAUCCUUGUAAUCUUCCUUUGGUUUCCUCAACGAUUCGAAGACAAUAACCUUGCUUCUAUCAAUGAUAAUUAUAAGGAGAAUCCAGUGGAAACUGUGUAUUCAUAUUAGAACUACCUAAGGUUAAUUAGGUUAGGAAAGGAAAUCGAAAAUAGAUGGUACCCACACUUACUUAAAGUUGUCGGGCAAUAGUAUGUAAUGCUUGUAAUUCCGUUGCUCCAAGAAUUUGUAUAUGUGGUCCAAUGUAGACUUUGGUUGAUCCCGUAUCUGCUGUUGGUUAAAUAAGUGUUUCUAGCCAUUUCUAGCCAUUAGAACUGGGACUAAAGGGGGCUCUUUAGUACGGGUUGAUAUUACUAACCGGGAUUAAAGAGCCCCCAUUAGAGUUGGUUUUUGGAUGCGGAACUAACAACUCCUUUAGUCCUGAGUACGAAAACGACUGAGAUAUUUGUUGCUUGGUUGAAGGUCCUUUCUCUACCGUGAAUAUUGCCAGAAAGAAUUGAAAGAGACUGCUUGCUAAAAAUAUGUCAUAGAUGUAGACCAAGCUACCAAGGAGGUAGCACUAGUAGAGAAUUGACUUUCGAGCCGCCCCCUUUUAUCCCGGUUUAAAGUUGGCCCAGGACAAAAGGGGGUGCGCCGGGGUGCGGAAAUUUGGAGGGGAGCAUUACUCCCGGUUGGUAAUUGCAACCGGGACUAAAGGCCCCCCUUUAGUCCCGGUUGCAACGGCUAGCUGGGGGGCAUCGGUGGCCGGACCCUUUUAUCCCGGUUGGAUCCUCCAACCGGGAUAAAAGGGACUCCCUUUUAUCCCGUUGGAGGAACCAACUGCGAUAAAAAGUUUAGUCCCGGUUGGUGCCUCCAACCGGGAUAAAAGGGUGUCCCUUUUAUCCCGGUUGGAGGAUCCAACCGGGACUAAACUUCCAACCGGGACAAAAGGUGUUUCCUUUUGUCUCGGUUGGAGUUUUUAACCGGGAUAAAAACUCAUCCCCCACUAUGUCCCGAGACAUAGACUUUCUUCUUCCUCCAGCCCGAGCCAGUCCAGCACAUUGAUAGAGAGCUGAGCUUCACCUACUCUCCGGUGGUGCCAAAGCAAGGGAGGUGCUGCCCGAAGUUUUUUCCCUCAUUUUCGUGGGAAUUUGACUCAGCCAACACAAGUGUUGCGAAGGUUUGCUACUUCAUCCUCGUGUUAUGCUUUGAUUUAUGCUUUGGAGAUGGAAAGAUUAUUUGCUACAAUGUGAUGAUGAAGUAGAAAAAUGGAGAGGUAUUUUGAGCUAGAAUGUGAGGGAGAUUGAUGUGUCAUAUAUAGUAUGCAUUAUUUCAGUGGUUUAAAAAUGAUGCUACCUUGUCUAGACGGUUUAUCUUAUCAAAUUCAAUAUGGUUUUUUAAAUCCAUAUACUUGUUGAACUUGCAUACCGUGUUCAUUUCGGCGAGAAUGUUCUCCGCCGAGCAGCAACGUAUGUCAAGAAGGAGGUUCGAUUCUACGAGAAAGAGUGGAUACGGACAUCGUGACCAUGUCCCCUUUUCCGUAGCAUCUAACCUCUUUCAUGACGAAGUGCGGUGCCACCCAGCUGAGGACAUCCUCGCGAAAUGAACACGGUCUUCAAGUUCAACAACUUCUGUAGUGGUAAGGAAAGAAUUUUUGUACAUAGAUGACUUCUGCUACUUGUUGAACUUGCAUACCGUGUUCAUCUCUCCGAGGAUGUUUUCCGCCGAGCAGCAACGUAUGUCAAGAAGGAGGUUUGAUUCUACGAGAAAGAGUGGAUACGGACAUCGUGACCGUGUCCCUUUUUCCGUAGCAUCUAACCUCUUUCAUGACGAAUACCGGUCCCGCCUAGUUGAGGACAUCCUCGCGAGAUGAUCACGGUCUUGAAGUUGAACAACUUAUGCAGUGUUAAGAUGAUCACGAUCUUUAAUCGAUUUUCACGCGUAAUCCAUUAUCAAGUGUAAUCCAUUUUCAUGCGUAAUACGAUGCAGAUGGACUAGCAAUGGAUGUAUAAUGCAGACAGGCGGAGCAAGGCGUUUAUUGAUGGCUUGCAUUAUUUUCUCGAAGUGGCAAAAGCGAACAAGCCAGAGAAUGGGUUCGUAUGUUGUCCAUGCUUCCAAUGCAAUAACAGGAAGGAGUAUUCAAACGAUUCCUGGGGGACUAUUCACAGCCACUUGUUUAAAUACGGUUUCAUGCCUAACUAUUUGGUUUGGACCAAGCACGGUAAACUAGGGGUUGUAAUGGAAGAUGGCGAGGAGGAGGAGGAAGAUGACACCAUUCCGGACUGGGUUGCAGGCCAAGCUUUUGCAGGUACUACAAUGGGCGAGGCUGAUGAAGAUGAGUUUGCAGAAAAUGACCCUACUGAUGACCUUGGUCAGGUGAUACAAGAUGCAUACAGAGAUUGCGAAACUGAGAAGGAAGCAGCAAAGUUGCAGCGCAUGAUAGAUGAUCACCAAAAAUUGUUGUACCGAGGUUGCCAGCAGGACCAUAAAAAACUAGGUACGACACUAGAAUUUGUGCAAUGGAAGGCAAAAAAUGGUGUGUCCGAUAAGGCAUUUCAGGGGAUGUUGAACAUUGUCAAGAAGAUUCUCCCCGAGAAUAAUGAAUUACCGUCCACAACAUAUGAAGCUAAACAGAUUAUUUGUCCUCUUGGAUUGGAUGUUCAGAAGAUACACGCAUGCCCUAAUGACUGUAUCCUCUAUCGUGGUGAUGAAUACGAGAAAUUGGAUGCUUGUCCCGUCUGCGAAGCCCUGCGGUAUAAGAUCAGGCGAGAUGAUCCUGGUGAUGUCGAGGGGCAGUCUCCCAAGAAGAGAGUUCCCGCGAAGGUGAUGUGGUAUUUCCCUAUAAUACCACGCUUGAAGCGCUUGUUCAGGAACAAGGCGAAUGCUAAGUUGAUGCGAUGGCACAAAGAAGACCGUAAGGAAGAUGAGAUGCUGAGACACCCCGCAGAUGGGGCACAGUGGAGAUCAAUUGAUAGAAAAUUCCCAGACUUUGAAAGUGAAGCAAGGAACAUAAGGUUUGGUUUAAGCACUGAUGGAUUCAAUUCAUUGGGUGAGUUGAGUAGUGGUCAUAGUACUUGGCCUGUGACCCUUUGUAUGUUCAACCUUCCUCCUUGGCUGUGCAUGAAGCGGAAGUUCAUUAUGAUGCCGGCGCUAAUCCAAGGCCCAAAACAACCCGGCAACGACAUUGACGUGUACCUAAGGCCGUUGGUUGAUAACCUUUUACAGCUCUGGAAGGAAGAAGGUGUACGUGUGUGGGAUGAGGAUAGACAAGAGAUCUUUAAUCUACGAGCACUGUUGUUCGUAACCAUCAACGAUUGGCCUGCAUUGAGUAACCUUUCAGGACAGACAAAUAAGGGAUAUCGGGCAUGCACCCACUGUUUAGACGACACAGACAGCAUGUACUUGAAGCACUGUAAGAAGGUCGUCUAUAUGGGUCAUCGUCGAUUUCUCCCUGCUCACCACCAGCUGAGAAAGAGCGGGAUGCAUUUCAAAGGGGCGCCAGACCAUCGUAAAAAACCUGCACACCGUAAUGGAAAGCGUGUGUUUGAGAUGAUGAAGGAUGUAUAUGUAGUCUUCGGAAAGGGACUUGGUAGCCAACCUGUUCCGAACGACGAUAACGGACAUGCACCCAUGUGGAAGAAAAAGUCAAUAUUUUGGGAGCUACCUUAUUGGGAAAUCCUAGAGGUUCGCAACGCAAUAGACGUGAUGCACCUGACGAAGAAUCUUUGCGUGAACGUGCUAGGCUUCAUGGGUGUUUAUGGAACCUCAAAAGAUACAUUGGAAGCACGACAGGACCUGAAAGCCAUGGGGCAACGAGAUGACCUACAUCCGGAAAAGAGAGAUAAUGGACAGCACUACUUACGUCCUGCCAGUUACACUCUCAGCAAGGAAGAGAAGGAUAGCAUGUUUGAAUGCUUGAAUAGUAUGAAGGUCCCGUCUGGGUACUCCUCGAAUAUAAAGGGAAUAAUAAAUAUGAAACAAAAGAAGUUUACAAAUCUCAAGGCUCAUGACUGCCACAUGUUGAUGACCCAGUUGCUUCCGGUUGCACUGAGGGGUGUUCUACCAGAAAAUGUCCGGUUGCCGCUCGUAAAGCUAUGCGCGUUUCUCAAUGCGAUUUCGCAGAAGGCAAUCGAUCCAUCCAAGCUAUCAAAGCUACAGAACGAUGUGGUGCAAUGUCUUGUCAGUUUUGAGUUGUUAUUUCCACCAUCCUUCUUCAAUAUUAUGACGCACUUACUGGUUCACCUAGUAAAAGAGAUUGGUAUUCUCGGACCUGUAUACCUGCACAAUAUGUGGCCUUUCGAGAGGUGCAUGGCAGUCCUAAAAAACUAUGUUCUUAAUCGUGCCCGUCCAGAAGGAAGCAUCGCCAGGGGAUAUGGAACAGAGGAGGUGAUCGAGUUUUGUGUUGAUUUUAUUGAUUCAAUUGACUCGAUUGGGGUUCCAACUUCACGCCACGAGGGGAGGCUCCGAGGAAUGGGCACCAUUGGAAGGAAAUCAAGUUUGAGCAAUGAUACUGAUUUGUUCGACAAGGCACACUACACUGUUCUACAACAGUCAUCCUUUGUGUCUCCGUAUAUCGAGCAGCACAGGCAGAUGGUAGCUUCCAAAAACCCGACCAAAUCCGAUGCUUGGCUUACCCGUCAUCACAUGGAAACUUUUCCCUCCUGGUUGCGCCAACAACUUAUGGGUAACUCUGAGAUUCACCCACAGCUUGCCUGGUUAGCCAGGGGACCUACUACCACAAUCGUCGAAUUCCAAGGCUAUGAGAUAAAUGGUUACACAUUUUACACGAGAGCCAAGGACCAGAAAAGCACGAACCAGAAUAGUGGUGUCCGCAUAGAUGCCAUGGACAGAAAUAAUAGCAAGGAGUCGUAUUAUGGUUUCAUACAGGAGAUAUGGGAACUCGAAUACGGACCGCUGUACAUCCCUCUAUUUCUUUGCAAUUGGGUGAAGCUAACUGCCGUCACCAAAGAUCAGUACGGAAUGACAAUAGUAGAUCUGAGCAAGACUGGAUACAGUGAUGACCCAUUCGUACUUGCCAAUGAUGUGCAUCAGGUGUUCUAUGUGAAGGACAUGUGCAGCAAACCCAAGAGGAAUCCAGAAGAGACAUGGGAGCCAAAGUGCCACAUAGUUCUUCCAGGUAAAAGAAAAAUCGUGGGAGUCGAGGAUAAAACAGACCAAUCAGAUGAUUAUGAUCAGUUUGAUGGCAUGCCUCCAUUCGCCGUUGAAGUUGAUCCAAGCAUCCUGCUAUCCAAAGAAGAGGCUCCGUACUUACGCCGCGAUCAUGAUCAAGGAACUUUCGUGAAGAAGAAAUUUUACAACGUUGUAUUGUAAUGCGUUAAAUGUACAUGACCUUUGUGUAUUAAUUGAUACAAUUUGUAAUGUACCCUAUGUAUGAUUUCAUGUGUUAUUAAAUUUGUUAGGUGAAGAUUUUUUAGAUAAACAUGAACAUUGUUAACCACAUACUAACAUGGAUUUUUCUGCUGUUGACGUCGGAUUUCGUCAUCAGUAGAAUCGGCGCCAAAGAGGAAAGAAAUCGAAGGAGGACGGAUGGAAAUCGGCCAAAAGGUGUUACAGUGCGGAAUCGGUCAAGUGGCUUUUACUUCGCUUCAGAGUGAAUACGCCGGGUUCCCAAUCGGCAAUCCUUUGCUGAUAAGAAAUCGGCCGAUCAGGAAGGUGGACUAAGGUGGGCCUGUAUGGGCUUGGAAAGAUGGAAGGAUAAGGUGGAGUUCAGCCCAUGAAGCGUGGGGUAAUUAGUUUAGCUCGGAUUGUGCUUGUAGAUAUUUGUUUUCUGUUUAAAUUAGAGAUAGAGUCCUAGUCGGUUAAGAAGAUUAUUUGUACGGGGCUAUAAAUAGCUACCUUUGUAAAUCUGUAAAAAAAAAACAAUCAAUCAAUACAACAAGUUACUUUAUUCUUCGUACUUACUUUCGAGCAGGCGACUUCGCCAUCACUUUUCCUUCUCACGAGUUCGUGCGGGUUGGCAGGGCUGCAUCAUCUUGAUCUCCGGCCGAUUCUGUAAGUUCCGUUUAUCGAGUAAUAUCUAAGCUUUAACUUCCGGCGCAUCGCUGUUGUUUCGUUUAGAUUUUAUUCAUCAGUUAUCGAUAUCGACUAGAUUCAUAGGUUUUUACCUGUUCUCCUAGUUUUUAUCACCAGUUACCCCGCUAGGAAUCGGUAGUAUCGGCUUUCAUUACUUUCUGUUACCAAAUCCAUCUGUUGCCGAUUAGAUCUUUUCCUGGUGCUGUUACUACGUGCCUUGUACCGAUUACUUUAAUAUUUUUCUAUCUACAAGGCUACGGGGGUCGUGCUGUCUUGUAGCCGAUUUCUUUACCACAGUAAAUCGGCCGAUCUGCCGAUAAGCUCUCUCGAUCGGAAACUUAGCCGAUCGUAGUUACUGAUUUUGACACGUGUUCUUCCUUGCCAAUCAACAGGUCAGAUUGGCUGGCACGCCGCGCGAACCGCACCAGGGCAUUCACCCGAACAGGAGCUAAGCAGAUUCUCCCGGGUCGUGUGUCGGCCGCUGGGAUUCGGUUGACCGAUUUCUAGCGCCAACACACUUUUGGCACGCCCGGUGGGACCAUUACAACCGCUGUCUUGUCGAAAGCUGCUGAAGUCUCCGAAGAUAACGUCAUCGAAGUGACGGAGGCAGAUCUAAAGGACGACCAAAAAGAAGAUCUAAAUCAGUAUUUGGAGCAAGUCCGGAAAACUUGCUUGAAAUCCUUCAGUCGUUCCAGGAGCGGGGAAACUGUUAAAAAGUCUCCUUUCCCUACUCCCCGCCAGAUCACGAUUUCAGAAGAUUCGGACAAAAUGUCCGAUAUGAUUCAGCAAUCUCUUCAUCACGCCUUCAUCAACCAAUCCCCGGUACUUUCAAACAUGGUGCACAAUGCUGUUGUCAACUCUUUCGCCGGAGGUAUACCACAGGGGUACAGGGGGCCUACGUAUUUUCAGCCGAUUCCACCAAAUCAGGCUUAUCAGGCUUCACAGCCGAUCCAAUCCUCUGUCGGAGGAUCUGGUGCUUCUACGUCAUCAACUCCUUUGGGAUACGGCUCCACUGCACCACUCCCUCCAGUCAUUCCUUUACCCUGGGGGGCACCCUUAAACACGACCGGUUUGAAUCAAUCGGUCAGCCAAGGAAAUCCUCCGUUCCAGACACCCUCCCAAACGGCCACUCGGCCGAUCAUACCACCAUACCAGCCUAUCGCUCCGGAGGUCAACAAGACGUCAGAGCUCAUGCUAUAUGAUGGAACAAGUGGUUCAUACAAGCAGCCGUCCUUUACUACACCGCCGGCUUAUACUCAGAUACCACCUUUUCAUCAACCUCCUUUUAUUCAACCUCCGAUUUAUCAACAUGUGCCGAUUCCGCCGCCAAUUAUUCCCCAACAACAACCGGAUUGGACGGCGCAAAUCGCGGAGGUAAUGCAAGAACAAUUCGGACUGAAGCCGAAGGUGCAAACUUAUACCUACAGGACACCAUACCCAUCUACGUACGACUUGUUGCCGUUUCCCCAUCGGUACAAAGUCCCGGAUUUCACUAAAUUUUCCGGAAUAUAUGAUACUUCUACCGUGGAACAUGUGAAUAGAUUCAUCAUCCAAUGCGGAGAAGCAGCUACGCAAGAUGCCCUACGGGUACGGUUGUUCUCGUCAUCUUUGUCUGGAUCGGCUUUCCAAUGGUUCACCACUUUGCCACCAAACUCGAUUAUCACAUGGGCCGAUCUAGAGAGGCAGUUCCACAAGUACUUCUAUGCUGGAGUCCACGAAAUGAAGUUGUCUGAUUUAACUAGCCUCCGGCAACGAAGUGAUGAGCCGAUACCCUCGUACAUACAGAGGUUUCGGGAAAUCAGAAACAAAUGCUACUCCUUGGCUCUAACCGAUGCGCAGUUGGCCGAUAUAGCUUUCCAAGGCCUGCUGCCACACAUUAAGGAGAAAUAUGCUUCGCAAGAAUUCGAGAGCCUGAGCCAGAUUGUCCACCGAUUGUCCGGACAAGAGGUGCGUCCAUUCGAUCCAAGAAGGAAUUUCCAGAAGAAAGUGGCGUUCCUGGAAGAAUUAGAGGACGAGGAAGACGCCGACAUCGGACUUGCAGAGUGGAUUAAAGGAAAGAAGCCGAUAUCAUGCCCGUUCGGCAAAAAGGAGCCGGAAGCAUUUGGUUUCGAUACAACUAAAGCUGACAAAAUCUUUGAUCUUCUACUCCAGGAAGGACAAAUUAAACUCUCGCCUUACCACACGAUACCCUCUGCCGAACAAUUGAAGAAGAUGAAGUAUUGCAAGUGGCAUAACGCCACAUCACAUGAUACCAACGCCAUUGAGCAAGGCAGACUCAAAUUUGAAGUGCCGGCAAAACUGGCUAAACCUAUGAAGAUUGAUCAACACCCUUUUCCUACCAACAUGGUGGAUACGGGUAAGAAUCCCCUCCAAACAAAAGUGCUGACGUCCGAAUCGGCAAAAAGGAGCGGCUCUGUCGACCCCAGAAAUCAAGUUACACCCGAAGACAUCAAAGGGAAACGGCGAAUGGAGGACGACGAUGGUGAGUCUGAUAGACCACGUAUUACUUCCCAGUUCCUGCUCCAAAAGUACCAACGCCAACAUGAACGAUCGAGGUCCCGAGAGGAAGCAAUGCGUCGACACGAAGAACACUGGAGAUGCCCAUUCUUCAUCCAUUGUUGGGAAAAUAACCUCAGGCUUCCAUCAGCCGAUACUUGCCCAGAGUGCAACGGUCCCUAUCGAAGCAAUCGGCCGAUUACAAGGUCUCGCUCCAGAGACGGAAGGCCAGAACCGAUCAGCAGGAAUCGGCGCAACCCAGAUGAUCAGCGCCCUUCCAUGCGUGAUCGGCUGGGGGGCAGAAGUGACCGAUAUGAUCGGUCAGAAGAUAGAAGCCAUAAUAGGCAGGGGGGCAGGACCGAUCGACAUGAUCAAUCAAGUAGCAAAGCCAGCGUUCACAGUCGGCUCCAAGACAUGGCCGAUGCUCGGGUAACAGACGAGAACCCGUUAGGACGCGAGCCAGAAUGGGAACGCGCCAGGAAAGAAGGGAGGCCAAUAAACCCCAGAUGGUGUCCCGAUGGUUUGACCAAAUCACAAAAACGAAGAGUCCAACGCCUCCGCCAAUGGGAACAGCAAGAAGAAGAAAGCGCGAUGGACAAGAAGGAAGGGAGGCCUCGGGUAUGGCGCCCCAAAGGAAACGACAAGGGCAACGAUGAAUCGGCGGGUGAUGAAUCGGCAGCCGAAAUCGGUAUGGUUUUCAUAUUGCCGACGGAGUUUAUGACCCCUGCCGAUCAACAGAACGUGUCGGCAAUAGAGGAACAAACAGCACGGUUGGCGUUAGAACCAAUGAUGGCCACGUUCGAAAAGCCCGAAGACGACGAACGACAACAUAUGAAGGCGUUGUUUCUUAAAGGGCAUGUUGACGGUCGCCCCCUCACUAAAUUGAUGGUCGACGGGGGAGCUGCCGUCAACAUCAUGCCGUAUGCCAUACUCCGAAAGCUGGGAAAGAGCGAUGACGACCUAACCAGGACGGACAUGAUGCUCAAGGACUUCGAAGGCAAGGUGUCAAACGCUCGCGGUGCCCUCUGCGUUGACCUCACCAUCGGCAGUAAGACCCUUCCUACCACGUUUUUCGUCAUUAAUGGCAAAGGGUCCUAUAAUAUGCUUCUUGGACGAGACUGGAUACACGCAAACUGCUGCAUACCGUCAACUAUGCAUCAAUGCCUGGUACAAUGGGUCGGCGACAACAUCGAGGUGGUCAAAGCCGACUCCGCGUACAGCAUCGCAGCAGCCGACGCACAGCAAUGGAGCUGCGAAACCGUCAGGUGCAUAUCAGGUAGGGUGUGGGAAACUGAUUUCCUGAAGGUCACCGAUUUUGGCCUACAGCCGAUCCGAGCAGUCGGCUCUGAAGAAGCGCAAUAAAUGGAUCAGUUCGCCCGAGAAGACGGGAAGCUGGGACACGGAUUCACGUCGGCCGAUUCAUUGGAAAUGGUAGAUUUAGGUGACGGGACCAAACCAAGGCCGACUUUUAUUAGUGCAAAUUUAGAUCCAGAGUACAAGUGUAAAUUGACAAAUUUAUUAAGAGAAUUCAAGGAUUGUUUUGCGUGGGAGUAUCACGAGAUGCCCGGAUUAGAUCGAUCUAUUGUUGAACAUCGGCUACCCAUAAAACCAGGGUAUCGGCCGUACCAACAACCCGCACGGCGAUGCAAUCCUAAAAUUUUACCAGACAUAAAAGCCGAAAUAACUCGGCUAAUUGAAGCGAAAUUUAUUCGGCAAUGUCGUUACGCCGAGUGGAUUUCUAAUAUCGUACCGGUGUAUAAGAAAAACGGGAAACUGCGCGUUUGCGUCGAUUUCAGAAAUCUUAAUCAGGCCACACCGAUGGAUGGCUACCCCAUGCCUACGGCCGAUGUACUGAUCGACGCUGCCGCGGGGCACAAAAUUAUUAGCUUCAUGGAUGGGAACGCCGGAUACAAUCAAAUACUUAUGGCCGAAGAGGACAUACCCAAAACGGCUUUCAGAUGUCCAGGCCAUCUUGGUCUAUUCGAGUGGGUGGUGAUGACUUUCGGUUUGAAGAAUGCUGGUGCUACAUAUCAGAGGGCCAUGAACUAUAUUUUCCACAAACUCAUCGGCCUCCUGGUGGAGAUCUACAUCGACGACGUUGUGGUCAAAUCCAAAAGCCACGAGGAACACCUAGCCGAUUUGCGAAGGGUCCUAGAGUGUACCAAGAAACAUGGUCUUAAGAUGAAUCCCAACAAAUGCGCUUUCGGCGUCUCCGCCGGACAGUUCCUAGGAUUCAUGGUGCACGAACGAGGCAUUGAAGUCAAUCAGAAGACCAUAGCGGCCAUCAACAAAGUCGUCGCUCCGCAGAACAAAACUGAACUACAAUCUCUAAUCGGCAAGGUAAACUUCAUCGGAAGGUUUAUAUCUAAUCUAUCUGGACGGAUCCAGACGUUCACACCACUUCUGAAGUUGAAGCCAGACCAAGAAUUUAUUUGGGGAGAAGAACAGCGCAAGGCGUUAGAAGACAUCAAGCGAUACUUAGUCUCGCCCCCAGUCCUGGUUCCCCCCCAAACGGGUAAGCCGUUUAAACUAUAUUUAUCAGCCGAUGAAAAAGCUAUUGGGUCGGCUCUAGUCCAAGAGUUUGAAGGCAAAGAACGGGUGAUUUAUUACGUUAGUAGAAGACUCCUGGAUGCCGAAACAAGAUAUCCUCCAGUAGAGCGUUUGUGUUUGUGUCUUUACUUCUCGUGCACCAAACUCAGACACUAUCUACUGUCGGCAGAAUGUAUAGUCGUAUGCAAAGAUGAUGUAGUGAAAUACAUGCUGUCACUGCCGAUAUUGAAAGGGCGAAUCGGUAAAUGGAUUUUAGCUUUAUCAGAAUUUGACCUACGGUACGAAUCGGCAAAAGCCAUCAAAGGUCAAGUCAUGGCCGAUUUCGUCGCACAGCACUGUGGGCCGGAGAUCGCCUUCGUGGAACUAGCGCCUUGGCAGUUAUUUUUUGAUGGGUCAUCAUGCGGAGUCGGAUCGGGAAUCAGCAUCGUUCUCAUAUCGCCUCGGGGGGCAAGAUACGAUUUUUCUCUGCCGAUAGAAACCGCCACCACAAACAAUCAAGCGUAAUACAGAGCUGUAUUAAAAGGCUUACGAUUAUUGAGAGAAGUCAAGGCCGAUUCUGUCGAGGUCUUCGGAGAUUCGAUGUUAAUCGUGGAUCAACUAACCGGGAAGGCUGAGUGCAAAGAUGACAUAUUACGAAUUCAUCACGAAGAUUGCCUACAGCUGUUAAAAGAAUUCAGAUCGGCAGUAAUCGAGCAUGUCCCAAGAGACCGCAAUGAGGAAGCGAACAAACUCGCUCAACACGCAUCUGGGUAUCGGCCGAUUCUAGGCGCCAUGGCCUUAGAGCUUGCAGCUGACGAUUGGCGCAAAGAAAUUGCCGAUUACCUAAAGGAUCCGUCUAAAAAGGUGGAGCGGCGAGUACGCUUUCACGCUACCAAAUACGUAUUACUCGAAGAUGAUCUGUUUUACCGAACGAUCGAAGGUGUUCUUCUUAAAUGCCUUGGGACAGAAGAAGCCAAGACUCUAAUGGGAGAAAUCCACGAAGGGGUAUGCGGAGCUCACCAAUCAGCACAUAAGAUGAAGUGGAUGAUCAGAAACAAUGGGUACUAUUGGCCUACGAUCCUUGAAGAUUGUUUCAAAUAUUAUAAGGGUUGUCAGGAGUGUCAAAAGUUUGGAAAUGUCCAGCAUGCACCUGCAUCGGCCAUGAAUCCCAUCAUCAAACCAUGGCCGUUCAGAGGGUGGGGAAUAGACCUUAUCGGCCAAAUUUAUCCACCAUCGAGCAAGGGGCACAAGUUUAUUCUGGUCGCCACCGAUUAUUUCACCAAAUGGGUGGAGGCAAUCCCAUUAAGAACUGUGACUUCGGCUAUCAUGGCCGAUUUUGUAAGGGAUCAUAUCGUCUACCGAUUCGGUAUCCCUCAAACUGUAACAACCGAUCAAGGAACGAUGUUCACAUCGGGGGAAUUUGAGGAGUUUACAACCGAUAUGGGCAUCAAAUUGUUAAAUUCUUCUCUGUAUUACGCUCAGGCCAAUGGUCAAGCAGAAUCUUCCAACAAAGGAAUAAUCAAGUUGAUCAAAAGGAAGAUUGAAGAAUACCCGAAGAAGUGGCACCUGUGUUUAACCGAAGCCCUAUGGGCAUACAGAAUGGCCUGUCAUGGGGCCACCAAGUUAUCUCCUUAUCAGUUGGUAUACGGUCACGAUGCAGUACUUCCAUGGGAAUCGAGGGCAGGAUCAAGGCGCAUUUCACUUCAAGACCAGUUAUCGGCCGACGACUACUCGGCACUUAUGAAAGAAGAACUUGAUGAUGUGGCCGGUCAUCGACUAAGGGCUCUGAUAAGUAUCGAAGAGAAUAAAAAGAGAGUGGCCAGGUGGUACGAUAAAAAGGUCAAAGUCAAGCAGUUCUCCCCCGGAGAUUUGGUAUGGAAGUUAGUACUACCGAUCGGGUCGAAAGAUCCUAAAUUCGGUAAAUGGUCUCCUACCUGGGAAGGGCCGUAUAAAAUCGGCAAAUGCUUAUAUCUUGGAAACAAUAGAAGGAGAAGAAUUCACUAGAGCUCUGAAUGGGAGGUAUUUAAAAAGGUAUUACCCAAGUAUAUGGGUCGGUGCCUAAGGAAUUAAACACGAUCAUACAUGACCGAUACGAUUCGGUCUUGAGACACACAUAAAGUCAACCGGAACGGCCGAUUACAUUCAUUCGGUACGGGCGACGGGUUACAUGGCCGACAAAAUGUUUAGUCGCCCUUAGAACAAAAAUACAGCAACUAAUUAUUCUUUUUCUUACGCUCCCUCUCAGCCCGACCUAACUCUAUCAUGAGUCGGAUGUAUUCUUCUUCUAUGGCCUUCAUUGAAAUCUCCGCUUCGACUUGACCGGGGAGAUCUACGGGAGGGCGCGAAGUCCCCACUCCCGCAUCUUCAAGAACGACUUGCCGAGGGAGUGGAUGACUCCUGUCAAUGGGAGGUCGACGGCUGCCAUUCCUCUCCACGAAGUCCAGGAUCAUUCGGGCCUCCGUGGCGAUGUCGUCUUCAAGAUCGCCACAACGAUCGCCCCUGACAGGUGGAGAUUGCUGGUUACUUUCACUCACCACGGAAUCCAAGACUACGCGAGCCUCCGUGGUAAUGUGAUCCUGGAGCUCUUCUCGGUGAGCCGCGAUCAGCAUCUUGUCCUCCGACGUUAAUGGAUCUUCGGAAUGAAUGCACUCAAUGGCGCGCACGAGCUCGGGGCUAAGACGUUGAGGCUGAAACAAAGAAGGGAUGAGGAGGGAUAUUCUCUUCCUUAGGGUCUAAAAAAGAAAGGAAGGUAGAGGUCAAAAAACUUCACCUGGUUAACAGAGGAAGAAGAAGAUGACGAGGCCAUAGCGAAGAAAUUGCACCGAUGAGAAGGGGCAGAAAGGUUGAACCGAGAGCCAAGAUUGAUGUUACCAGGAGUAAGCGCCGAGCUUGGUAUUUAUAAAAGAAUGCGUGGAAAUCUGGUAAAGCUACGUCCCAUCGGUAAUAAGAAGGCAAUAAAUAGAAAGGGCGUCGCGAGGGGCGGUCAAAGAAGGUAGUAAAUGAUUCGUACAAAACGGUCAGUGUUUUACAGAUUACCCAGAAGGGUAUCGAUGGCCGUGAUGGCCCGACGCCGGAUCUGAUCGGCAGAGUCAAGUACCCGUUGGUCUUCUUCCGCCGAUCCAGGAACCUCCGAUGCGCUGCGAUGGAGUCUCAGUGCCUCGUGAGCAAAGCGUUGCCUCUCCCGUGUUAAAUCGGCAAUAACAGAAGGUAGCUCUUCGAGUUUGUUCUCUUCGGCACUGAUUGCCUUGAUCACUUGCUCCAUUUCCUUGGCAAGCUCCGCCCUACGACGCUUGAGACGGUCUAUUUCUCCUAUGAUCGCCGGACGGGAAUCUUCUAGGACAUGGAUACGCCGAUUCGCCUCUUGAGCCUGACGUUUGAAAGCGUCUUCCUCUUCGCGAGCCUUGGUCAGCUUAGCGCGAUCGGCCAUGUGACGAAGGGCUCUGAAGACCGGGAUCCUCAUAGACUCGAUGAAGGCCGCCGGCGCCAGGGCCUCCUCCGCCUCUUCUGGUACUCGUCCGCUGACGUCAUUGAAGAGCUGCCGAAUCGGCGAGGCGUCUUCUACUAAUCGGCCGAUGUCCCCUUGAAGGAGGGAUCGGAUGCUGGAAAGUUUGGCUCGGACGUCGUCAGGAACGGAACUCAAGGCGACUUGGCGAGAAGCAACUUCUUCGUCGUCAGAGAGGGCGACCGCAAAAGAAAAGAGACUGUUGUCGGGGGUAUCCUGUUCCUGAAGAUAAUAAAGAAAAGAAAUGAACCAGCUGUAAGAAAGAGCAAAUCGGCUAAGAUGGAGGCCGAAACAGAAAAAUACCAUUUUGAAGCGAAUCUCCUCAUGUUGCACUUGAGAAGCCGCCAUGCCUUGCUCGGGGGCCUGCGCCAUGGGUUCAUCAGAUGGAGAGGACUCCACGAUAAUUGGCGCAGUGUUUGGACCAGCCUCCUGACAAGAAAUCGGCGAUCGAGGAGCGAUUGAUGUGCCGAUGGCCUGUGUCAGAAGUUUGAAUAAAUACGGUACGUAAAUGCCCAAAGGAAAUCGGUACGAGAAGUUCUAUACAUUAACGGAAGGAAACGGGGGCACGUCAAUAGCUGGAGGGGCUGCUGCCGAUUGUGGUACUUCUGUAGGGAUGCUCUGUGCAGUUUAAAGAUAAAAGAAAAAUUAAUAUCAAAAAUAAUAAUCGGAGACAGCGCAACUCAGUUUUACCUGUAUGGCCUCCAACAACAACGAUGCGGCGGCCGCCCCAGCUUGCGUCAUGGUUUGAGUAUCGGCACCUUGAAUGACUUGAGGAGGUGGUACGGCCGAAGUGUCUGCCGAUACGCUCACGGGAGGAUCCGCCGAUCCCGUACGAGCCCGGACUCGGCGACUGGUCUUCUUGGUAGUCCUUUUAUGAACUUGUUUCGAUCGGCCAGUAAUCACGUCAACAGACGGGGCGUUAUAGCCGAUAAGGGGAUAAGUAGUGUAUGGAUGACUCUCUAUCAGUCGUCCGCUGCGGCUGUGUGUUGGAGGGAUCCGAUUCUCGGCCUAAAAUAAUAAAAUCAUUAGUACUCGGUCGUGUUAAGGGGAAUAAAAGGGAAUAAAAAUCGGCUAUGUGAAGUACCUCGGCGUUUGGAUCAAUGUUGGUCGGGUCCAGAAGAUUGCAGUAUGCCGAUGCUGAGUUGCAGAAGAGGAAUUGCUUCCAAUCAGCCCACCAUAGUUUGAACGGCUGAACAGCAAAUGGAGCUACUAGCCAGUCGUUCAAGUUAAUUGUACUGGAGUCUGGAAUUCGGUCUCGCAACCGACCGUAAUCUAGGCUAGAUUUGAGAUCAUCUCUAAACUUGAUUUUGCCAGCAAAGUACACCUGAAUCGGCAGCUGACCCAUGCCAAAUUGUCGUGCCGCAGCAGAAGGGUUGUAGAAUUCAUACGUAGGGGCAUCCUUCCCUGAGAAGAAAUUGGCCGGUAGGAUCCCUGGCUUGAUCAACCCUUCAUAGAGAUCUUCAUCAAACCGGCCAGAAGUUGAGUCAAAGCAGGAAGGGAGCUCGAAGAUGGGAAUGUCUCGCUGGUAUGGAAACCAGAUAGUUGCGUCCUCAUUAAAUCCAUCGUAAAAGCACCGAAAGUACUCGGCUACCUUUGUAGCGGAAUACGCACAACCUGGAAAAGCUGAUGCCGCUUCACCAUAAGACAUGCAUCGGCGACGCUCGGUAGGGUCUUCCGCCGAUUCAAUAUUGGGAAACGUCAUGUGGUCCACUGGCUGCCGGGUGAUCCUGUUCAUGUAAAGGUUCAACCAUAGAUUGACGAACCACCAAGGCCCACCUGGGUUGCCGAUUGGUUCUCCCUUGGAAAGUUUUGUGCCGAUUUGGUGGAGCAUGUGGUACACAGCACCCAGAAGAUGUUUCCCGAGAGGAAUGUGGCUUCCUUUGGACAGUGCCUCGGCUAAAGAUUGGGUGUUGGUUGUUGGGCCGGCGGCUCUUCCACAGAAAAGGUGUUUUUCUAGCCACAUCAUCAGGAAAGCGGUGUGCUCCCUAUUAUCAAUAGUACCGGUCUUCUUGUUAUUACUAAUAAAGCCCUUCCAGCUGCCGAUUCCUCUUACGUCCAGCCGAUGCGACGGUACGGUCAGAAGUUGGAAAGGCGUGUCAGGAGAGGAUAUGUCCAGGCCGGUCAAGAGGACCACAUCGGCCAGAGUGGGGGUCAUAGGACCGUGUCCAAAUAAGAAUGCAUUAAGAGCGUCAGACCAAAAAUAGGAAGCCGCCAUCACUAGCGGUUCGUUUUUCUCCAUUUGCGACAGAGAGAGGUUGAUACAUUGGCCGAUUUUGAGUUCAUCCCACAAGACGCUCUUUGACGUGGCCAUCCGUUGGUACCAUUCCCUCCAACCGGGGGUUUCAUUCGGCCAAGAUCUAAAAGUGCUGGCCCAUUGAUCUAAGUUCAUGUCAGAUCGUUUGAAAGGUAUCCGGUCAGUUUCCAAGUUUAUGAGGUCUGCUGGAUCUGGGUCUCCCAUGGGACCAAGGCAAACAAGGCCAGGACUACCCGUGAGAUGGAUAGUGAUUCUAUGUCUAACCGCCUAAAUGAGGAAAAGAGGCAUAAGAAUAUAAGGAAUAGAUCUAAGAUAAAUACGUUACCGAUAGAGGAAAAAUUCGGUGUUUACCUCCGGUAUAAAAUUCUGAGUAAUCGGUGUGGUCGCCGAUGCAGAUGCAGAUGAUGAAGCCGUAAUGGGGAUCGCCAUUGGGAUCUCUGAUGAAGCUCCUUCAUCUAUGGAUGGAGUGACGGUUGUUGCCACCGUUACCGGAGGUGCUACCUCCACCGGGGGCAUUGUCCCUGGAGCAUCGCGUGCUGGGGAAUUACCGGAGGGAGUCGCCAUUGAAGGGGAGGGGAAGAAGUGACAGGAGCUGGAGCUGGAAGGCUUCGAUGGCAAGAUUGAAGAAGGAAGGAAGUGCGCGCGCUGGAAAGAGGGAUGUGAGCUUGAAGAUGAGUUGCGGUGAAAUGAUAUUUAUAGGGUGCCUGAAGAAAGGGUAAAGAUGGAAUUUUCAACGCGCCGGCGCGUCGAGUUUUUCGGGGUAGUGGCUGUCGUGGGCGCCCGUUUCAAAAAAUUGCAAUGAUCAGCCGGGAGACCGCGAAACGGAAGGAUAUUUUCACUGCGGCCGUUUCGGAAGAGAGGUUAUAAAGAAUUUCGAAGUAAAAGGCUAUGUUUUACUCCGAAACUGGGGGGCAUGUGUUGACGCCGGAUUUCGUCAUCAGUAGAAUCGGCGCCAAAGAGGAAAGAAAUCGAAGGAGGACGGAUGGAAAUCGGCCAAAAGGUGCUACAGCGCGGAAUCGGUCAAGUGGCUUUUACUUUGCUUCAGAGUGAAUACGCCGGGUUCCCAAUCGGCAAUCCUUUGCUGAUAAGAAAUCGGCCGAUCAGGAAGGUGGACUAAGGUGGGCCUGUAUGGGCUUGGAAAGAUGGAAGGAUAAGGUGGAGUUCAGCCCAUGAAGCGUGGGGUAAUUAGUUUAGCUCGGAUUGUGCUUGUAGAUAUUUGUUUUCUGUUUAAAUUAGAGAUAGAGUCCUAGUCGGUUAAGAAGAUUAUUUGUACGGGGCUAUAAAUAGCUACCUUUGUAAAUCUGUAAAAAAAAAAAACAAUCAAUCAAUACAACAAGUUACUUUAUUCUUCGUACUUACUUUCGAGCAGGCGACUUCGCCAUCACUUUUCCUUCUCACGAGUUCGUGCGGGUUGGCAGGGCUGCAUCAUCUUGAUCUCCGGCCGAUUCUGUAAGUUCCGUUUAUCGAGUAAUAUCUAAGCUUUAACUUCCGGCGCAUCGCUGUUGUUUCGUUUAGAUUUUAUUCAUCAGUUAUCGAUAUCGACUAGAUUCAUAGGUUUUUACCUGUUCUCCUAGUUUUUAUCACCAGUUACCCCGCUAGGAAUCGGUAGUAUCGGCUUUCAUUACUUUCUGUUACCAAAUCCAUCUGUUGCCGAUUAGAUCUUUUCCUGGUGCUGUUACUACGUGCCUUGUACCGAUUACUUUAAUAUUUUUCUAUCUACAAGGCUACGGGGGUCGUGCUGUCUUGUAGCCGAUUUCUUUACCACAGUAAAUCGGCCGAUCUGCCGAUAAGCUCUCUCGAUCGGAAACUUAGCCGAUCGUAGUUACUGAUUUUGACACGUGUUCUUCCUUGCCAAUCAACAGGUCAGAUUGGCUGGCACGCCGUGCGAACCGCACCAGGGCAUUCACCCGAACAGGAGCUAAGCAGAUUCUCCCGGGUCGUGUGUCGGCCGCUGGGAUUCGGUUGACCGAUUUCUAGCGCCAACAUCUGCGCAUUCAAAUAAUUUAAUUGAAUAAUUUCUUGAUCACAGCAAUGCAGUAAAAUAAAUAUUUUACAGGCUAAAUGAGUUGGUAUAGAAUUAAUGAUUACUUCAUACUUAUUGUCAAUUUACUCGUUAAUUAAAUAUAUUUUUGCAUGUACAAAAUCUGUGAAGGUUUUGUUUUUCAUCCUGAAAUGCAGUGAAAAGGUAAAAUAAAAUCCAUUUCCAAAAAACAGGCGGGAGAAGAAAAAUAGGAAAAAAGACCUUUUGUCUCGGGGCUAACAGCAACCGGGACAAAAGGCCCCCCUUUUAUCCUGGUUGCCAACGGCAACCGGGAUAAAAGGGUACGUUUCGUCUCCCGCCCAAACGUACCCUUUUAUCCCGGUUGCCAACUGCAGCAGGGAUAAAAGGGUACACUCCCAGCCCCACCUGGCGGGGGUACCCUUUUGUCCCGGGUCCCGUCGCCAACCGGGAUAAAAGGGGGGGGGCCUUUUAUCCCGGUUGGUGNNNNNNNNNNNNNNNNNNNNNNNNNNNNNNNNNNNNNNNNNNNNNNNNNNNNNNNNNNNNNNNNNNNNNNNNNNNNNNNNNNNNNNNNNNNNNNNNNNNNGACGAGACGACGACGCGAGACGACGACGGCCGAGGCGAAGACGACGACGGCGGCGUAGGCGGGACGGCGACGAGACGGCGACGAGGGGCGACGAGGAUGGAGCCGGCGACGAGGAUGUGGAGCCGGUGGCCGGAGGCGACGAGGUGGCCGGGGGCCGGGCGCGUCGACGGACGAGGAGGGGAUCGAGGAGGGCCGGCCGGGGGACGACGACGGCGCAAUGGGGGACAUCGACGGCGCAAUGGGGGACGACGACGGCGGCGGCCGGUGAGGGAGGCGGACGGGCGGCGACGGCGGAGAACGCGCGGGACUUGCGAAAUUUUGGCUAAGUGUGUAACUGGCAGGGGGUAGAAGGGAGUACAGUGCCUUUUAACCCCCCCCUUUUAUCCCGGUUCGUAAUAGGACCCGGGACAAAAGGCUCUUUUGUCCCGGGUCCUAUUACGAACCGGGAUAAAAGGGGGGGGUUAAAAGGCACUGUACUCCCUUCUACCCCCUGCCAGUUACACACUUAGCCAAAAUUUCGCAAGUCCCGCGCGUUCUCCGCCGUCGCCGCCCGUCCGCCUCCCUCACCGGCCGCCGCCGUCGUCGUCCCCCAUUGCGCCGUCGAUGUCCCCCAUUGCGCCGUCGUCGUCCCCCGGCCGGCCCUCCUCGAUCCCCUCCUCGUCCGUCGACGCGCCCGGCCCCCGGCCACCUCGUCGCCUCCGGCCACCGGCUCCACAUCCUCGUCGCCGGCUCCAUCCUCGUCGCCCCUCGUCGCCGUCUCGUCGCCGUCCCGCCUACGCCGCCGUCGUCGUCUUCGCCUCGGCCGUCGUCGUCCCGCCGUCGUCGUCUUCGUCCUCGUCGCCGUCCCGCGCGCCGCCCGGCCGCCGCCGUCCCGCCGCCCCGGCCGCCGCCGUCCCGCCACCCCGGCCGCCGCCGUCCCGCCGCCCCGGCCGCCGCCGUCCCGCCGACCCGGCCGCCGCCGACCCGCCGACCCGGCCGCCGCCGUCCCGCCGUCCCGCCGUCCCGGCCGUCGGCCCGCGCGGGAGAGGUCCGCUGCCGCGCCGGCCGGCAGCGCCGGGAGGGUUUUCUUUUUAAGUUAAUUAGAAAAUUAAGUUUUAUUUUUAGAUAGAAUUGUAAUUUUGUUAAGUUAGAUUUUUAGAUUUCUAGUUAGUUUGUUAAGUUAGAUUUCUAGUUAGUUUUUUAAGUUAGAGUUGAUAUAGAGAUCGCCGAGUAGCCGCCGUGAUCGUCGCCUUGUAGCCGCCGUGAUCGCCGCCGAGUAGCCGCCGUGAUCGCCGCCAUCCCGCCGCCCAUCACAACCUAGUAGGCACCGCCCGUGGUUCCGGUGAACCGUCCCCGCCGUACCGCCGCCCUGACCGCCGCCGUCCCGCCUCCGCCGCCCUGAUCGCCGCCGUCCCGCCUCCGCCGCCCUGAUCGCCGCCGUCACAACCUAGGCACCGCACGUGGAUAUUGUUACAAAUUCGUAGAAAUUCGUCAAAAUUCGUAGAAAUUCGUCAAAAUUCGUAGAAAUUCGUAGAAAUUUGUAGAAAUUCAUAGAAAUUCGUAGAAAUUCGUAGAAAUUUGUAGAAAUUCGUAGAAAUUCAUAGAAAUUCGUAGAAAUUCAUAGAAAUUUGUUGAAAUUCGUCAAAAUUCAUAGAAAUAUUUCGGACUUUGUACGAUUCAUGUUAUUUUAUGAUUUCAUUAUAUACAUGUAUGAUUCCAUUCCGGACUUUGUACAAAUUUGUAUUAAGACGAUUUCUAUGACUGUCAUGUAUGAUUCCAUGUAUGUUUCCAUCAAUAGUUGAAAUGGCAGACGAUGAGACCGCAAGGUAUAUCAUGGAGCAGAUAAUCGCUGGUGAUGGUAGUGGCGACAACGUUCCACUAUCAUACACGUAUGAAGAGGGCACCCAGGCGGACAUGUUCCUCAACAUGUCCGCUGAUGGGAAUGAAGAGCAACAGCCGCAACAACAACUUGCCGUGGCGGAAGGUUCCGGCGAGGUAUAUACAACCAUUCUUGUAUUGUUUCACGCCACCGCUACUACUACGUACUAAUUAACGAAUCUUGAACUGUUAGCCCUCCGGAUCGACACAAGGGCAGAAGACCUGAGGUCGUACAAAGGUGAUGGAAGGGAGGCUUGUCAUCACCGAAGUUACAGAAGAGGGCAAGCCGGUUGCUCCCGAGAAAGUAGCAAAGAAGUACGUGAGUCAAAUCGGGGCAAUCGUUCGGGACAACGUGCCUAUCAGCAUCAGAGAAUGGAAGGGCAGAAGAGAUAAUCCGUACGCCCUUCCAGAGAUAGAAAAGAAUAUGCUGUGGGAAGACGUGAAGAGACAUUUCACAUUCCCCGAAGGAUAUAGCGAGAAGGAUGUCAAAGCGUGGACGCUUAAGAAGAUGGCUACUCAAUUCCAGACAUUCAAGAAGAUGCUGGACACCCACUACAUCAAGAAGGGCAAAACUCCAGACUUCAACGCGUGGCCAAAGUUGAGGGACCACUGGGAUGCAUUUGUUGAAUACAAGAGGAGUGAAGAAGGUGUGAAAAAGAUCACGACCAACAUAGCAAAUGCUAGUCAGAAGGGCUACCACCAUCAUUUGGGGUGAGGUGGGUAUGGCUCAGCAAUUCCCAAGUGGAGGAAGAUGGAACAAGAUCUGAUCGAACGGGGAAUCGUACCUGCAACUAUUGAAUGGCCCGAACGAUCAAAGAACUGGUACUACGCUCAUGGAGGCUCCCUAAGCCAAGAGGAUGGGACGCUGAUUUUCAAUGACACAAUACGUGAGAAGGCCGAACAUCUCAUGAAGAACAUUGAAGAUUCCAAGGCUGGGAGGUUGAGGGUGGACCAAGAAAAUGAUGAGCUCACAUUGGCCCUCGGUAAUCCAGAGCACCCAGGACGUUGCCGGGGGUUCGGGGUGGUUCCGUGGAAGUUCGCUUUCCGAGGCGACAGCGCCUCUUACAGAAGCCGGAAGCGAAGAAAGGAACAGAUGGAGGAGAGCUGGUAGCAGAUGGUAGAACAAAGAAUGAUGGAUGAAAUCAAUCGGCGGGUGGCCGACGCAGUUGCGGAGUUGGCGCAAUCUGGAGCAAUGCCGAAUCCUAACACCGCCAGCCCUUCUCAACGCCUCGGGAGCAGUUGUGCUUCUACAGGGGUCCCCGAUGCGCAGACGCCCAGGUUACCCGUGGAGGAGCAAUGGUUCCCCGUGGAUGCCAUCACGCAACGGACCUCAUGUAAGCUGCAUGCACCGGUCGGCAACCUCACUAUUAAGGUAUACUUAUACAUAAUAUUUAUGCAAUCUUGUCAAUUGAUCCAGGCCUCGAGAUCGGAGUUCAACCUGUUUACUUCUACUAUAUGUACAGGUAGCGUACGGGAGUGUGUUACCAACCCUGGCAGGGCAGAGCAGUCAUGGCAUGGACAUUCCAACAGGCUACGCCAGCGUCUGCGUCGAGCAAAUAGUUGAUCCCCAGUAUGAAGGUCUAGAGCUCGACUUCCCGGGAGGCGACGGGGAAAAGACAUUGGCAGAUGCGCUUCAUGGGAUCAUUCUAUGGAAGAAACGCUACAUCAUUAUUCCCCGCACGGAGCCAUCUCCUCAGACCUCAAGACCACUCCCCGUAGAUCCCCAGCAGCGACCUUCUCCUCAUACCUCGAGACCGGCAUCUCCUGCUCCAGGACCGUCUCUUCCAUCUAUAUCAAGGUCUCCAUCUCCACCACAUCCUGGUGCUGGGAGCGACGACGACAAUAACAACACCCCUCCCCGAUCACCGUCACCGGCACCAAGAGCGGCCCCCUCGAAGGAACCUGCAGCACCACUCAAGAAGUCACGAGCACCGCCUCCCAAGCAAAGACAGAGAAAGAAGAAAACAAAGGUCGACCCUGAAGUGGCUCGCAAGGAACGCUUUGAGGCAAUGUCUCAUGAAGAACAGUGGGCAGAAAUCCAACGAGAGGCCAGUGAGUGGUUCAAGAAACAAGCCGAAUUAAAAAAGGCAAGGGAGAUGGAGCCACCGUCAGUAAGUCGGCGAGAUUUAAACUUUUUUAUCAGGAUGGAGGAAGAAGCCAAGAAAAGGAUACCACUCUUGUCAAACUAUGAACGGGCUCUAGUAAAGGCUGAUGAAAAGGAUAAAAGGAAAGGAAAAUCAUCCUCCAGCAGUCCAGUCCCCGACCUCAGCCAUUUAUCAAAAAAAGAUGCUCAACGGGUAAAAGCAAUGCCCUUGGAUCAACAAGCAAAUAUAUUGAAGUUCAUGGAAGAAACAGGUCUGGGACUUGAUGAAUGCAUAGGGCAAGUCGAGACGCCAACUGCACCGCCCCCUGAGCCGAAGUGGACUUAUGAGCUAGGCAAACCUCUAGUAAAGCCUUCAAUGGUACGGAAGCUAUCAACAAAGAUGUACGAAUUCCAUCAAUGGUCGGCAUGAAGGUAAAACCGAUAGAUUUUCACGGUGAAGGGGAGAAAGUGCUGUGGCUAGACUUCAAGGAUAUAUACGAAGUGUACCAUCAUGAUGCCCUGGACGUCUCUCUGAUCAGCGCUUGGAUUCUGUAAGUGUCCGUUUAUUAUCUCUACAUGUAAAUUUUGGCGUGCGUCACCGUACUAACUUCAUCUUCCAUUUCAUGUAGGAUGCUAAUUCAGACAUGCCGCCGAGAGGCGUACCUACAUGUAGGCUUCAUGGAUCCAUCUGUAGUUAACCAACAACAGAUACAAUUAGCGCCGGAAAAAACCUUUGCGGAAAUAUACAAUUUCCUACACAAACAAACAUUCAAGGAUUUCAUACUACUUCCAUACAACUUCAAGUAAGUGUGUGUAUACCGUCUACUUUCGAUGUCUUUUUCCUUAUCUCUACAUGUUAGUUAGCUCUAAUAUGCAUGAACAUUUUACGCACGCAGCUUCCACUGGAUCCUUAUUAUAAUUGAGCCUGAAAGAAGCCACGUCACUGUCUUAGAUUCGUUAAGGAAAGAUCCGAUGGACUACCAAGAAUUGCAAGACAUGCUAGGCUUGUAAUAAUUCUGGACCUUUAUCUCUAUGCAAAAAUUUAUUUCCUAAAUUUUAUCCCUGUUACACUAUGUCAUUCAUUAUUCUAAUCCGCAGCGCAUGGAAACAAUUCAUAAGGACACACAAAGGUCCAUUCAAAGAAAAUCUUACAUGGAACACAGACUUCCCGGUACGUAUGCAGUCUGCACAUUUAUUACAUUGUAUAACACAAAUAUUUCAUAACUUAUUUUUUUCCGCACUGAAGUGCUUAAGACAGGAACCCGGGAAUAAUCUAUGUGGCUACUACAUCUGUGAGCACAUGCACAGUUUUUUGGGACCCAAGGGACCGAAGAUGACGCCGCACAACUUUAAAGUACGUAAAAUAACUAUAUUACUAGUUAAUUAUUUUCUAGCUCCUUAUAUGUAUUUGUUCAUGUAACAUUCACAAAUUUCCAAAUUAUAGAUGUUAAAUAUUCAACAAGGACUCUUGAAGGAAGAAAGAGUAGCGGCAAUAUGUGAAGGUCUCAUUGGAUUCAUAAUGGACGAGGUGGUGGACGAGGUGGUAAAUCCAAGAGGAGAAUUUUAUUACGAUGGACGACAAUUAGACACUCCGAUCAGCAACACCACGAUGGAUACUUUGAUUUAUUUGUAUAUAUAAUACGCGCUAAUUAUGAUCGAUUUGUACUAAGCUAGUUGAAUUGUGUAUAUGAAUUGUGUAUAAGGAUUGUGUAUAUAUAUAGUAAUUGUAUAAUUACAAAUCCCAUUCGUUUAAAUACUAGUUGAUUUCGUUCUAAAAAAAUCUCAACUACAAGGUUAACAAAUUAAAAGGGCUGCGGUACUACUAUACGUAUACGUGAUGCAUGCAUGAAAAAUUCAGACGUCACGGCUGUGCCAUGCAAGCGCCAUUUAGUCCCGGUUGGAAUCGAGCCGGGACUAAAGGGGACCCCUUUAGUCCCGGUUGGGAAAUCCAACCAGGACUAAAGGGGGACCUUUACUCCCGGUUAAAAGACCCGGGAGUAAAGACCCCCCCCUUUUGUCCCGGUUGGUUUAUCCCGGAUGGAUAUCCGAGAGAUAUGCACCCUACCAACCGGGACUAAAGGCCAAUUCUCUACCAGUGUAGACCAAACAUGAUACACACCAUGCGUACCUUGCUGUGCAGACUAUGCAUUGACAAGAUACCCGACCACAUGUUGGCCUCGGUCACAUCAAAAGAAUCAUGUAGGCCACCAAUAAACUACUUGAAGCGGCAUUCCGUAUCGUAUAUGCAUUGCCGGUUCAUCUGCAUUACAUUACAUAAAGCACUAUUAACUAUUUGAAUAAAAUGAACCAAUUUAAAAGUAAUGUGUUGUACUCUACUAUAGAAAGCCCUAUCACUGCCGGAUCCAAAAACAUCAUUGUUAAUGGUGGUUAAGUACCAAAUAUGAUGGUCAAUAUUCUCAAGAAUAAUGGAGAAUUAGCAUUUCUUAGACACAUAUUUGGUUUUGAACAAUGUAGUUCCACAUGUCUUUGGAGAUUAUUUGGGUGUGGGUGAAAUAAUACAAAAAUAAGGAGAAAACACACUCCCAUGGCAAAGAAACACAACUCCAACCAAUGAGAGAUAGCCACAGGGGCAGCACACGGAUCCAUGGGCCCACAAACCGCAUCAAACCGUCUUACCAAGGCAGGUAGCACCCACAACCGUCAUUAGGACCCACCUGGAAGUCUACCAAGAAGAAGGUUGCGAGUGGGGCCAGGAGGGGUUCGGUUGAAUCAUCUCUAGCUAGCUCCCCUCAUCCCCAGCUGGUGGGUGGUGGUGGUUGAUGGUGUCCCUACAUCGGUUAGAGGAGAUUCCCCCAAAUAUUCCUCCUGUAAACCACCUCUAUGGACCUAUACAUAGAGGGGUGUGCUCUCCAUUCCAACACACACCACAAGUUGAAUCACUGUCUCCCUCUUUAGUUUCCAAGUUUAUGGAGUUAGGCUAGAGUAGCUCUGCUCAAGGUUCCAAGUCCACUUGGAGUUAAGCAUAUGUCUCUUGUAUCGUUAUUUCCUAAAUUGACUUUAUGCUUAGUUCUUAUAUGCAUGAGUUAGUCUAAUACCCUUGCUCUAUUGAUAUGCUCGACUUAUAUGCUCGUAUGCUAGUCAUAUACCCUUGCUGUCGUAGUAUAGGCUUAUAUGCUCUCAUGUGUGCCUGUAGACCUUGCUAUAGUAUAUACUUGUUGUGUAUACAUACCAUGUAUAGGCUAGUCGAUCUAUACCAUGGCAUUGGUUCAAUAGCCAUGUUUUUGGUGGCUCCAGCCCUAGUCACAAUAGCUCGGGACAGCUGGAGUGUUGUUAAAAAUGCAAGAGUGGUGCUUGGGUUGUUUAGCAUCGUUGGAUAUGGGUUUGCCCCACAGGUUUCUAACGGUAGGCGACAGCUAGUGACAUCCCUGUCCGUCCUUCGUAAUCCCCCCACAUUCAGGUACGCCAUAAAUGUUCGUAAAUUAGCAGUAACUACGCCGGUACACCCAUAGGGUAUUGUCUCCCUGUAGUACCUUGGUGCAUAGAACUAAGUCCUAUACACUGUGUGUGUAUGUUUACGCUGAUAUGAUCUGUGCAGUAUAUAGGAUGUAUAUAUGAACCUAGAGCUAACUCCUAGUCCGUUCUCCAUAGCUUAGUUAUCUUGAGAUGAUUCUUUUGUAUGUGUAACACUACCCAUCUUAUCAUUAUCCUUGCUCCUGUCUUGUGUAAUAUAUCUACUCAUCCUAUGAUAUACUCAUAUGCAUAGUAAACUAUUUUGACCUACCCGCCUUCCUUUGGGAAAUAUGAUACCCUGGAAUAAUCCUAGGUGAAAUCCUACAACGGUAUAUCCAUGUGCUUGCGGAUUUAUUCAUGACCAUUAAAUAUACCAACAAUCAUCACUGCCGGUUAUGGGCGUCGUUAGUGAAGGGUUGGUAGUGAUGGGCAUCCCCUUCACCAAUGGACCUGGAACCGGCGGUGAUGGCUGUUAUAAAAAAGGGGACACCACCCAGCGUACCCCGCGACCCGGCUGGCCGCACCUCCCAUCAUCCCCGCCAGCCGCCCUUCCUUUUCGCCGGCCGAGCAUGGUCCUGGCCUUUGUCCCUACCGCCUCGCCUCCACCGCGACCCCCCGCCGAUGCCCUCAUGCCUGGCCCCCCUCAUCUUGCCGGCCACCCUCCCGAUGCGUCCACUAGGGCCCUCACACCACCAACCGCCCUUGCCUAGAGAGGGAGAGAGAGGAGGGAGGUGAGGCCACGCACCUCGUCCUACACCGCCGCUGUUUCUCCUCGGCCCACCGCGCCUCACCCCACACCACAGCCGCGCCUUGCCAUCUUACCGGCUGCGACGCCUCAUCUCACCGGCCACCGUUCCUCACCCCCACUUCGGUCGUCGCCGCUCCUUGCCCUACUGCUGCUCUUUGCCGCUGCGACUGAGCGGCGAGUGGAGGAGGAGGGACGGGGCAGGAGGAGGGCAAGAUCCGGGAGGAAGGGAGAGAUCUUGGGAGGUGGAGAUGGAAGGAUAUGGCGGAAGGGAGAGAUCCAGAGGGAGAGAGCAGGGGAGAGAGGGGGGCAUGUGGGGAGAGAGUGCGUGUGGGGUGGGGCCAGGCUGGUGGGAUGGAAGGGAGAGGGGCUAGACGGGCGCAGUGCAUUCAACUGGAUGAAGUAAAUAUUUCGGAUUCGAGACCCCAGCUUUAUUAUCACCGCUGGUCCGUAGUACCAUCCGGUGCCUGCUCGUAAUUUAAUUUGAAUCUGCGGUGAUGUUUUAUUAUCACCAUCGGAUCAUAUAAAAAAUCCGGCGGUUAAAAAUCCGCUGGUUUCGAUGAAAACCGACGGUGAUAGGAUGACUGUGAUAGUCUCUUCUCUAGUAGUGGUAUAUUAGUACCGGCUGCCAGACGGUGUUGCCGACCAGUACUUCUCCGGAGGCGAUUCAGUACUGCUGUUAGCAAAGCUUGUUCUCUAUGAAUCUGGGGAUGGAAAGCUAGUUCUCUAGUUGUGAUUUGUUACAUAUAUAUCUAUGAUAGUCUAGAAAUUGCAUGUCCUUCGUUGACAUAGUUGAAGCUGCGCGCUUCAAGAAUUUACUUCGUGCAGUCGUGCAGCAUAUUGGAUUAUCACCUAGACAGGAUACAUAGGUGAAGCAUUGGAUGUGAUUGUGGCCGAUAAUUAUGCAGGACGCUGUUGCAAUCAACCACCAAGAAGUCUGGAGUGAUGGGGUUGCCUCAUCAAUAAUUUUUAUAUAUGGCUGCAGUAUUAUUAAGCCCACGUCAAUAAUUUUUUCUCCGCACCAUAUAUCGAUGGGGUUGCCUCAUCAAUAAUUCGCGCAACCAGACAAGCUGCAGACUCAAUAUGGUACGAAGCUAGUUGCUCAGCCCACAUGCUCUGAUAUAACAUUGACAUCUGCUGAUCUACAGUAUAUAUGACCAGAAAUAUUGUGCCCACCUCAAUAACUUUCUGAAGUAUCGUGGGGAAGAACCUACUCGUACUAUGCCUCGGAACUAACUGACAUAUCGGCCUAGGCGGUCUAGGCCGAUUGGACUGGCUCUUCCUUGUGGCUUCUCACGUCCCCUUCGUCCCCAAGUAAUUUCAGGUGUUCUGCAGUUUCCUUUUCACUUGCAUCUGAGCCUCAUAUAUCAAUAGCUUCGGGAUAAGAAUGCCUCUUGAUAACCUUCCAAAUCCUCGCUUGAUUCACAUUGAUUCCGAAAUCAUCUUGCCAUAUCUUCAGAGACUUAGGUCCUAAGGCAUCAUGGAGGAUUGCUCGCCAGGAAUGAGCACCAUUGGGCUCCUGAGGACCCUAGGCCGAUCAGCCCGGGCUCUAUAGGUCGAUUGGCCCAGGCCCUCUCUGGGCCCGUUGGCCUUCAUCUUUCUCUGAGUCGACGCUUAUUCAGGGCUUUGUCCAAUUAUAGUCUAUUAUAGUCUAAUUUCCUACAAAAACAGAAUGUCCUCCAAAAUACAAUGCAUAUGUGAAAACAGCCCAAUUAUUAGGUAUGAUCAAUAGUUUAGGUAUAUAAAUUAAUAUUAUUAUUUAAGAUAAACAGGGGUAAAGGGUGUCAUUAAUAACAAGCGCCAACAAGCGUCCUGGCUGUUCAAUAAAUUUUUUCUAGUACCGAUUGGUAACACUAACCGGUGCUAAUAUGUACCCUUUAGUACCGGUUAUUUUACCAGGUACUAAAGGAGACAAGAGCAUCCUAACAUAAGGUUAAUAUCAUCCAUUUCAUGAGUAAAAUACUAUGAUUCAAAAAUAAUUCAAAUCCCUUAAGACAAUACCUAUCAAAUGAGUAAAUUGUAAAUAGAGUAAUCUUGAUCAAACAAUGUCCUAAUGAAACGGAACACUUCUGGUUCGUGUAGAGCACAAUAUAGAAAACAGUAGGGUAGCUGUACGAUUGACACGUGGUCCAUUAAUUCUUGAGCCAACACUAUGGACAUGUCUUCAUGAGUAGUGUACUAGUCAUGAUACAUGGUAUGCAGUAGGUGGAGGUAUUGACUUAGCCAUGCUAUGAGCACUUAGUUACAACAAACACUUUGCCAUUAUCGAGCAUCCCAAAUCACUACAAAAUCCAUAGUUUACCAUAUACUACAAAAUCUGAGUUAAAAUAAGAGCAUACACGGAAGAGUCCGAAUGCACCGGCACAUUGAAUUACUAGACAAAAAUUAUGGGACAAGGUUUUGGGUAACCGCAUGAAAAAUAUUGGAUUUUACUGAACACUUAGUUACAAUUACCAUGCCGUGAGCACUUAGUCACCACAAACAUUUAACCACUUUAGAUCAUCCUGAAUCCCUAUAAAUUCUAUACCUUACACCGUACCAUGAAAACGACAAGAACAGAGACAGAUGCGGUGAAAAUCUCCAGAGCAAGCCUGAAAUUAAAAUAAGAGGAGGCAGUCACUAUCGACAGGACACGGAGAUUGCUAGCCAUGACAGAGGAAGACAUGAUAUGAUAUUCACCUCUGAAAUGCAGCGUAGACUAAAUGAAGCACAAUUGCAAGUGAGUGUGGCAGAUAAUGGACCAUCGAGACCAUCGAUUGGUAUGAAGCAUGAUUAUCACCUAGACAUGAUAUCCUAGACAGGACGGUGAAUUGUAAAAAGAGUAAUCUUGAUCAAAGAAUGUCCUAAUGAAACGGAACAUUUUUGGUACGUGUAGAGCACAAUAUAGAAAACAGUAGAGUAGUUGUACGAUUGAACUGCAUCCAUCGACGUGGUGCAUGAAUUGUUGAGCCAACACUGGGGACAUGUCUUCAUGAACACCAUCUAGUGAGGACAGCAUGCAGAAAAAUAUCAAAACAUGUCAUAGGGAGGCAGACCAAUCUUGCGAGGUAGACGAAACGUGAUACACGAUCUGCCUACCUUGUCGUGGAUACCCCAAGUGAAGAUGUCAUAGAGGUGCAGACCAAGCUAGCAAGGAGGUAGAUGAAACGUGAUACACGGCCUGCCUACCUUGCCGUGGAUAUUAGUCCUGAUAUCAUUCUAUUGUUCAAGGAAUAACACUCAAUGCUGCUGCUGCUGCUGACCUGGCUCCAUAAAGUUAUAUUCCUCUAGCCGCUUGCACUAACUUUAUCUGAAGUAUUAUUCUCUCUGCACUGUAUAUAUGGUUACGGAGUUUGCUGGAGUAUCCGGGGGGAAGAACCUACAUAAUAUGUCUUGGAACUAACUGACAUUGAUUCACAGACAAGGUGCUGUUGUUGCCAUAUUUUAGAGCAUCCCAAAGGACUAUAAAUAAUAUAGUUUACCAUAUACCGUAUACCAUUAUAUGUUAGCUAAAAUAAGAGCAUAACAUGUCGCAGGAGUCCAAAAGCACCGGUUGAGGACCAGGUACAUUAAAUUACUAGAAAACGAAAGGGGACAAGGUUUAGGUAGCCACAUGAAAAACAUUUGAAUUUACUGUACCAUGAACACUUAGUUACCAUGCCGGGAGCACCUAGUUAACACUAACAUUUAGCCACUUUAGAUCAUCCCGAAACACCAAUGACCCUCAAUAGCGACAAAUUUUGGUUUAAAUGCCGUCACCAAUGAUCCUCAAUAGUGACGUGUUUAGGUUUAAAUCCCGUCACUAAUAACCCUUGGUAGUGACGUGUUUUGGUUUAAAUCUCAUCACCACUGAUCCUCACUAGUGACGUGUUUUUAGCAACACACGUUAUGAAUGACUUGUCAUUGGUGACAUGUUAAACGCGUUAUCUCAAUGGCAAAUCAAUGGUGACGUGUUUAAAAAAACAUGUCACCGUGAGAGUUAUUGGUGAAGGGUAAUUAAAAUGCAUCACUAAUUUUGUAGCAUUAGUUAUGAUAUAAUUUUGUAACGCAAAAAUCUACCAUAGUAACGAGGUUUAGAGCCGUCGCUAAUGUGGGUUUCUUACGUAGUGAUGCAAGCUCUACAAGGUGCUGUUGUUGCCAUUUUAAAGCAUCCCAAAUGACUACAAGUGUCUGGUUGAGGACUAAACAAAUUGAAUUACUAGAACCAAAUGUAUGUCCAGAACAAAGAAAGGGGUCAAGGUUUGGGUAACCGCAUUAAAAACAUUGGAUUUUACUGUACCAUGAACACUUAGUUACCAUUACCAUGCCUUGAGCACCUAGUUACCACAAACAUUAAUUUAGCCACUUUAGAGGUUCCUCAAUCACUAUAAAUAAUAUACCAACACCGUACCAUGAAAACAUCAAGAAGAGAGACAGGUACAUGGACCACCAUCAAGUGAGUAGUGACAGCAUGCACAAGAAUACCCGGAACCUUUUAGCUUGUCUGUAGUGAUCUGUUUUCUUCCCCGUAAAAUCCAUGAGUAUUGCCACAAAUAAUGAAAGAGGCUGACCAAGCUAGCAACGAGGUAGAGCAAACGUGAUACACGUAGGUUUCAUUCAAGACAUCCAUGUAAGAUUCAUUCAAAACAUUCAUGGAAAUUUCUUAUAAGUUUUCAUGUAAAUUUCAUUCAAGACAUUUGUUAGAGGUGUUGUAUAUAUACUUAACGUACAUAUAUCUAUGAUUUCAUGGUUGUUAGUGAUGGCAGAUGAGGAGCAUGCAAGGUAUUUAAUGGAGCAGAUUAUUGCUAGUGGCAGUGGCUCCAACCUGCCCGUAACGUACACCGACGAAGAGGGCAGCCAGGCGGACAUGUUCCUCAACAUGUCCGGUGAUGGCAAUGAAGAGCCCGAGCAAAACCUUGCCGUGACGGAAGGUUCCAGCGAGGUAUAUAUCAUUUCCAUUAUUUUACCCCAUCUAUAAUUUCAUAUUCAUUAUUACUAUGUACUAAUUAACGAAUCUUGAACCGUUAGCCCUCUAGAUCAACGAACCGAAAUAAGCCCCGAGGUCUUACAAAGAUAAUGCAGGGAAGGCUUCACAUCAUGGAAGUCACAGAAGAGGGCACCUCGGUUGCUCCCGAACAUGUGGCAAGAACGUACGUGAGUCAAACCGGGGCAAUCGUAAGGGACAACGUGCCCAUCAGCAUCAGGGAAUGAAAGAGCAAUAGAAAUGAUCUAUACGCACCCCCGGAUACACAAAAGGAUAUGCUGUGGGCAAAUAUCAAGAAACACUUCACAUUUCCCAAAGGAUAUGUUGAAAAAGAUGUGAAAGCGUGGAUGCUGAAGAAGAUGGCCACCCAAUUCCAAACAUUCAAGAAGAUGUUGGAUGCCAACUUCGUCAAGAAGGGUCGAACUCCGGGUUUCGAUGAGUGGCCAAAGUUAAGGGACCACUGGGAGUCAUUUGUCGAAUACAAGACGAGCGAAGGUGGUGCCAGUAAGGUUCGCAUCAAUGUUGCCAAUGCUAGCAAGGAGUACCAUCAUCAUCUAGGGCGACGUGGUUACAGCACUGCAAUUCCCAGAUGGCGCAAGAUGGAACAAGACUUGAUCGAUCGGGGUAUCGUACCAGCAACUCUUGACUGGCCUGAUCGAUUGAAAAAUUGGUAUUAUGCUCAUGAAGGCAAUCUGAGCCAAGAGGAUGCGACAUUGGUCUUCAAUAAAACAAUACAUCAGAAGGUCGGAAGGCUUAUUAGGAACAUUGAAGAUGCUAAAGCUGGGAGGUUCAAGGUGGAUAGAGAGAAUGAUGAACUCACAUUGGCCCUCGGGACUGUCAUCUCUAGCACUUCCAGCUCCAGGACUAUCAUCACCACCGGGACCGUCGCUUCUUGCUCGAUCACAGUCUCCAUCUCCAGCACAUCCUGGUGGUGCGAGCGACGACGACAACAACACCCCUCCCUGCCCACCAUUGCCGGGACUAAGACCCGCAUUGUGUAAGGAACCUGCAACACCACUGAAGAAGUCGCGACCACCACCUUCAAGGCAAGUCAGCAAAAGAAGAAAGCAGAGAAGCCUAAACCCACUGAGAAGCCAGCGACUGAUAUGACCGAUGCGGAAAGAUGGAAGGCACUCAAAGAAGAAUGCAUGGAGUGGUUCAGAAAAAGGACCAAAGAAAGAAAAGGAAAGGAGAUGGAGCCACCGCCAGUAGAUCCAAGAAAAUUAUAAUUUUUUAUUAAGAUGUCAAAAGGAGCUAAGAAGAUGAUGCCACAACUAUCAAACUACGACUGGGCGUUAGUCAAGGCUGAUGAGAGUUAAAAAAGGAAAGGAAAGUCAUCGUCAAGUGGUACUGUCCCCCAGCUCGAGGAUCUACCAGAAAAAGAUGCUAAAAAGAUAGUAGCAAUGCUCUUGGAUCAACAAACACAUAUAUCGUGAGAUUAAUGCAAGAAACAGGUAUGUCCCUUGCUGAAUGUCUAUGGCAAGUUGAUAUGCUAGCUCCAGAGCCAGUUGUACCGAAAUGGACCUUUGAGCUAGGCAAGCCUCUAGUAAGGCCUGAGUUGGUACAGAAGCUAUCCACAUAGAUGCAUGAAUUCCAUGAAUGGUACAUGAAGCAGUCUGCCAAUGAGAGGGAAAUGUUCGGUCUCGAGGAAAAACUAAUAAUUUUUUUCGGCGAAGGCGAGAAAGUCGUAUGAAUCAAAUUCAAGGAUAUAUAUGAAGUGAACCAUCAGGAUGCCCUUGAUGUCUCUCUCAUCAGCGCCUAGGUUUUGUAAGUGUAUGUUUAUCUAUACGUAAAUUUUGGCUCAUAUCAUUAUUUUUUUUGCGUGCGUCACCCUACUAACUUCGUCUUCCAUUUUAUGUAGGAUGCUAAUUCAGACGUGCCGCAUAGAAGCGUACUUCCAUGUUGGCUUCAUGGAUCCAUCCCUAGUUAACCAAAAGCCGAUACGGAAGUAGCUAGAGAAAACGUUGGAGGUGGUGUACAACUUUCUGGACAAACAAAACUACAGAAUAGGGGCAAUAUGUGAGGGUCUUGUAGGAUUCCUAGUGGACGAGGUGAUAAAUCCAUAAGGAGAAUAUCAUUACAACGGACGAGCAUUAGACACACUGAGCAACACCUAGACGGGAGGAUCCUAGGAAUGACCUCAACAGAUUUUGGUAUAAAUAGUAAUUGUGUAAAUACUAGUUUGAUUUGUAUAGGAAUAUACUAAGAAUUGUAUAUAUAGUAAUUGUACAAAUACUAGUUUGAUUUGUAUGAAUACUAGAUUGAUUUUAUUAUAAAAAAGUUUUAAGUCGUACGUGCAUGCGCCUACAAAGGCGCGGAUGCCCUUUAAUCCCAGUCGGAAAAACAAACCGGUACUAAAGGGGCUCGUGCCGCACCUGGCAUGACCACCCCUUUAGUCCCGGUUGAACGACCCAGGACUAAAGAUCUCCGCGUCUCAAAAAUUUUAUCUCGGAUGCUUUUUAGAGAGAUUUGAGGCCUAUCAACCAAGACUAAUAUCGAGUUUUCUACCAGUGGAACUAACUAACGUUCACAUGCUUUUGACAUUCACCUGCCAUUUGGUGUAGACAAGGGCACCCUAACAUAUGGUUAAUAUUAUUCUUGAAAGAAAAUCCUUUGAUUCAAAAUACUUCAAACCUAAUAAUACAAUACUUCUCACAUCUCAAAAAUAUGAGACGGCCCGACAGUAUUCUAACCGACGCAAUAAUAUUUUGAGGGCAGCACUACUACAGCGACCCUCAUUCGUGCCGGUGCUGGGACUCCUAUCACGACCCUGAUACAAAUGAGGGUACAUUAUUGGUGCCAGUGCUAGAACAGCCACCAAUAACUUGCUAAACGUGCUGUUACACUCACUACAGGGACCAAGAAGGUAGAUAAAUUACACGACAUAGCCUUGGUUGCCGUGGAAGCGCCAAGAAGGGAGACAAAUUACAGGGACCACACCAUCAAGUAGAUAGUGACAAUAUGCAGAUGAAUACCCGCGCCUGUUAGCAUGUGAACUGACCACACCACGAAACGUGAUACACGGCAAGCGUACCAAGGCCUUGCUGUGCAGACUAUGCGUGGACAACACAUGGUACCUGACCGCUUUUGGCCUCAGACACAUCGAAAAACUGCAUCGUUCCACGUUGUACAUCCACUGCUAGUUUAUCUAUAUUACAUAAUAUAUUAUUAGCUAUUUGAAUAGAAUGAACCAAUUAAAAAAUUGCGUUGUAUUUUAGUACCGGCUGCAGGAUGGUGUUACCAACCAGUACUAAUUAGCCUGUAGGAGUGAUGGUUAUUAGACUUGGUACUGUUGUUACAUCAUUAACCUAAUUGUGCGCGGUAUGAAUUUGGGGAUGCAAAGCUAGCUCUCUAUGAAUGUGAGGGACGGAAAGCUAGUUCUCUAGUAGUAAUUAGCUAUAUAUAUAUGACAGUCAAGAAAUCGAACACUAUGCUGCUACGAGUCACCAUCAUUUCCUUCAUUGAGAAUCUGACAUAGGUGAAGCUGCUUCAAGAAUUUCCUUCGCGCAGUCGUGGAGCUUAUUGGAUUAUCACCAGGACGGGACACGGAAAUGGCCAGCAAUGAAGCUGAUUGCCGUCUGAGGAAGACUACAUACUUUACCUAUGAAAUGAAGCGAUUGCAUAGACUAAUGAAGCAUUGCAUAUUUGCAUGUGAGUGUGGCAGAUAAUUCUGCAGGACAUGAUUGCAAUCCACGCACCAUCGAGAAGACUGGGGCGAUGGGGUUGCCUCAUCAAUAAUCACGUGGAUGCAUGCAUGCAUGUUCCCGCAACCGGACAAGGGUCUGAUAUAUGGCUAUAGUAUUACUGAGCCCACAUCAAUAAUUUCCGCUGGUGUAUCGUGUGGGAAGAAUCAACAUACUACACCUCGAGUUCUUGGAACUAACUGACGUUCACAUGCAACCUCCACAAGGUGCUGUAUAUAUGCUUUUGACAUUCACCUGCCAGUUCGUGUAGAGGACACCCUAACGUAUGGUUAAUAUUAUCCAUUUCAUGAGUAAAAUACUGUGAUUCAAAAAUACUUCAAAUCCCUUGAGACAAUACUUCUCACUUGACUAACCACUAACCAACCCCGAAACCCUAACUCAACUCCGAACCCUAACACCUAACGGCAUAACCACUCCGUUUUGCCAGCCAGAUGGAGGAACUGGCUGGGAGGGAGAGAGGGCAGCGGUCCAGGGUUGAAAACGACGGGCGAGCGCAGUAACAUGUGGAGGAGGAAGUGCCACGUAUUCGUUCACCGCUAUUGGGCAGCGACACACAACACGCCCAAUAAGAUCUUCGCACGGUAGAAGGACGUCAUGUAUUCAAUAAUGUUAUUGGUCCUCCAUGUGCAGAAGGGCGCGUAUGGAAUAACAAGUAGGGACACUGCAACUAAUCUACUCUGCUCGUCCAGUCCCUAGCCUAUAAAUAGAUGCCAUGCUAGCUCUUGUUGUGCUCACAGUUAAUCCGAUUACACACGAGCUCCUCUCCCUAGCCAAGACACAAUCAUAGUAUGAUGAAGAACAUGGCACUAGCCGGCAAUGGUAUGAAGAAGUUAAUCCUCGCUGUUCUCUUACUGUGUCUAGUUAUAGGGCAGAUACAAGUGGAAGCUAAGAGCUGCUGCCCAUCCACCACUGCAAGAAAUGUCUACAAUACCUGCCGUUUGACGGGUGCAUCCCGUCCAAUGUGUGCAAAACUGUCAGGCUGCCAAAUUAUCAGCGGGAACAAAUGCAAGCCCCCUAACGACCACCUCACCCUUGACCCGGACACUGGUAAAUAAUAAAUUUAUCUCACUUGAUUUCUUUGUGUUUUGAGUCGUUAAUGUAUUUUCCAUCUGAUGAAACGCAUUGGUUUUGCAUUGAAGAGGAAGUUAAUGUGCUUAACUUCUGCAAGUUGGGGUGUGCGUCGUCUGUGUGCAACAACAUCAACGCUGGUAAGCACCUUUUGCUCAGACAGAGAAAACAAUAAUCAUUAAUUAGCGGCAGCUAGAAUCCUAUAAUCUAAUAUAUAUAUAUAAUUUUAUCAGCUCUGGGAAAUGAAGAGGCGAACGAUGCCGUUGAGAGUUGCGACCAAGCCUGCUCUAGCUUCUGCAGCGUGCAUGUUGGCAGCGCCACCGUGGUUGCUUAAGCAAAUGCAUCCAACUAGAUCGUCCUUGUGCUGAAUAAUUGGAUAUCGUAUCCACUUAAAGCUGCCUUGUGUAGUACGUCUUUGUGUCUCUCUUUAUAUUCCAAUAAGGUCGGUGAUCUUGAUGCCACACACUCAGAUGUGUGUUCAUCUCCAGAUACUACUCCAUGCUACCUGCCCUUUGUGUUUUGUUCAAUAACUGGGUAUCAUAUCCGAGCCAGUAUGCCGUCUGUUUUGUGUUUGUUUCCUUCUAGUUCCAAAGGGGUCAUCAUGAUGUUACCUUCUUUCAAUAUGGUGCUUUGCAUGACUACUGUUGUAUGGUACCAUCUUGUGGCCAAUAAGUACAUCUUAUCCUAUGACCCUUUGCUAUGACCCUUUGCAAAUAAGUAGAAGAUUGUUAUAAGCGUCAAUACUCAGUAUAAUUGAUCGCUGCUGUGAGUUCCCUUUCAGCUUAUCGUAGGCAUACAUUAUUGCUAGCACGGUAAAGCCAACCAACACGAAUGAUGAAGUAAACGUAGCGGUACUUCUGUAUACCAACACCCUUACUUAAAUGUACCGGUGUCAUUCCCUACUGGCACAUAUAUUCUUAUAUGCUAGCCAGCUUGUAAAAUUAACCAAUUAAAAUAAUUAUUUCAAGAUAGAAAUAACUUAUUGGCUUCUCGAAGCAUGUGUAAUGUGAAUUCAUGAGACUUCAAGCAACCAGGAAAAGACACUAAUAAACAUCCAGAUCCCAUCCAGCACACAUCCAUGCACAUAUAUAACCCACAUAUUGCUCCAGCACACAUCCAUGCAUAUACGAUAUCCAAAUGUUAAUAUUGUAGACAUCCAUGCCUGAACUAGUCUGCCACACAAGUCAUUGAUGCUACAAAUUCUACAAUCGCAGCAUGUGCAUACAACUUACAGAAUGAGAUAAUGUACCAAAACUAAAACGUUAGCAUCAACUGUGCUUCAACCAAAGUUGUCAUCCCAACUCUCCUCUUCAUCCAUGCCAUUCUUGUCAUGGCCGUCGCUGUCAGUCUCCAUGGCAUUGCCAAUGCUGUGUAUGUCUUGGUAGGAACCUACAUGUGAUGAACAGUAACCUGCAAAAAGAGCUCAAAGGAUCUUGUUCUCAUAUUGUAGCUGUGAAAUUCUUGCAAGUAGUGUUGCAAUCUGUUCACUUUGAACCAAAAGAGCUCAAAGGAUCUUGUCCUAAAAGUUCCUCUUAAAGCUUAUGGGUUUGCUGGUGGAACCGGAAGGGCUUGAUGCAGCAGAUGCCAUUCUGCAAUAGAGAAAAAUUUAGAGGGCAGUACUAGUUAAAAUUUGAUGCAGCAGAUACACACGAAACUAGUAUUUAUACAAUUCUAUAUAUGUAAUAAUUUGUCCCCUAAAUUUUUAGGAUCCUCUUGAUGGUGGUGAGUCUUCCAGUAAGGCAAUUGAAUGUCCGUCAUAAUAAAAUUCUCCUUAGGAUUUAUCAUCUCGUCAACCAGAAAUCCUAGGAGUGCUUCUUGGAUUGCCAAAACCCUAUCCUGAUGCAGGAGUUCGUCCUUAAGCCUUAACAUUUGUAAUUUGGAAAUAUGUGAAAGUUAAACCAACAAUUAAAAUAUAAGGAGCCUUAUCAUCAUUUCCAUGUGUUGCGAAUUAAAAUAAUGAAUAAUACAGUGUUAGGUGAAAAUUCAAGAAACAAAAUUUUGCAUAGAGAUAAACGUCCAACAUUAUUACAAGUUAAGGUAGUUUUAAAUAUCCUUGUAAUCUUCCUUUGAUUUCCUCAACGAUUCGAAGACAAUAACCUUACUUCUAUCAAUGAUAAUUAUAAGGAGAACCCAGUGAAAACUGUGUAUUCAUAUUAGAACUACCUAAGGUUAAUUAGGUUAGGAAAGGAAAUCGAAAAUAGAUGGUACCCACACUUACUUAAAGUUGUCGGGCAAUAGUAUGUAAUGCUUGUAAUUCCGUUGCUCCAAGAAUUUGUAUAUGUGGUCCAAUGUAGACUUUGGUUGAUUCCGUAUCUGCUGUUGGUUAAAUAAGUGUUUCUAGCCAUUACUAGCCGUUAGAACUCGGACUAAAGGGGGCUCUUUAGUACGGGUUGAUAUUACUAAUCGGGAUUAAAGAGCCCCCAUUAGAGUUGGUUUUUGGACGCGGAACUAACAACUCCUUUAGUCCUAAGUACAAAAAUGACUGAAAUAUUUGUUGCUGGAUGGAAGGUCCUUUCUCUACCAUGAAUAUUGCCAGAAAGAAUUGAAAGAGACUGCUUGCUAAAAAUAUGUCAUAGAUGUAGACCAAGCUACCAAGGAUGUAGACCAAACAUGAUACACACCAUGCGUACCUUGCUGUGCAGACUAUGCAUUGACAAGAUAGAAAUAAUUAAUUCUAAUAUGCGUACCCUUACUUACACUAGUAGAGAAUUGGGCUUUAAUCCCGGUUGGUAAGGUGCAAAUAUCUCGAAAAUGCAUCCGGGAUAAACCAACCGGGACAAAAGGGGGAUCUUUUAUCCCGGGUCACUCAACACGCGAUUUUUCACAAAAAAAAAAUUCCCGAGCUCCCAGGCAGGCCCCCCACACGCGAUUUUUCACGCGAAAUAUGCGCGUGCGCGGUUCGUGGGAUUCGAACCCACAACCUCCAGCCUCGCGCGUAGUUUCCUUGCCAUCCCACCUACACACCACAUCUGACUAUGUAGGGGAUACUAUCCUUUUGUAUUAAAAGGCUCUUGACCCUUUUAUCUCGGUUGGUGUUACCAACCGGGAUAAAAGGGGGGGUCUUUUAUCCCGGUUGGUGUUUCAAACCGGGAUAAAAGGCCUCUCAGAGUCUUUUUUUCCCAUUAGCCUUUGCAACCGGGAUAAAAGGUUCCGGUUGGUGAGCCCCCCACCAGUGACCGAGUUUUAGUCCCGGUUGGUGAACCUUUUGUCCCGGGCCAACUUUAAACCGGGACAAAAGGGGGCGUAUGGAAAGCCAAUUCUCUACUAGUGUUAAAUAUACCGGUGUUAUUGCCCACUGGCACAUAUAUUCUUAUAUGCUAGCCGGCUUGAAAAUUAACCGAUUAAAAUAAUUAAUUCAAGACAGAAAUAACUUAUCGGCUUCUCGAAGCAUGUGUAAUAUGAAUUCAAGGACUCGAUGGAAGUUGAAUCGCUUCAUCUAGAUUGCUUUCAGGAUUUUGGGUAACUAAAUUUAACAUUUGCACACACAAAUGUUAAUGUACAAAUGUUAAAUCUAGUUACCCAAGCAGAAUAUGAAUAUACUCUAUAGUAUACAUAUACUAUAUAAAUCUAGUUAAUAUUUAGUCUAAAUGUUAAAUCUAGUUACCUAAAAUCCUGAAAGCAAAAUGUAUAAAUAUAUAUCUUUUAAGGCAGUAUAAACUUCGAUUCCUUUUGCUGCUCUGUUAAAUCUCAUCUUUCGUUGUGGCCCAACACUCUAGUAUGUAUGUUGCACCAAGCUUCCUUGAGCCGCUCUGCCCUCUGAUUUUGCUGCGUAGGGGAAUCUUUAUCAGGUUGGGCUGCUUCCAGUCAUACGAUGUGUGGCUUCAUAUCUUCUACAAGUUAGACAGGAAACCCGCGUUCUGGAAGAUUCUGCAACGUGCACGUUGGCGCUGCCACCGUGGUUGCUUAAGCAAAUGCAUCCAACUGAAUCGUCCUUGUGCUAAAUAAUUGGAUAUCGUAUCCACUGCUUAAAGCUGCCAUGUUUAGUACAUCUUUGUUUUUCUCUCUUUAUAUUCCAAUAAGGUCGGUGAUCUUGAUGCCACACACUCAGAUGUGUGUUCAUCUUCGGAUACUACUCCAUGCUACCUGCCCUUUGUGUUUUGUUCAAUAACUGGGUAUCAUAUCCUAGUCAGUGUGCCAUCUGUUUUGUGUUUGUUUCCUUCUAGUUCCAAAGGGGUUAUCAUGAUGUUACCUUCUUUUGAGGUGUCUAUGACUUUGUUAAUAUCAAUAUUAACCAAUUCAAUCUAUCUUAACUAUUUGUAAGGGGUAUGAUGUAUGCAUGAUUAUAACAAUGAUUGCGCAUACAAUCACUGCCAAAGAAACGGUCAAUACCAUAAAGACAUAUUACAGACAAUUCUCAUAAUCUAUAAUGAAUAUACAUAUUCACUACUGCAGAGACUGUCAUCUGUAUCAGCUCAUACGUGCCAGGGCAAAGGUCACCCUUGCAUUAAAAGUACAUUUGCACGGUAAAGAUAACCAACACGAAUAAUGAUGUAAACAUGCCGGUGCUUUUGUACACCAACACGCUUACUUAAAUGUACUGGUGUCAUUCCUCACCGGUAGCCGGCUUGAAAAUUAACCAAUUAGAACAAUUAUUUAUUGUAUCGGUGUGAAUUUUGACCUAUUGGAAUAUGAAUUUGACCAUUACUGCAUUCGUCAAGACUCAAGAGAGAAAUAACUGAUCGGCUUCUUAGAGCGUGUGCAAUGUGAAAUCAAGGACUGGAUGGAAGUUGAAGCGCUAGCUUCAUCUUCCGCUGCAUGUUAAUUGCUUGGAUAAGAAGUUGUAGCCGCGUAUAUAAAUAGUCCCGCUGAUGCUGUGCUCCGAAGUCUAUACUAUAUAUGCGAAAACUAGAUUGCUUUCAGGAUUUUGGGUAACUAAAUUUAACAUUUGUACAUAAAAAUGUUAGUUUACGAAUGUUAAAUCUAGUUACCCAAGCAGAACAAGAAGAUAGUAUAUACUAUAUACUAUGUAAAUCAAGUUAACAUUUAGUCUAAAUGUUAUAUCUACUUACCCAAAAUCUUGAAAGCAAAGAAAGAAUAAGUAUAUAUCUUUUGUUGGAAAAUUGGUCCACGGAGAGUGGCCUCGUUCGUUUCACCGGGAAGGAAUUCCAGUCAGGAUUACUUCCAAGUCCGGUUUAAGUGAUUCCACCCAUGUCACUCAAUUCGGCUAGGAUUCAUUCCAGGGGUGAGGAGGUAUGGUUUCAAUCCGGGCCAUCUAAUGUAGAAGGAUUCCAAUCCAGGCCGGUUUUCGUUCUAGGCUAGACUAAAACGAACAACACUUUCAAUGCAAGUCUGGUUUCAAACCGGGCCACUUCAAACCACCCGGAAUGGACCUCAUUCCGGGCCAAUCCGGUGAUAACAAACGAGGCCUUAAUGGAAUCCCAAAGCAAGAGUUCAGUGGCAUUCUAUAGUCCCAUGCUGCUAGUUUGAGUUGGUCGAAGCCAACUUAAAUAGGAGAGCUCUCUCACUUCUCUAAAAAUGUAACUGAAGGAGAGAAGGGGGCUUGGGUUACACAACGCACGCACGCACGCAUAUUUGCAUUCUUUUCGCGUAACCGACCGCGUGACUUGAAACUUGCGACGUAGCGUGCUGCUAAGUCAAGUUGAUAUAACCUUUUUGCCGUUUGCGUGUAAUCUUUUGACAACGGUCAUUGGAGGUGAUAAGCACGCAGUCAAUACCUUAAUCCUGAGUUAAUAGGGCGGUUACUACUGCCAAUUAGUGCAGCAAUUUUGUAGGGGAAACGGUUAGCAGAGGGCUACCGUCUUCUCUAUAAGAAGUUUUGGAGACGUCCAGGAACACACAUGUACAUGUGAGAGACCCACGGAUUCCUUCCCUUCUCCCUUUUCCAUCUGGUGAAGUGUGCUAUGGUACUGAGCUGCUGGAUCUCGCUGGCUCUUCUCCUUGGCGUGCACCGAGGAGGAGGAUGAGCGGUAUCUCUGAGCUAUUGCCGUCAGGAAGCCUGCACGAGGGACAACAAUAAAGUUUUUAGGUAGCGCCUGCCUAAUCUUCGAUCUGCACUGCAACGCGUAACCCUGCAGCAACUCUACACGAGGACGGAGCACUAAUCUGUAAGUCCUAGAUUGGUUUCUUACAGAGUUGUAGGUUACACAAGAUCUAGAAUGGUUACAUACCAAUUAUUAUGGGUUACAUGAUGUUUUGUACGGUUUCGUCUAUUUUGCAUAUGUUAUUUUUACAUACCGUUUACAUGCAUAUGUUAAUGGUUACACCUAGCUAUUUGAAUCUAGAAUUGGGUUACAUAGCAGUAGCAAUGAGUUACGUAAUAUGCCUCACGUUUAUAUCUGGUAGAAUUUAACACGUAUCUCCAACAUAUUUUGAGGCAGUAUAAAUUUCAAUUCCUUUUGCUGCUCUGUUAAAUCCCGUCUUUCGUUGUGGCCCAACACUCUAGUAUGCAUGUAGCACCAAGCUUGUUUGAGCCGCUUUGUGCUUUGAUUUUGCUGCGUAGGGGAAUCUGUAUCAGGUUGGAUUGUUUCUUUGUCUUGCGAUGUAUAGCUUCAUAUCUUCUAGAGGUUAGACAGCAAAACCCGCAUUCUCUUAAGGCAACAACCCGAAGAAUCUGCAGCGCCUCUGAUAUAUCACUGCUGCAGAAACGAUCUUUAGUACUGAUCUCCAACCCUCUUUAGUAUCGGUUGGGCAACCAGUACCACUAUGUCGGUACUAAAGGGAGUUCUCUAGAAUCGGAUCAAAUAACCGGUACUAAAAGGGCUCCUUUACUACCGGUUGGUAACAACAAUAGGUAGUGACUUUUUUGCACCCAAAAAAUUAAAGAAUAACAGCCGGGAGGCUCGCACACACACGCAUCAUGAGUAAUAUGCGCGUGCAUGGUUUGUGGGAUUUCAACCCACGACCAAGCUAUAAGAACGUAGUUACAACAAAUCAAACACUUAGACAUUUUAGAGCAUCCCAAAUAACUACAAAUUCUAUAGUUUACCAUAUACCAUAAAAUAUUAGUUAAAAUAAGAGCAUACACAUGUCGGAAGAGUCCCAAUGCACCGGUUGAGGAUCAGACCAGGCACUUUGAAUGCACAUGCCAUAAGAUAAUUCUGCAGGACAAUGAUUGCAAUAAUGGACCAUCGAGAAGAUAGGGGCGAUGGGGUUGCCUCAUCAAUUAUCACUUGGCGCAACAAGACCAGCAAAGUCUUUAUCGACGGGGGUGGAUCAAGGGGUGGGGCAGGCAGAGCUCCAGUCCUCCUACCGCCGCUCGAACAAUGGAGCCCCCUUAGCCCCUCCAUAAAUUUUUAGGUAGAAGAAAAAAGAAGAGAAGGGAAGCAAGGGGAAGAAGAGGGAGCCCCUGCUAAGUAGGUCGCCAUCGUGCUUCCCAACGCAUGAUCGCCGCACCGCAUCCAUUCCUCUACAAGCCUUCAGCGUCUCUCCCGCCGCUACCUCUGAACCAUGUGCAGCUAUAGACCCAACUAGUGUGUUGUCGCCCAUCUCAGUCCCAACAGAGCGGCGGCGGCUGCCAACACAAAUCUCCCUCCGCCUCUUCUUCACGGUCGAUGGCCGCCACAAGCAUAAACCUCGCCUUCGCAUCCAAGCAAAAGGGUCGUUGGGGUGCCUUCUUGCAUCACUUCUCAGCCUCCUUCACUUGCGGCCAGCGAAGAACUGCGCCACCACCUCGGGUGCGUGCCACCACUCCAGGGCCGCUACCCCAUGCCUGCGGCCGCCACCGGCCACCACGCGUGUGCAACCGCGUUGCACCGCUUCCCUGCUUUGUGCCACCACUACUGCUGUACCACCAGCUCCACCACCUUGGGAUGGUCGCCAGGGUGACUGAUUGGUGAUUAUUACUAAAAAUAAGUUCCUUAUUAUCUGCAACUACUAUUAACUCAGAGAUACAUGCGUCUUUUGCUUCUCCUGCUAAUAGGUCCUAAAAUAUCUAGGAUGCUUUAUAUUUCUGGACAGAGGAAGUAUUUGAAUAAAAUGAACCAAUUUAAAAAAAAUGUGUUGUACACUACUACAGAAAGACCUAUCAGUGUCAAACCCAAAAAUGUCGUCACCGCCAGUUUUAGGCAUCGUUGGUGAAAGGUUGGCGGUGAUGGGCAUCCCCUUCAACAACGGCACUGGAGCCGACGGUGAUUGACAUUAGAAAACAAAAAAGGGAACCCCACCUAGCCACCCCUGCAACCCAGCCGGCCGUGCCUCCCCUCAUGCCCACCACCUCGCCUCCCCCGUGACCCCCCGCCGGCGCCCUUGUGCCUAGCCCCCUCGCCUGCCCGGCCGGCCACCCUCGUCAUGAGAGAGAGAGGUGCAUGUUGUAUAAUUGCGUGAAUUUUUGAAUGUUUAAUUUUAUGUAAGUUCCAUGUAAUAAAUUGUACAAGUUUUAUUGUAUAUAUGAAUUCCAUAUAUAUGUAUUUAUAAUUUAAUGUAUGGUUUCAUGUGUAUAUUUCAAUCAUGUGUAUAAUUAGUAGAUUGCCGAUUUUCUUUUUCUACUAGACAAGGGUUGAUGUAUAAUUACGUGUAUAUGUUUAUUGUAUGGGCAAUUAGGACAAGUUUUGUAUAAAUUUCUUUUAUUUCAUGGUUGUUGUAUGGUUUCAUGUAUAUACAUUUAUUGUACUACUUGAGACAAUUUUAAUUUAAUAUUUCUAUGAUUACAUGUGUGUAUAACUAAUUGUAUUAUUAGUUAAGAUGGGAGCCAAAGAGGAUGAAAGGUAUAUAAUAGAGUAGAUUAUUGCUGGCGGUAGUGGCUCAAACGUUGCAAGAACCUACACCGAGGGUGAGGGUAGCUAGGUGGACAUGUACCUCAACAUGUCCAGUGAUGGCAAUGACGAUGAGGAGCACGAGCAUGACGUCUAUGAUAAUGCGGAACAAGACAUUGCAGAAUUGGAAGGUUCUAAUGAGGUGUGCUUCAUGUUGACGAUCUAGUUGGCUUUUUUUCUUUGGUCACACCUUAGUUACCAUAGAACUUCGUCUCGGGAGAAGAUUGGUGGUGCUAUGGUGAUUGGAAUUUUAUUGCCUCCAAAUUUGAUUUCCAUCGAAUCAUAUCCCUUGUAUUUAUCUUCUUUUUAUUUGUGAGAGCAUCUUCUUUAUGCUUGCAAAACAAUUCAAGUGCACAUACUACCCCUAGGGUGAUGAUUGGGAGUAGAAACAAUUGCCAACAAAACAACACCACAUCCUAAGAUUCUUAACUUGUGGCAUAAUUAAUCUAGUGAAAAGAAAGAUAAAAACCUAAUGGGUGUACGUGAGUGCAAUGUGUAUAUGCAUAUGAGUGGAAGGCAUAUAAGCAAAGACAAUAUUUACACAUAGUUCUAAACACCAUGUUUACAGCUAGGUUGCUGAAUUUCUCCAUAGCUAUAGAGAUUAAUUAACCAAGGUCAAAACACGAUGUCUAUCCCAAGAUCAGUAAUUCUUUAUAGCACAAGAAAAAUAAAGCGCAUUGCAAAGUUUAUAAACCAACCAAUACAGCAUGAAAACAAGAUGAAUAGCUAGCAAGGUUUAUUAAAUUGAAUGAUGACGGUCUGCAAGCAAGUUUGAACACCAUCUUUACACAAGAUUGCAAAUGGAAAAUGCCCAUAUGAAGCACUAACAUGGAUAUGAAAUCAUUCAUCAUAAAGCGUAAAGAACAACCAAGCCAACCAUAUGCAAAGCAUGAAUGGAAUGCAAUGAAGGUGCAAGAGAACAUUUUUGGAUGAACACAUUAUGAUGAUGGCAAAAUGCAAUGCGUGCAGAAAUAAUAAAUAUGAACAUGAAUAUGAUGAUCAGGGGCGGACCCACUAUUGUGGCCUGGGUAUUCCUGGGCAUACCCAAUAUUUUUGGGAAAAUGUUUAGUAGUUUUUAAUGGCAUAUACAUGUAUAAUAUAGUUUAGGUGUUAAAAUUGAUAUUCACAGCUAUUUUGGGCUCCAAUUCGCGUCCAAACCAACCUAGCCCACAGACCACACCCGGCCGGCCAGCCCAUCGGCCCAUCUAGUCACUGAUCCUUCCACCACCACACUCAGCCCAUCAGUCGGUCAGGUCCCGAGCUCCUGCCUGACCUAGUCUGCUACCGCCGCCGGGCGCCAAGCACAGCCGUACGCAUUGCACCGCCCCCGUCCACCCACGUCCGUUGGGGGGCCAAGCCGCGCCCCCCAGCCCCCGCGGUGAGAUCUCGACGCCCGCUGCCCCCAGACCCCAUUAGGCCUCCAUCGGCAAGUCCACCCACAGUCCCACGGGACGGGGCAGCCUUUUGGCUUUGGGCGCUCGGGGCGCGCCAAUGCCAGCGCAGCCCCAGCAGGCGACUGCCCCCCCCCCCCGCAUCAGGCCUCAGCCCCUCCCCAGCUCCCCCUCCCCCCUCCACCAGGACUGCUUGUUGGCCCCCACCGCGAGGUAAUCGAAAUGGACUGCUCAAUCACUCAAUCUGUUGACAUGAUGCACACGGNNNNNNNNNNNNNNNNNNNNNNNNNNNNNNNNNNNNNNNNNNNNNNNNNNNNNNNNNNNNNNNNNNNNNNNNNNNNNNNNNNNNNNNNNNNNNNNNNNNNNNNNNNNNNNNNNNNNNNNNNNNNNNNNNNNNNNNNNNNNNNNNNNNNNNNNNNNNNNNNNNNNNNNNNNNNNNNNNNNNNNNNNNNNNNNNNNNNNNNNNNNAUUUUUUUGCAAUGAGCAUACCCUACUCUGAAAUCCUGGGUCUGCCACUGAUGAUGAUGGUCUAAACAUAAAACAAGCCAAGAUUAAUUAGCCACAACUGAAAUUAAGCAAAGGUUAAUGUCAUUGACCCUAGCUCUAUCCUAGCUUUUACAAAAGUCCCAGCACAUAUAGUGGUUGGGCCCACUCUCUCUGCUUCCCUCUCUGCUGCAUGCAUGCACACGAGCAACGGGAGGCCCCACAAAGCCCAGAAGGGUUCGGCUGAACCCGGCCGAUCCAAUCUGAGCACCACUCCCUCCCAGCCUUCGCGCAGAUGCUCCUCCAACAUUCCUUGACCCCUCCCUCAGCGUCCCAUUGGGUUUAACAUUGCAGGAGAGGAGUCCCUUUUUUAAAAUCUCAACCACCUCCUCUCCUCAUUCACUCCACUCUCAUCUCCAUCAAACUCACCAAGAUCCACAUCGGAAAUCCCUGCUUACCACCAUGGCUGGCAAAGCCCUCGUCCCUUUCACCAACUUGGGCUUAACCAUUGAUCUCGAUGGGGAAAUCACUCCGGAAAUAGGGCAGUGACCCAGAGCAAAGGUGAUGCCAGAGUGUAGAUAGCAGUUAGCAUGCCAAAUUGUGAACCGCAAGCGCUCGGAUUAGUUGUUUUUUUUCCCUUAGAGAUUCCCCCAAGGUUUAUCAAUCCAUGGAACAAGGGAUUUGCACAUUUCACUAAGCAUUAAUCAAUGUAAUUGAAAGCUUUUUGAAUAAGAUAUGAUUAUGCUAACAAAGGAACUAAGCAAUCUAGAUUAAGAUGGAUAGAGAGUAAAGGUUGUGAACAAGAUAGAUUAAACGCUUAUAGAUGCAAUCACCAUGCAUGAAUGAAUUAGAUCUAGGUGUUAUUGUGAGUGGUUGUGAACCAUACCCCAACACUUUCCCACCCGCAACAUUGUCACUACAUGUGGGUACUCAACUAUCGAAACAUAAGAACACAUCAAGAUGAUCAUUCUAGGUAAGCAAAUAAGCAACCCAAAGUAGCGCUGGCCAGCCUUUUCAUGAAAGAGCAUCAUCAAGAUAAGAUUGAUAACAAAAUAGAUCUCAACCAAAGGUUCAGCGAUUACAAAUCAAGAUCUCCGUAUAACCCCGAUGACAAAUAGAGGUAUUACCCCCAUGAUCUUACACAUGUUGAUGAAUUUUAGGGUAAAGGACGCCCUGUAGAUCAACUGGACCAAAGAUGAUGAUGAACAGGGGCAGGGAAGGCCCAGGCUGAUCAGCCUGGGCACUUUUGAGCCGAUCAGCUUAGGGAGUUUCCUCCUCCCCUGGUGCUCCUCUUCGCGUGGCCUCCUCUGGAUCCAAUCUUCUCUUCAUUUCUCCUACUUGUGGUGGCAAUGGAUGGUGUUUGCAUGGUGAUUUCCUCUUCUCCCCAACUCUCCCUCCUUGAAGUCCAUGAGGGGGUAUUAAUAGUCUCCAAUAUGCGGCAGCUCUGGGUCAAUGUCGGUGAAAAAACCCUAGAGAUCAUCGUACACUUCACGCUGAGGAAACAAGAGGUCGACCGAGCCCUGGGAUAGACCAAGAGGAUCAGCCUAGAGGGUCCCAGGCCAAUCGGUCUAGGCCCUUCCUAGCCCUUCUAGUCCUCUCCUUCCUCGUGCUGGCUUUUCUCGAUGACCCUUGUCCAAAUAUCCAUUAAGCUCUAUAUACAUACCCCCUUGAUUAUGUCGUAUUUCCUGUCAAAAUACAAUGCUCCAAAAUACAACACAUAUGCAAUAAUAGGGUUAUUUCAUGUGCCAAUUGGUGCGUUAGUAUACGAAUAAGCAUGAAAAUACUGGUUAAAUGACACUAAAAGUGUGUCAAUAACGAGCACCAACAAUCCCCCCACGCUUAGAUCUUGCUCGUCCUCGAGCAAGUCUAGCGACUAAAAGAUCUUGAAUUAAACAUGAGCAAGCGAGUCAAGUACCUAGCCUUGAAACAAAAGAUUAGAGGAGCAGCAAAGAUAAUCAAAGUCUGGGUGUUCAAAGAUUUAUCUAAGCAAAGAUUCCCCUACAACUAUUAUUCAGAACCAAGUAACUUCAAGAAUCAACUACACUUAUUUUCUGGCUUUUUUCAGAGGGUUUUUCUUUCAUCACAAAACAAUCUCCCUGCAACAAAAUUGAAAAAAGAAUUAUUUUCCAGGUGCUUACAUGUCGUUUAAAUGAAUGUUCGCUAUCCUACUUAUUUGCAAGCUCUCAUCUCUCAAAAUUCAUUCAAUUAUAUGGUGGAGCUUGGGUAAGGUUAGCUAGAAUCAACACGUAUAUUAUUGAAUUAAGAAAACCCUCUAACGGUAGCCUACCUUUCGAGCCAUUGAUCAUAAGAAUAUCCACAUAAUGUGAAGUUUUCAAGGAUGAGAAUAGAAUGGUGGACAUGUGCAAAGGCAAAGAAAUAUAGUGACUCUGAGGCACAAGCAAUGUCCUCGUCGUUGGAUUGCAUAUGGUUGGAAUGAAAAUCUGUUCCUUAAACAAGUCCAUCUUUUCUUUGCACCACUCUUGAUCUUCAUGACAGUAAAAACUCCUCCUUUAUUUCUUUCUCUCUUUUCCUAUUAUUUCUUUUUAUUUGUCUCAAUACUUUUCUUUCUUUAUUUCUUUAUUUUAAUCUCUUCUCCGAACCUCUUCUGAACACCACACAAUAAAAAUCAGUUUUAGAUCCUUCUAGAGACCUUCCAGGAAUUUGCUACAUGAAAACCGAGGCAAGGAGACCCCAGGCCGAUUGGCCUGGCCACUCCUUUGCUCUCCUCUAGCUCUUCUUUCUUGUGAAGCUUCCUUAUCUUGUAUCUUUCCAAAAAUUUCAUAAAGCUCAACUAGAAACGGAACACAUCUUCAUAUAAUGAGUUGUGUUCAAGGAAUUGGUAAUAAAAUUGAGAAAUUUGUGGUUCGGGUUUACGAAUUCAGUACAAAAAUAUGAUUAUUCCAAUGAAGAACUCUCAUUACUGAAUAUUGACGAGGCAAGCAUUCAAAGAUGGUAAAAAGGAUAUGAUCAAUUCUCAGAAUUAAAGCAAACCAAGAGAGAGCGAUCCUAAUUCAAUUCAAAGUGUCAAAUGUUGCUUAUGGUGGUAUGAAUAAAUAUUUUUAGGCAUUGGGUAGGAUAAAUAAAAACUCUCAACCUGGUUAAAAGAUAUUGAUCAAUCUUGUUUUUGCAGAGGUUUUAAAUAAAAAAUAAAAUUUUAAAUCACCUCCAAUUCAAAGCCUUACUCAUAAAUCAUAAUCAAAACUGAAGCACUUGAUCAUCAUAAAGCAUGGGUAUUGCAUAAACAAAUCGAUUACUAAAACUCCACAACUACGAUUUAGAAUUCAAGACAAUGCUCAUAAUCUAAAGUUGCAAAGACAAAAUAAAAGACAAGCAAGCCAAGGUAGACACUAAAAACACUUGCACGAUCCUUGAAUUUUAUUCAUGCUUCUUCUCACAAAGACGCUAAAGUAGCCAUGUAGGCCUAAGUCUUCCCAAAAGCUUAAGAAGACUACUACUUUAUCUACUUUUGGUUCUAAUAAAAACACUAAUCUAGACUCUCACAUGAUUCGACUCGACCAAACUAGAUCCAAAAACUCAUACGAGCGACAAUCUCCCCCCCCCCCUCUCAAAUCUACGACCUCCUCGUGGUAACCAUAUGGAGUACAAGGAAAAGACGCUUGUAAACGCACUAAUGACGCUACCCGGACUACUUGCACACGGAAUGGUUGCUGUUUCCUUUGCUUUGUUCUUCGUCAUGUUGCUGCACAUCCCGAAGAGCUUCCUCACGUUCCUCUGCAAGAACUUGAACUUGAACUUGUCCUCCUGACGGCAAUCAUUAUCUUCUGCCUUUUGAUCCAGAGCUUGUAAGGCUUGCAUGAUGUCAUUGAACGCAUCGAAGAGGUAGUGGAUGUUCUUCCUGCAAGCUGUGGAACAUGUACGAUCAUGCUCCUACGAUUCUGGCCCGUCGUCUUCUAGAUCCUCCUCUUUGCCCUUGUCUUGACGGUGGCCAUCUUGCUCCUUGCUCGUCUUCUUGCCUUCAGCCCGAUCCCAGUACGUGUUGUCAUCUUCUUCAUCAUCACGGCCUGCAGCACCCUAUGAUCCAUUGUCUAUCUUGUAUGAAAGAAUCAGAAGCUUGUUCUCCUCAGGGUGUCUUGCGCGGUGCAGCGUUUGCAAGUGCAAGGCUUGCUAGUUCUUUUUACACAUUGUAAUGUUCAUUGCAUGCUCUAAUUGUUCUACAUUUGUAAUUUCUUGGUGAAGUUUGGUUACUGAUCCACUGUUUGAUUAACUCUUGGGCCCAAACACUGUACUACUUCUGAUUAGAUAUCUGUAUCUUAACUUUGACCAAAAAAAAUAUCCGGCAGUUUUUGCCAUUAAAGUUUCAUAAAUCAUCUUGCAAAAAUCGUACUAUACAACAAGGGACGGUUUAUUAUAAAAUAUACGUUCCCCUUAUCACAUGCCACUUCCACUCAAAAGGCAACGAAUCAGUUUUCAAUCCUGAGUGAGCAAUUUGCUUUUAUUACCGAUGCCUCCUAUUCCCUUGUGCACCAAGUUCAUUUUGGAUAGGACUGCAAAAAGCGACUAACCAGCUCGGAUUCUCCACCUGCAAAACCGCAUCUGCAGCAACCAACCCCACGCGGUGGAAAAAAAAACAAAACCCAGAAACCGGACGGGGGUGGAUGUGGGGCUCGGAGCCCAAGCAAAAAAAGGAUCGGGAGCGCCGGAGCAGGCCAUCACCGGAUGUUAGAGAUAGAAAAUGGUUGAAGUUGGAGUGGAAAUCAAACAAGCCUUGGAGCAAAGGAAAAAAAAGAUCAAACCACUCAAGCAUUCAUUUGAUUUAGAAAAGAGAACAUUUGUUAAGGUGGGGAGUUGAAAUCAUCUUUUAAUUAGUUCCACGUAUCUGGUAUCAUUACAGUUGGUUGACUUGUGUAAGUAUAUAAGUAGCUCUGCCGAAGCCUUUGCUCCUAUAAUUUAGUAACUAGUACAAAUGGAUCAUUAGGAAAAUCAAGUUGCAAUCAUUUCUCAGCCAACCAAACCUAUCUAAAUCAAAUUAUUGUCCAUGCCCGGCAUGCACAGGUGCCUGCCAUGCAUGCAUUGUUGCUCCAUUGUAAUAACCAUUAUUGUCCAUUGAUGUUCCAGCGCAUGUGUGCACUGUGCAGACACCAAGCAUCGAGAUUAUGUACUAGUAAGGUACCAAGAACACGUGAAGCACACGGGGGAGGCUGCUCCACUCGGCAUGCACAGGUGGGGCACGGCACCACUACUCGUCUCCUUCAGGCAGAGGACAAGUGAUGUACGCUGAUCAACCACUAGUAGAAAAACGACUUUCCAUCCACCCCCUUUUGUCCCGGUUUAAAGUUGGCCCGGGAUAAAAGGUUCACCAACCGGGACUAAAACUCGGUCACUGGUGGGGGGCUCACCAACCGGGACCUUUUAUCCCGGUUGCAAAGGCUAGUGGGAAAAAAAGACUCUGAGAGGCCUUUUAUCCCGGUUUGAAACACCAACCGGGAUAAAAGGUGGUCUUUUAUCCCGGUUGGUGUUUCCAACCGGGAUAAAAGGGUCCCCACGAGUUAAUACAAAAGGAUAGUAUCCCCUAUAUAGUCAGAUGUGGUGUGUAGGUGGGAUGGCAAGGAAUCUCCGCCCUCUCCACCUUCGGUACUCCAUGGGAAACCAUUCCUUUGGAACCAAGGAAGCUUGAACAGUAUAACGAAUAAAGUUUCAUAUAUCCAUUUGAUUUCACAUGAAAUAAAAUAUCCUGUCAGAACCAAUGGUUUCACUGAAGCUCCAGGCAGCGAGCGAAGGGGUGAGAGAGGAUAACGCUUACUGUGUGUUACCAUCACGUGCACCAUGGAUGACCAACGCGCAGCCGAGAUGAAACGGCGGACCUAAACAGGUCCUCGCUAUUUUUGCAGGUUCUCGACCAGGCCAGUUCUUUGGGCCAACCUAUAAUUCACGAGUUAAACAUACGGUGGCUGUAGAAAUGUUCUAUUCUUUUCAACAAUACCAGCUGGUUCCUCCGUUUUUAUUCCACCAAUACAAGCACCACCUUGUAACAUUUCCUAUGUUUUUUUUCCUUUCGUCUGUUUUCUCACUACAUGCGUUGCUCUUUCAUGCAUUUUUUUCCAUUCCUGUAUUCCAAAUAGGUCUACAUGAACACAAAAUGAACUAGGGGACAGAAAAAGCCAGUGAAGUUAGUUUUGAGCUUCACCAGCUACUUGCUACAUAAAGUGUGCUAUAGUCGCAGAAAAGCUAAGCUGGAUCAGACGUGGCCGAAACCAUGCCAAAGAGCUAGGUCCCUAGCUGAUGGCAACACAUCAGAUGACUAGCCUGCUUUUUUGUAAUAAUGAUAUUGAGCAAUACACUGCAUGGCUAACCUGCUUUACAAUAAUUGUCAUUUUAUAAUAUUGGUCAUCACGAGAGAUGCACAUUGCAUACACCGGUCCAUCCCUAUAAAUAGCCAAGCCUUUCAGCCAUCUUGGGCACCUCCUCUCAGGGCCUCGUCUCACCAUUAGACAUCUCGUUCCCAGUUAUAAUUUGCGAGGUUAGAUCAGGCUGCGCCAUGGCGUCCGCAGCUGCUGUCAAGAUCGCCGCCAUCUUCAUGCUGGUGCUGACCAUGGGCCACCUGAUGGCCGAAGCAUCACCGCAGCCUCGGCGUCUGCUUGCAGAAACGGAGCAUGCUGCGGUGUCCGGGAAUCCUGGCCUCCCAGGUGAUGCUAGCGUCAUGCAGGUCCUCGAACCCGCCCUAGUUUCUCCUCUUGCCUGCAAGCCAGAGUGCACAGUCCCUUGGCCUCCUUUUGUAUGUAUCUGCUAGAUCCUCUUCCUGGAUCAACGGAACUUCAGGGAAAUGGCUGUGACGUCGGCCAAAGAAUAAAUUGGCUGAACAUAAUAUACCCCGGGUAGUGUAGCUUGGGCUUUUGUUGAGCGUCUGGUACUAGUUGUAUUUUGUUUGCUCAUGUGGCUUUGUUUCUGGUUGCAUAUUGUCUUUCCUAUCGCUCUCUGUUGCAGCUAUGGUUUCUGCCAGGUGUGUGUCAAUGCGGUUUGUAAGCGGUGCUUGUUCCUACCUUCUGUUUUCAAUAAAAGAAGUCGGAGUCUCCCUCCGACUCUUGUUAUCAGUCAAGAAAAAUGAGUUGUAUCAUAUAUAUCUGCGUCUUUUUUCUAUGUAUCUCUGGGCUGCUUCAGCUGGAAGUUUAUCGUAAGUACGUGUAUCAGGAUGAUCGUUUGAAUUAAAACGAAAUGAUAAUGUGUGGCUGCUAGAAAUGGAAUGAGCAUCUUACUAUAUUACUAAUUGGAAGCCUCCACGUGAAGCCACCUAGAAAUUCUAGGUGGAUGUUUUAAAAAAAAGAAAACCAAUAGAAGCCUCCACCACCUAGGAAUCCUAGAUGGACGCUCUAAAAAGAGAGAAAUCCUAGAAAUUCUAAAAAAAGAAAAAAAAUAAUAACAAUAAGAUUUUUUUUGCAGUCAGUUACAUAUAUUUUUUUGAGACACCGUGCUGCUAGCUCUUGCCAUUGCGACCAAUAAAGCAAGCAGAUAGUAAGAUGACAUGCGUGUGGAUUGAUUAAAACAGAUUCUGUUAGUUGAUUCUAAAUCAUAUGUAUCCUAAAAGGAACUAGAUAUGUGCGUGCAUGGUCCCUAGCGAUGACAUGUAGACAUGUAUUGCAAUUUCUUUUUUAAAAAAUAUGUCUAUCUCUAAACCAACAAACAGAAAAAAUAUCAAUCUAAAUCUAAAUCUCUUCCGUUCUCACACGCCUAUUAAAGAGAACACAACCAAUCCCAUCCAUGUUCCAUAGAAUCCAUCUAAAAGCUUGCUCACUGCGGACGGCAAAUCAACGAAAGAUCAUCCUCUCCAAAUAGCUAGACGGCAUCACCAUCUUUAUCUCACCAACCUACAGAGCUACAACGAUGUUGUAGAGAUCAACUAGGUAACCUACCAAUCACCCUCCCCUUUUCUAUAUGCUCUAAAGAACACGUGGAGUAAUUAUAGGCCUAUAGGAGCCGACUAACCUAGAUUAAUAUGAAAAAUAUUCCAAUAUUAAAAGCAAGCAGAUAGUAAUACUUGCCUUUGAGCAUUUUUCAAGAACUGUUAUUCCUAUUGAAUGUUCAAGUGCUACGGCCAGGCAUCGAAUGUCUGCACGGAACCUUCCUAUUGAAUGGUUACUCUAGAGAUCAACGCACCGCGAGACAUUGUUUUUGGAAUUUGUUUGAUUCCCCUUCUACAAUUAGAUUAAUUUUUCAUGGUAUAUAUUACUACUAUUAAAUUAUUUGUUUAUUAUCUGGCCUGCUGCAUGUGUGGUAUAGAUGACUUGCUUCUCACCAUUGUUCUCAAACUGUUAUUCCUAUCCAAUCUUUCUAUCGAAAUAUAUUUUAAUUACUUGAUUGUUGUUUGUGUACCAUAACUUCUGUAUAGAAAAAUUCCAUGUUUGUAGAUAAUGUCUUUUGUAUAGAAAAAUAGCCCAAUUAGGUCCAUCACCAUCUUUUGCUUAUGUAGUUGAACAAGUUGCAAUGCUGAACAAAACUUUAAGUGAAAUUAGACUAGGAAAAGGAAUUGUGGAACAUUAAGGCAAGGGUAACCAGAUUGUGGAAUGCAACCUUACUCAGUAGUGGCGAACAAUUAAGUCUUGACAUGAUCCUUAUUGAUCAAGAGGUAUGAUAGAUGUUCACUUUGAUUGCAUUUUUGGUAUAAUUUUUGGCUUACAAAUUAUUAAUGAUGAUGCAAAAUUAGGGAACCAUGAUCCACGGUGUUAUCAAUAAGCCCUAUAUGGAAAAGUUCAAACCAUUGAUUGAAGAAGGCAAUGUGUACAUAAUUGCAAAUGUCAGAAUCACACCAGAACCACAGAAGUAUCGGCCAGUGGGAAAUGACAGGAUAGUCAACUUCUUACCCACAACUGCACUAAAAAAGGUCAAAGAUACUGAAGACAUUCCAAAGUAUAGUUUUAACUUCAUGAGCACGGAUAUGCUUUCAGCAAGAAUAAAUGUGGACAUGUACCUAUCAGGUAAAACAUUACUGGUUUUUCAAUUUUUACACUUCCACUCAUUCAAUGACCAUCUAAUAAUAAUUCAGAUUUAUGUUUCAUAGAUGUUAUAGGUAUCUCAGCUCACAUUGGACCGAUAGAAGAAACAAGGACAAACUUCGGAUUUACCAAAAUCCGUGAUAUUGUGCUCCUGAUCGAGUAAUUCUCAUUUCUUUUGUAGAGAACAACUAUGAAACUUUCAACAUUUACAUGUAUGGUAUAGAACUUCUGUUGAACUAAAAGAUAUCUUCUACAGUGCCCCUACAAAUAAUUAAUUUCGCAGUUAGGUAUUUAAAAUAUUAAUUAUUCACUUUUAAUUUUGUGGCCAUGAAGUUAAAGUUAGAUUUUGGGGAGACAAAGUUGAGGAAGUUGAUGAUAAGACAAAAUCCCAUGUCAUUGCAAUAACAUCUACAACUGUGAGGAAAUUUGGCAGUAAGUCUUCAUUCAAUAUGAGUUAUUCAAUAUUAGUCAUUCAACAAACUAACCUCCUAGGAAAAAUAAAUAAUUGAUAUUUUAUCAGGGUAUUCUCUAUCGUCAACCAAUGCAACAAAAGUUUAUGUAGAUCUACCUAUUCCUGAAACUAAGGAUGCGCAUGAUAGGUGAGAAAAAUUAGAUAUUGUUUUUCUAUUUUAAUCUAUGUAGCAUGCACUCUAACAUGAUACAUUCUUUCGUAUGAUGAAAAAAUGUUAGUUCAAUUGAUAAUAUUGUCAAAGAGAUUCAUUAUUGAGGACCAUCUAAAAGGGAUAUUGGAAGACCAAAUGCAGUACAAUAGAAGAACUUUAGAAGAAUUAAAUUUGAUAUUAUUUGAAACAUCAAAUCAGGUAUGGAUUAGUAUGUUCAUUGUACACUAUACUAUUUAGAGACAUACAUACAUAAUGAUGGUAUUGUUCCUACUUUCAGGAUGAGGUAUUUACGAUGAGGUAUUUACUAUUGAAGCAACAAUAAAUGAAAUUAAUGCAACAUAUGGUUGGUACUACAUCUCAUGUAGUAGAGGCGAUUGUAAGAAGCAACUUGAAAAGAAGUUUCAUCACUACUAUUGCAAUAAAUGUGACAAGAGAGCCGAACCUAAAGCAUGGUAAAUUAUUUAGUAGUUUACAAUCUUAUUAUAAUACUUCUAUUUCUAAUUGGAGAAUAAUAUUUGCAAAUUCAAAAUUAAGCUUCAAAUAAGUGAUCCAACAACAAGUGCAACUUCUGUACUUUUGACAAGGAAGCAGAAAUGAUAAUUAAUGAAUGAGCAGAUUCGAUGAUCACCUCCGUUGAUCAUGAUAAUAAGUAGCUACCAAAAUCAACUAUGCAAAAAGUAGGAACAGAUCUUAAUCGGCUAUGCAAAAAGUAGUAAAUUGAGCAAUAAGAUAUAAAAAAGCUGACAGUCCUAAUUCCAAGCUGUAUAACUGGUGAUAAAACUAGAACAACAUGCAAAACCUAGAAUUCUAGUGAUUAUCGAUAACUGGUGAAUAAAUCUAAACAAAACGACAGCAAUGCGCCCGAAGUUAAAGCUUAGAUAUUACUUGAUAAGCGGAACUUAUAGAAUCGGCCGGAGAUCAAGUUGAUGCAGCCCCGCCAACCCGUACGAACUCGUGAAAAGAAGAAAAGUAUUGGCGAAGUCGCCUGCUCGAAAGUAAAGUGCGAGGAAAUAGUAGUUUGUUGUAUUGAUUUGAUGAUGAUUACAGAUCUAUGAAAGCGGCUAUUUAUAGCCAGUUACAACCAAUCUCUUAACUGACUAGGACUCUAUCUCUAAUUUUAAACGAAAACGAAUAUUUACAAGCAUAAUUCGUAUCGGAGUUGGUCAUCGUGUUCCCAUGGGCCGAUCUCCUUUUUAUCUUCAUAGCUCACUUUAGGCCCAUAUUGGCCCAACUGCUCCAACCUCCCAAUCGGCCGAUUUCCACCAACUCCAUCCGCCGAAAUACUACAGCACCAAUCGGCCGAUCCUCAACUGUAGCACCAAUCGGCCGAUUCCCAAUCGUGACCUCCGUGUUUCGCCGCAUCAGCUGAUUCCUUCCCUUCUUGACGCCGAUUUCAUACGCGUCAAAAUCUGGCAUCAACACAUGCCCCAAGUUUCGGAGUAAAACAUAAUCUUUACUUCAAAAUUCCUUUCAACUUCCCUUCCGAAACAAACGCAUUGAAAAUACCCUUCCGUUUCGCGGUCUUCUGCCUGAUGAUUGCAAUCUUUUCGAAACGGGCGCCCACGACAACCACUCCUCCUGAAAAAAUCGAACCGCCGGCGUGGUAAAAAUUCCGCUUUUACCCUUUCUCAGACCGCCCUUAGAUAUCAGUACGUCCCGUACUUCUUCUUCACGAGCCCACGUCUUCCUUCUUUGGCGCACUGACCUCCUUCUUCUUCCGGCGUCUCUUUAGCCUCUAACCUCUCACUCCGGCGAGUUCUUCCAUCUACAUUCCACCCCACCUUCCCGAUGGCAACACCUUCAGGCACUCCACCAACAUCCGAGGUCCCGGAGACGGCUCCAUCAGCAGCGGCUCCAACAGCAAUGGUGGCAGCUCCAUUGGCAGGAGCAGGAGCUCCAUCGGGCGGGAGCGGGAGCUUCAUCAACGACCACAAUGAGCUUCAUACCAGAGGUUUCUACCAAAACUUUCCUUUCCGCUCCUCUAUGUCGAUGCAUUUACCUUAGAUCAUUUCUUACUGCCCCUUCCAUUCUUUACCUGUUUAGGCAGUUAGGCACCACAUUACUAUUCGCCUCACCGAAACUCCCGGCCUUAUCUAUUUUGGUCCCAUGGGAAACCCAGAUCCAACCGACCUAAUCAAUUUGGAAACCCAUAGGAUCCCUUUCAAGCAAUCAACCAUGGACCUAGAUCACUGGUCAGGUACCUUCAGAUCAUGGCCGAAUGAAACCCCCGGCUGGAGGGAAUGGUACAAAUGGAUAGCCGCCUCAAAAAGAGUUCAAUGGGACGAGCACAAAAUCGGCCAGUGCAUCGACUUAUCUUUGUCCCAAAUGGAAAGGAAUGAGCCUUUAGUAAUAGCAGCCUCCUACUUUUGGUCCGAUGCCCUAAACGCAUUCCCCUUAGGACACGGAGCUAUGACCGCUACCCUAGCCGAUGUGGUCAUGUUGACCGGCCUUGAUAUCUCCUCUCCCGAUACUCCUUUCCGUUACUUGGCCAAAACAUCCCAUCGGCUAGAGACGAAAGGAAUCGGCGGGUGGAAAGGAUUCAUCAAGUGCAACAGAAGGGCCGGGACAGCCCAGGAAAGAGAGCAUGCGGCCUUCUUGAUGAUGUGGCUAGAAAAACACCUUUUUUGCGGGAGGGCAGCCGGUCCAUCCACUAACACACAGGCUUUGGCCGAGGCACUAUCGAUAGGUGCCUCUGUUCCUCUUGGAAAGCACCUAUUGGGAUCGGUUUACCAUAUGCUGCAUCAGAUCGGCGUCAAGCUAUCCAAAGGAGAGCCGAUUGGAAACCCAGGUGGACCCUGGUGGUUCAUCAACUUGUGGCUUAAUCUAUAUAUGAGCAAGAUCUCCCAGCAGCGAGUGGAGUACAUGAUGUUCCCCAACAUCGAAUCGGCAGAGAAUCCCACUGUACGGUGCCGGUGUACUUCCUUCGGUGAAGCGGCAUCGGCCUUCUCCGGUUGCUCAUAUUCUGCUGCCAAGGUGGCCGAAUACUUCAGAUGCUUCUACAAUGGCUUCAGCAAAGACGCAACCAGCUUGUUCCCUUAUCAAAGGGAGGAACCACUCUUCGAGCUCCCCUCCUGUUUUGACUCGGCCACCAGCAAAUUUGAUGAGGACCUCACAGAUGAAUUGAUCAAGCCUCUCGGGGAAGGAUGCCCCCACUUAUGAGUUUUACCAUCCUUCCGUCACAGCACGGCAAUUCGGCUUGGGUCAACUGCCGAUUUAUGCAUACUUCACCGGCCGAGCAAAAUUUCGAGACGAGCUCACCAAAGGUCUCCACUACUACGAUCGGAUUCCAGACUCCAGCACCAUAGACUUGGCCAGUUGGAUAGUAGCCCCUUUCGCUGUUCAGCAGUUCAAGCUAUGGUGGGUGGAAUGGAAGCAACAUCUAUUCUGCGCCUCUACGGCGAUAUAUUGUAAUCUCCUGAAUCCCGACAACAUCGAUCCGAAUGCUGAGGUAUCGCUCUCUUUCUAGCUGAUUUUCAACUCCUUUUUUUUUAUACUGACUCUUAUUAUUAUUUCAGUCUGAGAGCCAUGCUCCCCCAAAAUGCAGUCGGAGUGGUCGGUCGAUAGAGGACCGUUAUCCAUACACAACAUUCCCCCUCAUCGGCUAUCACGCCCCCUCCGUUGAUGACAUAGCCGGCCGAGCGAAGCAAGCGCAGAAAAAGAUUAUCAAGAAGACAAGUCGCCGAGUACGCGCCCGCACAGAAUCGGCCGAUCCACCCGUGGUUGCAUCGGCAGAAAUUUCGGCUACGCCGACCCUUCCGGUCGCUGAAGAAGUUGACCUCCAAGCCGCUAAAGAGGCCGGAGCGGCUGCCGCGUCAUUGUUGGUGGAAGCUAUUCAGGUAAACUCACCAUCCGAUUUUCCUGACAGUCAUUUCAAUACUGACCUUUCCUUUAUUAGGCCGUGCAGAUUGCCUCAGCAGAUCCACAGCAAUCUGCAAUGCCCCAAGCAGAAGUUGAAAUACCAGUGCCCCUUCCCGUUGAGGUACAUGAUCUCUCAACUCACUUCUUUAAUAUUUGAAUGAUGAUCCUACCAACCUUGACGCAGGUCAUCGGCACGUUAACUAUGCUAUCCGACUAGCCAUCUGCCAAAGAAGUCCUUCAAGAGGCCGGCCCGAGCAGAACGCCGAUCGUUGUCGAAUCCUCUUCUUCCGAUGAGCCAAUGGCACCAGUCCCCGAGUCGAUAGUGGUUGUUCCACAAACGCAGAUGGAGGAGAUCCAUUUCAAAGAGGUGAGAAGUCAUUUGACUCGCAUUUACCGAUUCGUCACCACCAUCGGCUGACUCAUUUUCCUUUUAUUUAUCAUUCACAGGAAUAGGACACUCCCAAUAAUAGCCUCUUCUCAUUUGCGGUCGCGCUCUCUGAUGACGAGGAAGUUGCUUCUCGUCAAGUUACUUUGAGCUCCAUCCCCGAUGACGUCCGCGCUAAGCUUGAAAGUAUACGGUCCCUUCUUUAAGAGGACAUCAGCCGAUUGGUGGAGGACGCCUCGCCGAUUCGGCAGCUCUUUGGUGACGUCAACGGGCGAGUCCCAGAGGAAGCAGAAGAAGCCUUGGCACCGGCCGCUUAUAUCGAGUCGAUGCGGAUCCCGGUCUUCAGGGCUCUGCGUCACAUGGCCGAUCGCGCCAAGCUGGCCAAGACUCGUGAGGAAGAGGACUCGUACAAGCAACGGGCCCAGGAGGUACACCAUCGGAUUCACUUCCUCGAGAAUUCCCGACCUGGACUCGUCGGCACGAUAGAUCGCCUCAAGCACCGAAGGGCGGAACUUGCCAAGGAGAUGGAGUAGGUAACCAAAGAAAUAGCUAUUGAAGAGAAGAAGCUUCAGGAACUCCCUUCCGUUAUCGCCGAUUUAAAGCAGGAGAGGCAGCAUUUGGCCCAUGAGGCCCUUAGACUCCAUCGCCAUAUGUCAGAAGUUCCAGGGUCGGCAGAUGAUGACCAACGAGUCUUGGACUCGGCCGAUCAGAUCAGGCAUCGAGCGAUUGCGGCCAUUAACGCCCUUCUGGGUGACUUGUAAAAGUACUAGCCGUUUUGUACGAACAUUAAUGCCUUUUGACCGUCCUUCGCGGCGCUCUCCUAUUUAUUACCCUUUUUACUCUGACAGGACGCGUCUUACCAAACCUCCGCUCUUCCUCUUAUUAUAAAUACCGGCCCUGGUUUCGCUCUUGAGAAUACCUGCUCCACUCGAUUCCUUUUUCCCCCAUUACGUUUCCAUCGGAACGUUCGUAGUCAUGUCUUCUUCAUCUUCUUCUUUCUCCUCUCCUUGUAUCAAUCAGGUACGAGGUCCGUCUUCGCCCUUUUUUCAGUUUGAUCCCUUUAAAUCGUUCCAACUUUUAGGCGGCUAUGUGCUAACUUCUUCAGCCAAGGCACCUUAUCCCUGAACUCGAAUGAGCAAUCGAACUCGUGCACUCUAAUGAGUCGUUGUCGCAAGAGGACAAGGACUUGAUCAAGGAACACCGUGAAGAACUCAGAGAUCACGUUCCUGCCGACGUCUAACGGAUCUGGGACUUCAUCGACGGCAAUGAUUACGGGCGACCGCAAGUUGACAGGAGCCACCCACUUCCUCUUCCGGUUGUUCUUGAAAACGCCGCGGUAGGGACAUCGCGCCCGGUGAUGGAUCGGAGCCAUCCUCUUCCUUGCCAAGUUGAGGCGGAGGCCGCGAUGAGAGAUGUGGCAGAACGAAGCAUUCGCCUUCUAAUGGAAUUAGGUAGGAUUGAGAGGGAACUCAAGAAGAAGCGUAGUUGAGUAUUUUUUGUUCUAAGGGCGAAGUGUACUGUGUCGGUCGUGUAAUUCAUCGUUCGUACUGAAUCACAAAUCGGCCGAUUUGAACGAUUAUUUUUCUCCUUUAGGCGAUUUCUUCUCCCGUAUCGGCUGUGUGAUCGUUCAGGGAGCGAUCUUUCUGUCUUGUCAAUGCCUUGCGAUCGAUUCUUAUGUUCCGACCCAUAUACUGGGGUAAUACCUUUUCAAGUACCUCCCGUUUAAGGCCCUAGUAAAUUCUUCUCCUUCGAUCAUUUCCAGAAUGUAAGCGUUUCCCAGGGCACAUCGGCCGAUUCUAUACAGCCCUUCCCAAGUGGGAGACCAUUUACCGAAUUUAGGAUCUUUUGAUCCAAUCGGCAACACUAACUUCCAUACCAGAUCCCCUUGGGAGAACUGCUUGACUUUGACCUUCUUGUCAUACCAUCUGGCCACUUUCUUUUUGUUUUCCUUGAUACUGAUCAAGGCUCUCAAACGUUGGCCCGCCAAAUCGUCGAGUUCCCUAUUCAUGAGCGAGGAGUAAUCAUCGGCCGUCAGCUGAUCUUGAAGCGACGUGCGUCUCGACCCUGUUCUCAACUCCCAUGGCAAUACUGCCUCAUGACUGUACACCAAUUGAUAAGGAGACACCUUGGUAGCCCCAUGGCAGGCCAUCCUGUAUGCCCAUAGAGCUUCGGUUAGACAUAAGUGCCAUUUUUUGGGUUGUUCUUCGAUCUUCCUCUUGAUCAACUUGAUUAUCCCUUUAUUGGAAGAUUUGGCCUGGCCGUUAGCCUGAGGAUAGUACGGGGAGGAAUUUAGCAACUUGAUUCCCAUAUCGGCCGUGAACUCCUCGAACUCUCCCGACGUGAACAUCAUCCCUUGAUCAGUUGUGAUAGUCUGAGGGAUGCCGAAACGAUAGACAAUAUGAUCCCUCACGAAAUCGACCAUAGCGGCCGAUGUUACGGCCUUUAAUGGAACCGCCUCCACCCAUUUGGUGAAAUAAUCUGUGGCUACCAGAAUGAAUUUAUGUCCUUUACUUGACGGAGGAUAAAUUUGUCCAAUGAGGUCUAUUCCCCAACCUCUGAACGGCCACGGCUUGAUAAUUGGAUUCAUAGCCGACGCGGGCGCGCGUUGCACAUUCCCAUAUUUCUGACAAUCUUGGCAUCCUUUAUAAUACUUGAAACAGUCCUCAAGGAUUGUCGGCCAGUAAUAUCCAUUAUUCCUAAUCAUCCACUUCAUCUUAUGCGCCGAUUGGUGGGCUCCACACACCCCUUCGUGCAUUUCUCCCAUCAGGGUCUUUGCCUCCUCCGUCCCUAGGCAUUUGAGUAGAACACCAUCAAUCGUCCGGUAGAACAAAUCAUUUUCCAAUAACACAUAUUUUGUGGCCUGAAAUCGUAUUCGCCAAUCCACUUUCUUAGAUGGGUCUUUUAAAAAAUCGGCGAUCUCUUUUCGCCAGCCGUCGGCCGCGAGUUCCAGAAUCAUGGCGCCUUGAAUCGGCCGAUACCCGAACGCGUGCUGAGCCAGCCUGUUGGCUUCUUCAUUGUAAUCCCUGGGGAUAUGCUCAAUAACUGUGGAUUUGAAUUCUUUCAGAAGUUGGAGGCAAUCCUCAUAGUAAACCCUUAAUACAUCAUCUUUGCACUCGGAUCUUCCUGUCAAUUGGUCCACGAUGAGCAUGGAAUCUCCAAAAACCUCGACGGUGUCGGCCUUAAUUUCUCUUAACAAUUGUAACCCUUUCAGGACAGCCCGGUAUUCCGUCUGGUUAUUAGUGGCGGAUGCUUCUAUCGACAGAGAGAAAUCAUAGCAUGCCCCCUGAGGCGAUAUGAGAACGAUGCCGAUUCCCGAUCCGGCCCCACAUGACGAGCCAUCAAAAUAUAAGGUCCACGGUACUGGUUCCACGACAGCGAUUUUUGGUCCGCAGUGUUGGGCGACGAAAUCAGCCAUAACCUGACCUUUGAUGGCGUUUGCCGAUUCGUACCGUAGAUCAAACUCUGAUAAAGCCAAAAUCCACUUUCCGAUCCACCCUUUCAAAAUCGGCAAUGACAGCAUAUACUUUACUACGUCAUUCGUGCAUACAACCACGCAUUCUGCCGAUAACAAGUAGUGCCUGAGCUUGGUGCAUGAGAAGUAAAGACAUAAGCACAGCCGCUCUACCGGGGGAUAUCUUGAUUCGGCGUCCAAAAGUCUUCUACUAAUAUAAUAUAUUACCCGUUCCUUUCCUUCGAACUCCUAGACCAGUGCCGAUCCGAUAGCUCGCUCAUCGGCUGAUAAAUACAGCUUGAAUGGCUUACCAGUUUCUGGUGGGACCAAGUACUGCUUGAUGUCUUCUAGUGCCUUGCGUUGCUCUUCUCCCCAUACGAACUCUUGGUUGGGUUUCAAUUUCAACAACGGUGUGAAGGCCUGGAUACGUCCAGAUAGGUUGGAUAUGAACCAGGCAACGUUGGUAAAGAAAACUGCUAAGAGUAAACUAAACAACGCUACAGUAGCAACACUAGGAACGGAUCUUAAUCGGCUAUGCAAAAAGUAGUAAAUUGAGCAAUAAGAUAUAAAAAAGCCGACAGUCCUAAUUCCAAGCUGGAUAACUGGUGAUAAAACUAGAACAAUAGGCAAAACCUAGAAUUCAAGUGAUUAUCGAUAACUGGUGAAUAAAUCUAAACGAAACGACAGCAAUGCGCCCGAAGUUAAAGCUUAGAUAUUACUCGAUAUGCGGAACUUACAGAAUCAGCCGGAGAUCAAGUUGAUGCAGCCCCGCCAACCCGUACAAACUCGUGAAAAGAAGAAAAGUAUUGGCGAAGUCGCCUGCUCGAAAGUAAAGUGCGAGAAAAUAGUAGUUUGUUGUAUUGAUUUGAUGAUGAUUACAGAUCUAUGAAAGCGGCUAUUUAUAGCCUGUUACAACCAAUCUCUUAACCAACUAGGACUCUAUCUCUAAUUUUAAACAAAAAUGAAUAUUUACAAGCAUAAUUCCUAUCGGAGUUGGUCAUCGUGUUCCCAUGGGCCGAUCUCCUUUUUAUCUUCAUAGCUCACUUUAGGCCCAUAUUGGCCCAACUGCUCCAGCCUCCCAAUCGGCCGAUUUCCACCAACUCCAUCCGCCGAAAUACUGCAGCACCAAUCGGCCGAUUCCCAAUCGUGACCUCCGUGUUUCGCCGCAUCAGCUGAUUCCUUCCCUUCUUGACGCCGAUUUCAUAUGUGUCAAAAUCUGGCGUCAACACAUACAUAAUGAUGGUAUUGUUCCUACUUUCAGGAUGAGGUAUUUACUAUUGAAGCAACAAUAAAUGAAAUUAAUGCAACAUAUGGUUGGUACUACAUCUCAUGUAGUAGAGGCGAUUGUAAGAAGUAACUUGAAAAGAUGUUUGAUCACUACUAGUGCAAUAAAUGUGACAAGAGAGCCUAACCUAAAGCACGGUAAAUUAGUUAGUAGUUUACAAUCUUAUUAUAGUACUUCUAUUUCUAAUAGAGAAUAAUAUUUGCAGAUUCAAAAUUAAGCUUCAAAUAAGUGAUCCAACAACAGUGCACUUGUGUACUUUUGACAAGGAAGCAGAAAUUAUAAUUAAUGAAUGAGCAGAUUCGAUGAUCACCUCAGUUGAUGAUGAUAAUAAGUAGCUACCAAAAUCAAUUCAGAAAAUAUGUGAAGAAACAUUGAUUUUUCAAUUCAAAUUGACCGAGUACAACUUGACAAGUUUUAGACCUGAUUAUACUGUUUCAAAGAUAUUUUUUCCAAAAGAAAAGAGCAGUUCUAGAAUUGGUAUGGAAAGUGUAAAAAAGGUAACACUUUAUUCUUAAGUUUUUAUUGCACUUUUUUCUUUUGAAUCCUUAAUAUUUAAUAAUUUUACUAUAUCAAUGAAACAAAUUCUAACCUAAAUUUACAACUCAGACAAAUGCUACAUGAUAACUACCGAGAAUGAAGAGGUAGACACUGAUGACUCUUUUACCGAGAAAGUAACAUUCGUAGAAGAAGCCAUAAGGACUGGGGAAAGAUUGGCUAGAAAAGUAUACUCACUUCCAUCUAAGUAUUCAUUCUAUUUACAAUACAUGCAAAAAAAUAUUAUUCAUGCAAAAUUGCAGGUCUACUAAGCAUUAAAGGAAUAGCGGAUAGUGCAAUAUCUAAUUUGAGCAGCAUGCAUUACAAAGUGCUCUACUGCAAUUAAAUUAAAAAACAUGAUAUAUGUUGAAUUCUUAGACUUUAUUAUUAUACUUUUCUAUGUGACAAUUCACAAUUUUUUAGAAAAAAGAAGAUCCCAGAAGAAGUGACCAUGAAAAAAGGUCUAUGCCCAGCAAUAAGAAAAAAUGCAAGCAUAGAAACAAAUCCGUAGAAAACAUAGAAAAUAAGGUACUCCAUAAACAAAAGUAUUCUCUUAUAUUUUUAUUAAAUAUUUCUUUAACACUUGACAAGUUCUUUUUUAGGAUCAAUAUAUCAGCAAUUCAGAUGUCAUUGGAGAUGAAAACCUUAGUUCGUCCAAAAGGUCAAAAAAAACAUCUGAAGAAAGGUGUUUGGCUGAAAAGGAAAAGCAAGAAAGUUGUAAUGCAGACAAACACAUGCAGAAAAAUAUAAAAACAUGUAAUAGGGAGGCAGACCAAUCUUGCAAGGAGGUAUAGACGAAACGUGAUACACGACCUGCCUACCUUGUCGUGGAUACCCCAAGAAGAUGUCAUAGAGGUGCAGACCAAGCUAGCAAGGAGGUCGAAACGUGAUACACGGCCUGCCUACCUUGCCGUGGAUAUUAGCCCUAAGAUCAUUCUACUGUUCAAGGAAUAACACUCAAUGCUGCUGCUGCUGCUGACCUGGCUCCAUAAAGUUAUACUCCUCUAGGUGCUUGCACUAACUUUAUCUGAAGUAUUAUUCUCUCUGCACUGUAUAUAUGGUUAUGGAGUUUGCUGGAGUAUCCUGGGGGAAGAACCUACAUAAUACGUCUUGGAACUAACUGACAUUGAUUCACAGACAAACUCUACAAGGUGCUGUUGUUGCCAUUUUAGAGCAUCCAAAGGACUAUAAAUAACAUAGUUUACCAUAUACCAUAUACCAUAAUAUGUUAGCUAAAAUAAGAGCAUACACAUGUUGCAGGAGUCCAAAAGCACCGGUUGAGGACCAGGUACAUUGAAUUACUAGAAAAAGACAGGGGACAAGGUUUAGGUAACCACAUGAAACAUUUGAAUUUACUGUACCAUGAACACUUAGUUACCAUGCCGGGAGCACAUAGUUAACACUAACAUUUAGCCACUUUAGAUCACCCCGAAUCACCAAUGACCCUCAAUAGUGACAAAUUUUGGUUUAAAUGCCGUCACCAAUGAUCCUCAAUAGUGACGUAUUUAGGUUUAAAUCCCAUCACUAAUAACCCUCAAUAGUGACCUGUUUUGGUUUAAAUCUCAUUACCACUUAUCCUCAAUAGUGACGUGUUAAAACGCGUUAUCUCAAUGGCAAAUCAUUGGUGACGUGUUUUAAAAAAACAUGUCACUGUGAGAGUCAUUGGUGAAGGGUAAUUAAAAUGCGUCACUAAUGUUGUAGCAUUAGUUAUGAUAAUUUAGUAAUGCAAAAAUCUACCAUCAGUAAUGAGCUUUAGAGCCAUCGCUAAUGUGGGUUUCUUACAUAGUGAUGCAAGCUCUACAAGGUGCUGUUGCUGCCAUUUUAAAGCAUCCCAUGACUACAUGUUAAUAACAUACUUUACCAUAUACCAUAAAAAUAUUAGUUACAAUAAGCACAUACGCAUGUGGAAGAGUCCGAAUGCACCGGUUGAGGACUAAACACAUUUAAUUACUAGAACCAAAUGUAUGUCCAGAACAAAGACAGGGGUCAAGGUUUGGGUAACCGCAUUAAAAACAUUGGAUUUUACUGUAGAUGAACACUUAGUUACCAUUACCAUGCCUUGAGCACCUAGUUACAACAAACAUUAAUUUAGCCACUUUAGAGCUUCCAGAAUCGCUAUAAAUAAUAUACCUACGCCGUACCAUGAAAACAUCAAGAAGAGAGACGGAUACAUGGACCACCAUCAAGCGAGUACUGACAGCACGCACAAGAAUACCCAGAACCUGUUAGCUUGUCUGUAGUGAUCUGUUUUCUUCCCCAUAAAAUCCAUGAGUAUUGCCACAAAUAAUGAAAGAGGCUGACCAAGCUAGCAAGGAGGUAGAGCAAACGUGAUACACGGCCUGCCAAGAUUGCCCUGGAUACGCCAAUAAGAGCGACAGAUACAUGGAUCACACCAAUAUGGUGAAACGUAUAUUCAUCACACAAGCAAAGCUGGUCAGUUUAUCCAUGGUCAAAUUGUGGUCUUUGUUUUCACUUGAGAGCUAAUUGAGGCACUAUAAUAUGGGCAGGCCUAUCUUCAACAGACAUGACAGCUACAGGGAACUUGACAUAAUUUGCUGGACCGCCUGUGCACAAUUAUUUGUUUUAUUGUCCUUGCAUAGAAUGCUAAAAUACUCUUUACAAAAUGUUGGAUCUAAUAUUUGAAAUAUAGAGUAGUAAUCAUAUAUUGAUCAACAACUUGAAAUUAUCUGUACAUUCUCGGUGAAGCUGUUGAACUAAUUUUUGCAAAUUAUUAAUUAAUUCAUCUCAUUACGUAAAGAAAACAGUAAGUGGAUAAGAUAUUUCGUGGACCACAUCACUGCAAACAUGUCAUGGAGAGACAGACCAAGGAGGCAGGACGUGAUACACGACUUACCCUAGGUUGCCGUGGAACCGCCAAGAAGAGAUACGGAUACAUGGACCACACCAUCUUGGGAGUAGUGACAGCAUAUAUGCAGAAGAAUACCCCGUGCCUAUUUGCAUGCAUGUCUCAAGUGAUCUGUUUUCUUCAGAAAAUACAUGAGCAUUGCCAGAAAGAAUGGCAAGAGACAAACAUGUCAUAGAUACUUGCAUGUCUUGCCUUGGAUACGCCAAGAAGAGGGACACAUACAUGGAUAACACAAAUCUAGUGACACGUAUAUUCAUCACAAAGGCAAAUCUGAUAAUUUUAUCCAUGGAGCAGACCAAGCAGAAAUUGAUGACGGACAUGUGAUCUCUGUAUUCAGUUGAAAGCUAAUUGAGCUACACUAAUAUGAGCAGGACUAUAUUCAAGAGACUUGUUGAGAGCUACAGGGAACUUGUAAUAAUUUGCUGGGCGGCCUGCGCACAAUGAUUUGUUAUACAUAGUUGAAAUAUUUCAAGAAUUUAUCAACCUCGUACUCUGAAACCCUUGGUGCAAUGUACUCUGCUUUCCGAGGUAGACUGUUCACGUAAAAUGAGGUCAUGCGUAAGACGGAAUCGGAUUGGAUUCGCAGGGAAUCAGAUUUGGAUAGCACCUUUUAGCCGGUUUUUAGUCAAAUGCAAAUUCGGAUCCAGAUGUGGUUGAAUGCGAGUUCAAAAUUCUACUUGGAUAUCCAUUUAAUUUAGGUGAUAGCAAUUAGCACAAAAUGUUGGAAGAACAAAAUCAUAGUUAGACAUACAAUUACAUGUAUUGUUAAAGUAUAAUACAAUACACCAAGAUUAUUCCUUCAAAAUAUUUCUUAAAAAUAUUAUAAUAAAUGAAUAAAUAUAAUUGUGGCCACCAACAAAUAGUCGGUGGUCACUAAGUUGGAGCCAUUUCUGGUUACUAAUGCGGCCUGCUCCUCGACCAGCGACGACAGCUGAGCUUGUUCCUUCUGACACCAAAUCAUCAGAGUCUUCCCUCCACUACUAUAGAAUGCACCUUUAGCACCAAUUGGGAAAUCCCCUUCAGUAUCGGAUGCUGCAACCUGUGCUAUGAAAAUGGAGACUAAAAGCCUCGGUCUUGGGUACCGGUUGCAUGACGCAUUACUAAAGGAGGCAAAAGAGAAAUGUAACAAAAAAAUAUUUUGAAUUCCAAGAAUGUUUCACUAUUCAAGAUGACUAACUGAGAGUCAUCAGACAAGAUACUAGGAAUGUGGGUGCUUGAAUGCAUUUGUACAGAGGUCAUACUAUUUACAAACUCUUCUGUGUUUCCAUAUGACUACCUACUUCAAUGUCACGCGAGCCAUUCAGGACACAUGGCACACAAGCUUGCAUGUCGAAUCCAUGAUUAAUUAUUUCCACUUGUGAUCUCUUACCAGUAUUUGUCCAGACUAGAAACGUGCAACACAUUUUUUGGAUAUGGACACGCAUAUAUUUGGACUAGUAUACAGGUCACCUUUGGAUGAGUACAAGGAUGACCGGGAGGGACUAAUGGAUACAAGGAAGGGACCAUCAGGAUUAAUAGUGACAUAUGCCACAUGACAAUCUUCAUUGUCAUGCAAUCCCUAUCAACAAUCAUGGAAUCCCUAGUGUACUAAUCCCUGGAGGGUUGUGUGGAAAUUUAUUUUACCUUGCGGUGAAAAUCUCAUGAGCAGUCAUUAGUUAAGCUGACUAGCUGAGAUAUAAUAGACAAGCUAGUAAGAUUGGGAGCAUCAAUGCAUCCAUACAGGGUCACAAUAUCCUUUCCAUUCACUUUUAUAUAUAACCCUACGAAUACAAGUCCAACGAAACGCGGGCCUUUCGAUCAAGAUAAAUUAAAUGGCCCACUUGUAUUUCUAAUCCAGGAUUAAUUAUGCCCUCUGUUCAUCUCUUGCAAGCACGUGCAACACAUUUUCACGAUAUGGACAUGCAUGGAGGUUAUUAUACUGUUUGGACAAACUCUGAUGUGCCAUGACCUGGGCCUGUUUGGUUUGAGUUGCUUAUUAUAAGCAACUUAAAGUUGCUUAAAGUUGCUUAUUUGAAGUUGCUUAUUUUUAGUCUAAACUGUUUGGAUACCCUUGCUUAUGAGCAUUGAAUGAGAUGGACAUUGUCAUAUUUGCCCCUUGUGUAGCUACCCCUCCAAUUUGCCUCCCCACCCUUCUUCUUCCUGCACACGCCCGAUCCCGGGGGCCGACGGCGGGCAGGGAGCAGCAGCAGCUGGCUGGGGCGGCGGUGGGGCGGGAGCGGCGGCGCACACCAGCAUGCGCUCGCACGCCAGGUGCUGGAGCGCGGCGAGGCAGUCGUCGUAGACCGCCGGGAGCGGGUGCUCGGGCGUGAGGCGGUACUCGACGGAGACAUCGAGCGUUGGGCGCGUGGCGGCGAGCGCGUUGAGGAAGCGAUGGUAGUGCGGCGACGUCGCGGACUCCGCCACGAAGCCGCCGCCGUGGACGUACACCACCACGGGCAGCUUCGUCUUGCCGUCGGCGGCCACGGCCGCGGCCUAGGGUGGCAGGUAGAGGCGGAUGGAGCAGGAGCCGAGGUCGACGUCCCCGGAGUCGACGCCCGUGGCGGCGUCCAGGCCGGGCCCGACCGGCGGCGGCACGAGCGACGCAGCCGCUCUUGUAAAUCCAGCAGGUCUGCGCGGAGGCGGGCGGCGGGCGGGAGCGGCGGCGGGUGGUGCGGAGGCCGGCGGCGGCGGGUGGCGCGGAGGAAGGGGAGCUGGUGAGUGGUGACAGGGGAGGGGGGAGAGAGAGAGGGGGGUAGGGUGCAUUGAAUGAGGGCAGGAGGUGUAAAGUGCACCUUUUAGUCCCCAUAAGCAACCAUAAGCAGCCCAAGAGUUGCUUAUUUACUUAUAAUAAGCAACCCCAUAAGCAAGAGUGAUUGGUUUCAUAAGCAACUUAUUUGCUUAUUUUAAGUUGCUUAUGCGUAAGCAUGUGAAACCAAACAGGCCCUUAACCUAUGGUUGUGGCACACAACCAUACAGUAGAUAGUAUUUAAUAAUGCUAUUCGUUUGGUAUGUGCAGAAGGGCACGCAUGAAAUGUCUGGCCCACGGUAAACAAGUACGGACGCUGCAAAUAAUCUACUCUGCUCGUCCAGUCCCUAGCCUAUAAAUAGAUGCCAUGCUAGCUCUUGUUGUGCUCACAAUUAAUCCGAUUACACACGAGCUUCUCUCCCUGGCCAAGACACAAUCAUAGUAUGAUGAAGAACAUGGCACUAGCCGGCAAUGGUAUGAAGAAGUUAAUCCUCGCUGUUCUCUUACUGUGUCUAGUUAUAGGGCAGAUACAAGUGGAAGCUAAGAGCUGCUGCCCAUCCACCACUGCAAGAAAUAUCUACAAUACCUGCCGUAUCACGGGUACAUCCCGUCCAACGUGUGCAAAACUGUCAGGCUGCAAAAUUAUCAGCGGGGACAAAUGCAAGCCCCCUAACGACCACCUCACCCUUGACCCGGACACUGGUAAAUAAUAAAUUUAUCUCACUUGAUUUCUUUGUGUUUUGAGUCGUUAAUGUAUUUUCCAUCUGAUGAAACGUAUUGGUUUUGCAUUGAAGAGGAAGUUAAUGUGCUUAACUUCUGCAAGUUGGGGUGUGCGUCGUCUGUGUGCAACAACAUCAACGCUGGUAAGCACCUUUUGCUCAGACAGAGAAAACAAUAAUCAUUAAUUAGCGGCAGCUAGAAUCCUAUAAUCUAAUAUAUAUAUAUAUAAUUUUAUCAGCUCUGGGAAAUGAAGAGGCGAACGAUGCCGUUGAGAGUUGCGACCAAGCCUGCUCUAGCUUCUGCAACGUGCACGUUGGCGCUGCCACCGUGGUUGCUUAAGCAAAUGCAUCCAACUGGAUCGUCCUUGUGCUGAAUAAUUGGAUAUCGUAUCCACUUAAAGCUGCCUUGUGUAGUACGUCUUUGUUUGUGUCUCUCUUUAUAUUCCAAUAAGGUCGGUGAUCUUGAUGCCACACACUCAGACGUGUGUUCAUCUCCAGAUACUACUCCAUGCUACCUACCCUUUGUGUUUUGUUCAAUAACUGGGUAUCAUAUUCCGGCCAGUGUGCCAUCUGUUUUGUGUUUAUUUCCUUCUAGUUCCAAAGGGGUCAUCAUGAUGUUACCUUCUUUCGAUAUGGUGCUUUGCAUGACUACUGUUGUAUGGUACCAUCUUGUUGGCCAAUAAAUACAUCUUAUCCUAUGACCCUUUGCUAUGACCCUUUGCAAAUAAGUACAAGAUUGUUAAAUACUCGGUAUAAAUUGACUACUGUUGUGAGUUCCCUUUCAGCUUAUUGUAGGCAUACAUUAUUGCUAGCACGGUGAAGACAACCAACACGAAUGAUCAAGUAAACGUACCGGUACUUUUGUAUACCAACACCCUUGCUUAAAUGUACCGGUGUUACUCCCCAUUGGCACAUAUAUUCUUUUAUGCUAGCCGGCUUGAAAAUUAACCGAUUAAAAUAAUUAUUUCAAGAUAGAAAUAACUUAUCGGCUUCUCGAAGCAUGUGUAAUGUGAAUUCAAGGACUCGAUGGAAGUUGAAUCGCUUCAUCUAGAUUGCUUUCAGGAUUUUGGGUAACUAAAUUUAACAUUUGCACAUACAAAUGUUAAUGUACAAAUGUUAAAUCUAGUUACCCAAGCAGAAUAUGAAGAUACUCUAUAGUAUAUAUAUACUAUAUAAAUCUAGUUAACAUUUAGUCUAAAUGUUAAAUCUAGUUACCUAAAAUCCUGAAAGCAAAAUGUAUAAAUAUAUAUCUUUUAAGGAAUCCCAAAGCAAGAGUUCAGUGGCAUUCUAUAGUCCCAUGCUGCUAGUUUGAGUUGGUCGAAGCCAACUUAAAUAGGAGAGCUCUCUCACUUCUCUAAAUACGUAACUGAAGGAGAGAAGGGGGCUUGGGUUAUACAAUGCACGCACGCACGCAUAUUUGCGUUCUUUUCGCGUAACCAACCAUGUGACUUGAAACUUGCGACGUAGCGUGCUGCCAAGUCAAGUUGAUAUAACCUUUUUGCCGUUUGCGUGUAAUCUUUUGACAACGGUCAUUGGAGGUGAUAAGCACGCAGUCAAUACCUUAAUCCUGAGUUAAUAGGGUGGUUACUACUGCCAAUUAGUGGGGCAAUUUUGUAGGGGAAACGGUUAGCAGAGGGCUACCGUCUUCUCUAUAAGAAGUUCUGGAGACGUCCAGAAACACACAUGUACAUGUGAGAGACCCACGAAUUCCUUCCCUUCUCCCUUUUCCAUCUGAUGAAGAGUGCUGUGGUACUGAGCUGCUGGAUCUCACCGGCUCUUCUCCUUGGCGUGCACUGAGGAGGGUGAGCGGUAUCUCCGAGCUAUUGCCGUCAGGAAGCCUGCACGACGGACAACAAUAAAGUUUUUGGGUAGCGCAACUGUGCAACCGCUCGAUUCGAUCGACUAUGUUAUGCGCUGCCUCAUCUUCGAUCUACACUGCAACGCGUAACCCUGCAGCAAGUCUACACGAGGACGGAGCACUAAUCUGUAAGUCCUAGAUUGGUUUCUUACAAAGUUGUAGGUUACACAAGAUCUAGAAUGUUACAUACCUAUUAUUAUGGGUUACAUGAUGUUUUGUACGGUUACGUCUAUUUUGCAUAUGCUAUUUUUACAUACCGUUUACAUGCAUAUGUUAAUGGUUACACCUAGCUAUUUGAAUCUAGAAUUGGGUUACAUAGUAGUAGCAAUGAGUUACGUAAUAUGCCUCAUGUUUAUAUCUGGUAGAAUUUAACACGUAUCUCCAACAUAUUUUGAGGCAGUAUAAAUUUCAAUUCCUUUUGCUGCUCUGUUAAAUACCAUCUUUCGUUGUGGCCCAACACUCUAGUAUGCAUGUAGCACCAAGCUUGUUUGAGCUGCUUUGUGCUCUGAUUUUGCUAUCUGUAUCAGGUUGGACUGUUUCUUUGUCUUGCGAUGUAUAGCUUCAUAUCUUCUAGAGGUUAGACAGCAAAACCCGCGUUCUCUUAAGGCAACAACUCGAAGAAUCUGCAGUGCCCCUGAUAUAUCACUGCUGCAGAAACGAUCUUUAGUACUGAUCUCCAACCCCCUUUAGUAUUGGUUUGGCAAUCAGUACCACUAUGUCGGUACUAAAGGGAGUUCUCUAGAAUCGGAUCAAAUAACCGGUACUAAAAGGGCUCCUUUACUACCAGUUGGUAACACCAAUAGGUAGUAAAUAUUUUGCACCCAAAAAAUUAAAGAAAAACAGCUGGGAGGCUCGCGCACACACGCAUCAUGAGUAAUAUGUGCGUGCAUGGUUUGUAGGAUUCCAACCCACGACCAAGCUAUAAGCACGUAGUUACAAAAAAUUAAACACUUAGACAUUUUAGAGCAUCCCAAAUAACUACAAAUUCUAUAGUUUACCAUAUACCAUAAAAUAUUAGUUAAAAUAAGAGCAUACACAUGUCGGAAGAGUCCCAACGCACCGGUUGAGGAUCAGACCAGGCACUUUGAAUGCACAUGCCAUAAGAUAAUUCUGCAGGACGAUGAUUGCAAUAAUGGACCAUCAAGAAGAUAGGGGCGAUGGGGUUGCCUCAUCAAUUAUCACUUGGCGCAACAAGACCAGCAAAGUCUUUAUCGACAGGGGUGGAUCAACGGGUGGGGCGGGCAGAGCUUCAGUCCUCCUACCGCCGCUCGAACAAUGGAGCCCCCCUUAGCCCCUCCAUAAAUUUUUAGGUAGAAGAAAAAAGAAGAGAAAGGAAGGAAGGGGAAGAAGAGGGAGCCCCUCCUAAGUAGGUCGCCAUCAUGCUUCCCAACGCAUGAUCGCCGCACCGCAUCCAUUCCUCUACAAGCCUCCAGCGUCUCUCCCGCCGCUACCUCUGAACCAUGUGCAGCUGCAGACCCAACUAGUGUCUUGUCCCCCAUCUCAGUCCCAACAGAGCAGCGGCGGUUGCCAGCACAAAUCUCCCUCCGCCUCUUCUUCAUGGUCGAUGGCCGCCACAAGCAUAAACCUCACCUUCGCAUCCACGCAAAAGGGUCGCUGGGGUGCCUUCUUGCAUCGCUUCUCAGCCUCCUUCACUUGCGGCCAGCCAAGAACCGUGCCACCACCUCGGGUGCGCGCCACCACUCCAGGGCUGCUACCCCAUGCCUGCGGCUGCCGCCGGCCACCACACAUGUCCCGCCGGCCACCACACGUGUCCAACCGCGUCGCACCGCUUCCCUGCUCUGUGCCACCACUUGUACCACCAGCUCCACCACCUUGGGCUGGUCGCCAGGGUGACUGAUUGGUGGAUUGUUACUAAAAAUAAGUUCCUUAUUAUCUGCAACUACUAUUAACUCACGGAUACAUGCAUAUUUUGCUUCUCCUGCUAAUAUGUCCUAAAAUAUCUAGGAUGCCUUAUAUUUCUGGAAAGAGGAAGUAUUUGAAUAAAAUGAACCAAUUUAAAAAAAUGUGUUAUACACUACUACAGAAAGACCUAUCAGUGUCAAACCCAAAAAUGUCGUCACCGCCAGUUUUAGGCACCGUUGGUGAAAGGUUGGCGGUGAUGGGCAUCCCCUUCAACAACGGCACUGGAGCCGACGGUGAUUGGCAUUAGAAAACAAAAAAGGGGACCCUACCUAGCCACCCCUGCAACCCGGCCAGCCGUGCCUCCCCUCGUCCCCGCCACCUCGCCUCCCCCGUUACCCCCCUCCGGCGCCCUUGCGCCUAGCCCCCUCGCCUGCCCGACUGGCCACCCUCGUCACGAGAGAGAGAGGUGCAUGUUGUAUAAUUGCGUGAAUUUUUUAAUGUUUAAUUUCAUGUAAGUUUCAUGUAAUAAAUUGUACAAGAUUUAUUGUAUAUAUGAAUUCCAUAUAUAUAUAUAUUUAUAAUUUAAUGUAUGGUUUCAUGUGUAUAUUUCAAUCAUGUGUAUAUUUAGUAGAUUGCCGAUUUUUUUUUACUAGACAAGGGUUGAUGUAUAAUUACGUGUAUAUGUUUAUUGUACAGGCAAUUAGGACAAGUUUUGUAUAAAUUUCUUUUAUUUCAUGGUUGUUGUAUGGUUUCAUGUAUAUACAUUUAUUGUAUCACUAAUUGUAUUAUUAGUUAAGAUGGGAGCCAAAGAGGAUGAAAGGUAUAUAAUGGAGCAGAUUAUUGCUGGCGGUAGUGGCUCAAACGUUGCAAGAACCUACACCGAGGGUGAGGGUAGCUAGGUGGACAUGUACCUCAACAUGUCCAGUGAUGGCAAUGGUGAUGAGGAGCACGAGCAUGACGUUUAUGAUAAUGCGGAACAAGACAUUGCAGAAUUGGAAGGUUCUAAUGAGGUGUGUUUCAUGUUGAUGAUCUGGUUGGCUUUUUUUCUUUGGUCACACCUUAGUUACCAUAGAACUUCGUCUCGGGAGAAGAUUAGUGGUGCUAUGGUGAUUGGAAUUUUAUUGCCUCCAAAUCUGAUUUCCAUCGAAUCAUAUCCCUUGUAUUUAUCUUCUUUUUAUUUGUGAGAGCAUCUUCUUUAUGCUUGCAAAACAAUUCAAGUGCACAUACUACACCUAGGGUGACGAUUAGGAGUAGAAACAAUUGCCAACAAACCAACACCACAUCCUAAGAUUCUUAACUUGUGGCAUAAUUAGUCUAGUAAAAAGAAAGAUAAAAACCUAAUGGGUGUACGUGAGUGCAAUGUGUAUAUGCAUAUGAGUGGAAGGCAUAUAAGCAAAGAUAAUAUUUACACAUAGUUCUAAACACCAUGUUUACAGCUAGGUUGCUGAAUUUCUCCAUAGCUAUAGAGAUUAAUUAACCAAGGUCAAAACACCAUGUCUAUCCCAAGAUCAGUAAUUCUUUAUAGCACAAGAAAAAGAAAGCGCAUUGCAAAGUUUAUAAACCAACCAAUGCAGCAUGAAAACAAGAUGAAUAGCUAGCAAGGUUUAUUAAACUGAAUGAUGAUGGUCUGCAAGCAAGUUUAAACACCAUCUUUACACAAGAUUGCGAAUGGAAAAUGCCCAUAUGAAGCACUAACAUGGAUAUGAAAUCAUUCAUCAUAAAGCGUAAAGAACAACCAAGCCAACCAUAUGCAAAGCAUGAAUGGAAUGCAAUGAAGGUGCAAGAGAACAUUUUUGGAUGAACACAUUAUAAUGAUGGCAAAAUGCAAUGCAUGCAGAAAAAAUAAAUAUGAACAUGAAUAUGAUGAUCAUGGGGCGGACCCACUAUUGUGGCCUGGGUAUUCCUGGGCAUACCCAAUAUUUUUGGGAAAAUGUUUAGUAGUUUUUAAUGGUAUAUACAUGUAUAAUAUAGUUUAGGUGUUAAAAUUGAUAUUCACAGCUAUUUUGGGCCGCAAUUCGCGUCCAAACCAGCCUGGCCCACAGACCACACCCGGCCGGCCGGCCCAUCUAGUCACUGAUCCCCCCACCACCACACUCAGCCCGUCAGUCGGUCAGGUCCCGAGCUCCUGCCUGACCUAGUCCGCUACCGCCGCCAGGUGCCAGGCACAGCCGCACGCACCACGCCGCCCCCGUCCGCCGCACGGCCGCGCCGCGCCCCCCAGCCCCCGCGGUGAGAUCCCGCCGCCCGCUACCGCCAAACCUCAUUAGGCCUCCACCAGCAGGUCCACCCACAAUCCCGAGCGACGCGGCAGCCUCUUGGCUCUCGUCGNNNNNNNNNNNNNNNNNNNNNNNNNNNNNNNNNNNNNNNNNNNNNNNNNNNNNNNNNNNNNNNNNNNNNNNNNNNNNNNNNNNNNNNNNNNNNNNNNNNNCCCCCCCCCCAUCGGGCCUCGGCCCCUCCCCAGCUCCCCCCCUCCACCAGGACUGCUGCUUCCCCCCACUGCGAGGUAAUCAAAAUCGACUGCUCAAUCUCUCAAUCUGUUGACAUGAUGCACACGGUUGCAAAAAUAGAUGUGUCAAAUAGAUGUAUUGCCAAUUGCUAUAGAUGCAUACGGUUGACAUGAAGAAGUCAAAAAUGACAUUUGGUUCCUUGUAGGCAGUCAAAACUGAAGAAGUCAAAAAAUAUUGAUCUGAAAUCAAUGUGGGAAAGGGCUACAAAGACACACAGGUAGAUUCCCUUGUGAACUUUUUAUGUCGUUCGUCUAAAUAUUUUUUUGCAAUGGGCAUACCCUACUCUAAAAUCCUAGGUCCGCCACUAAUGAUGAUGGUCUAAAAAUAAAACAAGCCUAGAUUAAUUAGCCACAACUGAAAUUAAGCAAAGGCUAAUGUCAUUGACACUAGCUCUAUCCUAGCUUUUACCAAAGUCCUGGCACAUAUAGUGGUUGGGCCCACUCUCUCUGCUUCCCUCUCUGUUGCAUGCACGCACACGAGCAACGGGAGGCCCGACGAAGCCCAGAAGGGUUCGGCCAAACCAGUCUGAGCGCCGCUCCCUCCCAGCCUUCGCGCAGAUGCUCCUCCAACGUUCCUUGACCCCUCCCUCAGCGUCCCGUUGGGUUUAACAUUGCAGGACAGGAGUCCCUUUUUUAAAAUCUCAACCACCUCCUCUCCUCAUUCACUCCACUCUCAUCUCCAUCAAACUAAACGAGAUCCACACCAGAAAUCCCUGCUUACCACCAUGGCUAGCAAAGCCCUCGUCCCUUUCACCAACUUAGGCUUGACCACUGAUCUCGAUGGGGAAAUCACUCCGGCAAAUGUCAUUGUCCCUGUCGGGCGAUCUUGCGAUGGAGGAGGUCCAGGCACUAGAGGUCGAGCCCCUAGCCAUCAUACCGCCCAAGGGGUAAAGCAGGGGUGUGACAGGCGCUGCUAGGGGUUCAGCCAAACUCCUAGUUCGGCCAAACCAGGACGGCGCCGCCUCGGCCUCCCGCUCGACUGCACGCUCGCCCUUGCCAAGGAGGACUCUAGAACAGCGGGCGCGAGCGUCAAGUCCCUACAAAAGGCUGAAAUACAAUGAAUAUCCAGGGCCACCCUUGAAGAUGGGUGAACGCUACGCCGGGUCCUUGUUUGACUAGUACGGCGAUGCAUUCUGCCACCGCUAUGAGGAGGACUUGUGGGCAGAAAGUCGGCUACCACAAACUUGCCUCCGAAUAUUUGGAUUGCGAACCUUGGAUGGUGGUUGUGGAGACCCCAAGCCAUACCUCGCACCCUUGGAGAGGUAAUUGGCUGGAUUGCUUGGUUCGUCUCUAGAAUGCGACAAGGUCAGGCGCCACCUCUCACUGCUACCAGUUAGAAGGCCGAGGGGCCAGUUUCAACAUAGUAAUGAGAAUCUCCGAAGGCCACCAUGGUUAAGCAGCUAACCUCCAUGAUCAUAGACUUACGUUUAGAAAAUAGGAGGCUUAGCGAUGCGUUAACAGAGCAGAAGUUAGAAACAGAAGAACUUAAGGACAACUUCCGUGUCCUCCGUCGUGGUCUUUGUGCUAAGAUAAAGCGCUUGUACAAUGCCACGGGGCAUGACGGUCUCUACGAUGCAGCUCAAUAGACGUGCCCCUUGUAUCCCUUCCUUUAGGCACUUUAGAAUAUGUUUAUUUGUUUUCCUUCAUUUUAAUUUCCAAUCAGAUUGUUAGCACCUCCAAUUUAAUUUCAAUAAAGUGUAGACUCACCGGUCAUCCAACCUGAUGGAGUCCUUGUGUCACUUAGUUGUCUUUGGAAGAAGUAGCUAGGUACAAAAUAAGUGUGGGGGAGAGCCACGGACUCUCUAGAGUUGAAACAAUGCACAACACCCACAAAUAGAGAAAACCACGCUGCACCAGCACGUACGUGAAAGGGGAGCCAGAGCUGGACCCAUAGGGGUUUGGCCAACCCAGGGUGUGGCCCACUCGGGCCAUCUUCAUCCACCGCGUCGGUUUGUGUUUCUUUACCCCUGAUCUCCCUGAUUCAUGAGUUUGAAUGAAUUUUAAAUCUGACCAACUAAUUCAAACUCAACUAAAAUGAAUCAAUUGCUCCACCUGCUCUACAUGUUUUCUAUGGUUGGCUUGCAUAUGUUUUAUUCCAUGCUUAUCAUCUUGAUGCUUGUGAACAAAUAUCUUUAGGACAGCAUGCUCAUCUAAGUAGUUGAUGUGUAUGAUAUGGUUUGAUGAUAUGAUCUUCGCUCUUAAUGCUUAAGUGCUUGGAAAAUUCUAUUUGAAAAUUUAAAGCCUUUUUUGAAAUCUCCUCUUUGAUGUGCCAAGGUCCUACCAAAGCCGUAUGAUAAGUUGUCUUGAAGAACCAUUUGCAUAUAUUGCUUGUCUUUGCAUUAAGCUUUGUCAAAGUGGUGUGACCCUUGAAGAACCAUUUGCAUAUAUUGCUUGUCUUUGCAUUAAGCUUUGUCAAAGUGGUGUGACCCUUGUGACAAUUCUUUUCAUACUUUCAUGAUCAAGACUCAUGUGCACACCAUAUACCCCUUGCUAUGCUUCUAUGAGAUGUUAGCAUUGUACCAUCCAUUGAUUCCACAAAAUAAAUGCUCCACCAUAUGUGUUGGUCUCCUUCUAAGAUUAUUGUUACAAAAGAGAUAUGGGCUAUCAAAAAAAAAUAUGAAUGUCCUAGAAAGUUGGACACAUAAAUGUCAAGAGAUCAUACAAAAAGGAGUUUCCAUUCCAUCCACCACAUCCAUACACGUGCACAUCUUGAUCUGAUUGUAUGACUUAUUUUUCUCUUUGGAUCUGGUCUUUGACUUUGCAAUAUAUGUGAUGCAAGUAUGCCUUAUCCUUCAUAGCCUACCUUGAGCUCCACAUAUAGCCAUCAUUAGAAGUAGGAUGAAGAAAGGCAAGUCUAAUGCCUUGGUGAGGACAUAUACACAUUGAGUGAUCUGAGAGAAUCAAAUGAGGAGCUAAGCAAGGUUUUGUUUUGAAAACUAAUUGAAAAAUCCCAAGCUACUUGGCAUAUGGAGUUGCGGUGACUUGAUUCAAGAUCAUUCCAUUCCUCAACUACCCAAGAUGGCAUGAUAGACACUCCAAAGUUCACAAGUGCAGGUAUGGUUUGGAAUAUCUUUUAGGCUCGCUUCAUACCUUUGAAAGUUAUGUUUCACCUUAGUCCUUUCUUCUUCACUCGAGGAUAAGCAAAGGCUAAGUGUGGGGGUGUUGUUGAUGGCUCUUAAGUACCAAAUCUGCACCAUCAACUCUUGCAUAAACACAUAAAAUAUGAGCAUCAACAGUAGUGGUAGCAGUUAUUACAAACGAAUUCCACAAGUCUUGGUGAAUAUUUGUAUGCAGGCCCAUUAGGAGAGAAAAGACACCUCAAGAGCAAGGAAACACACUCUCAACCAAUCAGGAGCAAGCACAUGGAACCAUGGGCCCACAACCGGAAGGAAAUCGACUACAUUCACCACCAAACACCCUAUACCCACAUGAGAACCCAUAGGCAGUGACCCAGAGCAGAGGUGGUGCCAGAGUGUAGAUGGCAGUUAGCAUGCCAAAUUGUGAACCGCAAGCGCACGGAUCAAUUGUUGCUUUUCCCUUAGAGAUUCCCCCAAGGUUUAUGAAUCCAUGGAAUAAGGGAUUUGCACGUUUAACUAAGCACUAAUCAAUGUAAUUGAAAGCUUUUCGAAUAAGAUAUGAUUAUGCUAACAAAGGAACUAAGCAAUCUAGAUUAAGAUGGAUAGAGAGUAAAGGUUGUGAACAAGAUAGAUUAAAUGCUUGUCCUAGGGAUCUAGGAUCACUUGUAGAUGGAAUCGCCAUGCAUAAAUGAAUUAGAUCUAGGUGUUAUCAUGAGUGGUUGUGAACCAUGCCCAACACUUUCCCACCCGCAACACUGUCACUACAUGUGGGUACUCAACUAUCAGAACAUAAGAACACAUCAAGAUGAUCAUUCUAGGUAAGCAAAUAAGCAACCCAAAGUAGUGCUGGCUAGCCUUUUCAUGAAAGAGCAUCAUCAAGAUAAGAUUGAUAACAAAAUAGAUCUCAACCAAAGGUUCAGCGAUUACAAAUCAAGAUCUCCGUAUAACCCCGAUGACAAAUAGAGGUAUUACCCCCAUGAUCUUACACAUGUUGAUGAAUUUUGGGGUAAAGGACACCUUGUAGAUCAAUUGGACCAAAGAUGAUGAUAAACGGGGGCAGGGAAGGCCCAGACCGAUCAGCCUGGGCACUUUUGAGCCGAUCAGCUCAGGGGGUUUCCUCCUCCCCUAGAGAUCAUGGUACACUUCACGCUGAAGAAACAAGAGAUCGACCGAGCCCUGGGAUAGACCAUGAGGAUCAGCCUAGAGGGUCCUAGGCCGAUCGGCCUAGGCCCUUCCUAGCCCUUCUGGUCCUCUCCUUCCUCAUGCUGGCUUUUCUCGACGACCCUUAUCCAAAUAUCCAUUAAGCUCUCUAUACAUACCCCCUUGAUUAUGUCGUAUUUCCUGCCAAAAUACAAUGCUCCAAAAUACAACACAUAUGCAAUAAUAGGGUUAUUUUAGGUGCCAAUUGGUGGGUUAGUAUACGAAUAAGCAUGAAAAUACUGAUUAAAUGGCACUAAAAGUGUGUCAAUAAUGAGCACCAACAAUCCCCCCACGCUUAGAUCUUGCUCGUCCUCGAGCAAGUCUAGCGACUAAAAGAUCUUGAAUUAAACCUGAGCAAGCGAGUCAAGUACCUAGCCUUGAAACAAAAGAUUAGAGGAGCAGCAAAGAUAAUCAAAGUCUGGGUGUUCAAAGAUUUAUCUAAGCAAAGAUUCCCCUACAACUAUUAUUCAGAACCAAGUAACUUCAAGUAUCAACUACACUUAUUUUUUGGCUUUUUUCAGAGGGUUUUUCUUUCAUCAUAAAACAAUCUCCCUGCAAAAAAAUUGGAAAAAGAAUUAUUUUCCAGGUGCUUAUAUGUCGCUUAAAUGAAUGUUGGCUAUCCUACUUAUUUGCAAGCUCUCAUCUCUCAAAAGUCAUUCAAUUCUAUGGUGGAGCUUGGGUAAGGUUAGCUAGAAUCAACACGUAUAUUAUUGAAUUAAGAAAACCCUCUAACGGUGGCCUACCUUCCGAGCCAUUGAUCAUAAGAAUAUCCACAUAAUGUGAAGUUUUCAAGGAUGAGAAGAUAUAGAAUGGUGGACAUGUGCAAAUGCAAAGAAAUAUAGUGACUCUGAGGCACAAGCAAUGUCCUCGUCAUUGGAUUGCAUAUGGUUGGAAUGAAAAUCCGUUCCUUAAACAAGUCCAUCUUUUCUUUGCACCACUCUUGAUCUUCAUGACAGUAAAAACUCCUCCUUUAUUUUUUUCUCUCUUUUCCUAUUAUUUCUUUUUAUUUGUCUCAAUACUUUUCUUUCUUUCUUUCUUUAUUUUAAUCUCUUCUCUGAACCUCCUCUGAACACCACACAAUAAAAAUCAGUUUUAGAUCCUUCCAGAGACCUUCCAUGAAUUUGCUACAUGAAAACUGAGGCAAGGAGACCUCAGGCCGAUUGGCCUGGCCACUCCUUUGCUCUCCUCUAGCUCUUCUUUCUGGUGAAGCUUCCAUAUCUUGUAUCUUUCCAAAAAUUUCAAUAAGCUCGACUAGAAGCAGAACAGAUCUUCAUAUAAUGAGUUGUGUUCAAGGAAUUGGUAAUAAAAUUGAGAAAUUUGUGGUCCGGGUUUACGAAUUCAGUACAAAAAUCUGAUGGUUCCAAUGAAGAACUCUCAUUACUGAAUAUUGACGAGGCAAGCAUUCAAAGAUGGUAAAAAGGAUAUGAUCAAUUCUCAAAAUUAAAGCAAACCAAGAGAGAGCGAUCCUAAUUCAAUUCAAAGUGUCAAAUAUUGCUUAUGGUGGUAUGAAUAAAUAUUUUUAGGCAUUGGGUAGGAUAAAUAAAAACUCUCAACCUGGUUAAAAUAUAUUGAUCAAUCUUGUUUUUGCAGAGGUUUUAAAUAAAAAAUAAAAUUUUAAAUCACCUCCAAUUCAAAGCCUUACUCAUAAAUCAUAAUCAAAACUGAAGCACUUGAUCAUCAUAAAGCAUGGGUAUUGCAUAAACAAAUUGAUUACUAAAACUCCACAACUACGAUUUAGAAUUCAAGACAAUGCUCAUAAUCCAAAGUUGCAAAGACAAAAUAAAAGACAAGCAAGCCAAGGUAGACACUAAAAACACUUGCACGAUCCUUGAAUUUUAUUCAUGCUUCUUCUCACAAAGAUGCUAAAGUAGCCAUGUAGGCCUAAGUCUUCCCAAAAGCUUAAUAAGAUUACUACUUUAUUUACUUUUGGUUGAAAUAAAAACACUAAUUUAGACUCUCACAUGACUCGACUCGACCAAACUAGAUCCAAAAACUCAUAUGAGCGACGAUCUCCACCCCCCCUCACGCUUAAAAUCUACGACCUCCUCGUCGUAACCAUAUGGAGUACAUGGAAAAGAUGCUUGUAAAUGCACUAAUGACGCUACCCGCACUACUUGCACAUGGGAUGGUUGCUGCUUCCUUCACUUUGUUCUUCCUCAUGUUGCUGCACAUCUCGAAGAGCUUCCUCAUGUUCCUCUGCAAGAACUUGAAGUCGUCCUCCUGACUUGCAUGAUGUCAUCGACAGCAUCGAAGAGGUAGUGGAUGUUCUUCCUGCAAGCUGCGGAACAUGUACGAUCAUGCUCCUCUGAUUCUGGCCCGUCGUCUUCUAGAUCCUUCUCUUUGCCCUUGUCUUGAUGGUGGCCAUCUUGCUCCUUGCUCGCCUUCUUGCCUUCAGCCCAAUCCCAGUACGUGUUGUCAUCUUCUUCAUCAUCACGGCCUGCAGCACCCUAUGAUCCAGGGCUCCUAUCGUCCUCCGAAUUGCUAUCACCUCCAUAGUCAGCUGGCGUGUACUCGGGCAUCUUCGCUAUGUAGCUCUUGCGCUUCAUCAUGAGGAGCCUUGCUGAAAUCCUUGUGGGAGUGACGACGACCUCCUUCUUCUUCUUGGGUGCUUCAUCUUCGCUCGAGAAGAUGAUCAACAUGCGAUUCGCAAGCUUUCCGGAUGGUGCCUUGCCUCCAACACUGAUGUGAGCGUUACGAGUAGUCCUUGGUGGAGUUUUGGGACCCUACUCACACCUCUUGGCUUCCAUAUGAAGGGUGAAGGUGGCAGCCAAGGGAGGGGGUGGUGCUGAUCGGCUUGGGGAGGUCAGGUCGAUCAGCCUGGCCGCCUCCUUCGCCGGCUGCUGCCCCCUCUCGUCUCCCGAGCUCCUGGACGUCACCACUGCACUUUUUUUUUGGUUUGGUGGAUCUGAAUUGCUUGUGUAGAUGCAAAACUCAAGCUCCAAUUGGCCUCAUUAUAUACUCUUGAAGUCUUUGUCAAGGAUCCACACAUUUCCAAAAACUUCCUUGCCCCUUCCCGCAAAAAUUCACUUCCAUAAUCUGUUGUUACCAAAGAUGUGAAAGAGGGAACUGAAUCGGAAAUUACAUAUAUUUUUAGACGUACGCUCUGCCUCCCAAAUUUUCAUGGCAGCGCGUAUGUCUAAAAAUAUAUGUAAUUUUUUGAGUCUUACACAAAAUUCAAAUGAAAAUAAUAGAAUUUAAGAUAGUGUAUGUACAAGGUACCUAUUUUAGUGUCGUCAAGCUUGACUUGGCCAUUCUUCCUUCAUGGUAUAGACGUCAAUAGAAUUGAUAGGCACGAUGUCGGCUUCCAAGAAUACCUUUAGCCGCUGUCCAUUCACAAUAUAUUGAUCUCCUUUGACGUCCAUGAUUGUUACUGCUCUGGUAGGUGACGCAGAAUACAUGACGUAUGGUCCACCCCACUUGCUCAUCAAUUUUCCCUUACCGAAGAAUUUAAACAUGGAGUUGAACAAUAACACUUUAUCCCCUUCUUUGAAUUCCUUCUUAUGAGGCCUUUUAUCAAACCACCUCUUGAUUCUUUCCUUGUAAAUGCUUGCAUUGUGGUAAGCUUUAAGCCUCAUCUCUUCCAAUUCACUUAUUUGAAUCCUUCUUUUUACUCUCGCAGCAUUAAAAUCAAGAUUCAUCUCUUUUAUGGCCCAAUAAGCUUUAUGUUCAAGUUCAACAGGAAGAUGACAUGUUUUUCCAUAGACAAAUUUAUACGGGGUCAUACCUAUAGGUGUUUUAUGAGCUGUCCUAUAUGCCCAUAAUGCUCCGUCUAGUUUCUUUGACCAAUCCUUCCCUCCUUUGACUAUGGUCUUUUUCAAUAUAUCUUUGAGUUGCUUGUUUGAAGUUUCUGCUUGGCCAUUUGUUUGAGGAUGAUAGGCUGUAGACACUCUGUACUCAAUCCCCAGUUUCUUCAAACAUUUGCCAAAAUCUUUUUCUAUGAAAUGUGAUCCUCCGUCGCUUAUCAAUAUUCUGGGCACUCCAUACCUAGGAAAUAUUAUCUUCUUGAUCAUGUGAAUUGAUUCCUCUGUUGAUGCCUUCCGACAUGGGAUAGCUUCUACCCAUUUAGACACAUAAUCAACUAUAACCAAGAUGUGCUCAUAGCCAAGUGAAUUUAAGAAUGGUCCCAUGAAAUAUAUACCCCAAACAUCAAAUAGAUCCACUUGCAAACUAUAGUUCAAAGGUAUAGAAUUUCUAGAUGAAAUAUUUCCUUUUCUUUAGCAUUCUGAGCAAGUAGCAAUGAACCUCUUUGCAUAUUCGUGCAUCUCUAGCCAAUAAAAUCCCCUUGCCCAUACUUUUGCUUGAGUUUUGAAGUGUCCAUAAUGUCCUCCAUAUUCUGAUGAAUGGCAUUUCCUAAGCACCGCAUCUCUUUCUUCUCUAGGAAUCCAUCUUCUCAAUACUCCAUCUACUCCAUACCUAUAUACAAAAGGUGCAGACCAAUAGUAUUUCUUAUUUUCAGCAAUAUUUUUUCUUCUGUCAUUCCUAUCCAAGUGAUGCAAGGGCGCCCUUUUGAAGACUCUGAUAAUGUCAUGCAUCCAAUCAUCCUUGUCAAGUAUUCUGUAUAAAUGGUCAUCUCUCAUUCGAUCUUUAAUUGGCUCCUUCCCAUUAUCUUGUUGGUACAUCCUCGACAAGUGGUCAGCUACCACAUUUUUUGACCCCUUUUUAUCUCUAAUUUCCAUAUCAAACUCUUGUAGUAACAAUAUCCAAUGAAUCAGACCUGGUUUAGCAUCUUUCUUGGACAAAAGAUAUUUAAUUAAAGCAUGGUCGGUGUCCACAAUCACUUUAGAAUACACAAUAUAUGAUUUGAAUUUUUCCAAAGCAAAUACUACGGCAAGCAGCUCCUUCUCUGUAGUUGCAUAAUUUAUUUGAGCCUCAUUUAAAGUCUUGCUAGCAUAGUAAAUUGCGUGUACCUUCCCUUCUGUUCUUGUCCAAGUACUGCUCCAACAGCAUAAUCACUUGCAUCGCACAUUAUCUCAAUGGGUAGAUUCCAAUCCGGAGGUUGAAUGAUGGAUGCACUGAUAAGUGAUUGCUUUAAAGUUCUGAAAGCAUAGAGACAGUCUUCAUUGAAUUCAAAGCUCACAUCUUUCUGUAGAAGUUGUGUUAAUGGUUUUGUUAUCUUCGAGAAAUCCUUAAUAAAUCUUUUGUAGAAUCCGGCAUGUCCGAUAAAGCUUCUCAAUGACUUGAUGUCUGUUCAAGGAGCUAACUUUUCCACAGUUUCAAUCUUCGCUUUAUCAACUUCUACCCCCCCCCCCCCUCUAAGAUGACAUGCGCCAGCACUAUUCCUUGCUUCACCAUAAAGUAGCACUUCUCCCAGUUUAGAACUAAAUCAACUNNNNNNNNNNNNNNNNNNNNNNNNNNNNNNNNNNNNNNNNNNNNNNNNNNNNNNNNNNNNNNNNNNNNNNNNNNNNNNNNNNNNNNNNNNNNNNNNNNNNNNNNNNNNNNNNNNNNNNNNNNNNNNNNNGCGUUGAAUUGAUGUGGGCGCAUUGCAUAGACCAAAAGACAUUCUUCUAUAAGCAAAAGUUCCAUACAGACAAGUGAACAUCAUCUUAUGUUGGUCAUUCGGAUGUAUAGGAAUUUGAUCACUAUCCUGUCACUAUCCCCUGGAGAAUUAGCUCAUUCUUCUCAUUUGUCACAACAGUCAAUCUAUCCUUCUUUGGCACGCAAUGCACUGGGCUUACCCAUUCACCGUGUGGUACUGGAUAGAUUAUUCCAGCAUUAAGCAAUUUGAUCGCCUCCUUCUUUACUACAUCACGCAUAGCAUGCUCAAUCUUCUCUAGUUCUCCACAACUAGUUUGUAUUGAUCUUCUAAUUGUAUUCAAUGAGUGCAUAAGGUUCGAUUGAUUCCUUUCAAGGCUUUGAUUGUAUAUCCAAUCACUUUCUAAUGUUUUCUUAAUAAAUUCAGCAGCUUCUCAGUUUCUUCCUUCCUCAACUCGUUGUUGAUAAUGACUGGAUAUGUCUUGUUGUUCCCCAAAUAUUCAUAUUUUCAUCCCUUGGGUAAUGGCUUCUGCUCAACAUCUGGUGCUUUAGUCUCUUGCUGCUCCAAAUCUCCAAUGUCUUCAAAUUUUUUUGCUUCUAAAGUUCCGUAUUGCAGUGAUAAUGCUUCGGUUGCUUCUGCCAGUUCAUCAUCCUGACCACCCUCAUUGUUUUCCAUUGCUCUUAGUAGAGGAUCCCUGAAAUUUUCAGCAAAACAUACACUUUCUAAUUCCUCGUUAUCAGGAAGUAGAGGUAGGGUUUGUUGAGAAGCAGGCAAAAAAUUAUAAGUGUAUUUGGCACUGCCAAGAUUAAUCGUUACUUUGUCCUUCCCAGCAUCAACCACAACAUUAACCAACUUAAGAAAAGGUCUACCAAGGAUAAUAGCAUCAUGGCAAUCAUCAAUAACAAAGAAGUCAGUUGGUAUAACUUUUCCCGAGAUAGCAACAUCUAGAUCUCUAUGCACACCUAGAAAGACUUUCCGUAUGGUUGCACGUUUCACUAGAAAGACUUUCCCUCAAGUCGGUCUUUAUGUGAUCGGAGUAAGCUAUUGGGACAGGAUCCUCUACCGAGGCUGCCCUCUUACUCCCUUGUACUGUCCUUAAUAGUUUCUAACUCUUUAGUUGGUAAUUUUAGAUUUAUCUCAAAAACUCACACAUUGUGUUUGCAUAUUCCUAGGGAGUUCUAUCUUCUAAAAUGAUGCUCGAUCAUCGAUCUAGUCAUGAUCGGGGUAAUUUAUGGGAUUUUUUGCUAGAAGUGGCUUCAUGUCAAGGCGAGAAAGAGAACAGAUGUGGGUUGCUUCUGUAGGUUUGUAAAGAGAUGAAAGUUAGAUUAUUAUCUUGGUAGAUUUUAAUAUCUAUGAAUACAAGGGGUACGUGCUAGGAAUUACCUUCAUUAAAAGUCCUUAGCACGUUUUCCUAGGUUGACUAGAGCCCUGGCUUCUCAAUCUUCAGGUCUUCCGCUUCUACUUCUUGUUGGGGUCAUUGGAGCUUCCACCAGGAUCUCUGGAGUCCGGAUCUUCCAUUUCUUGUCGCAAUUCGAGCCUUACCAGGCUAACGCAUCUACGCAUCUGCUGGACGGCCAAAAAUUUGACUUCACAUAUUUUUUUGGAUCCUUGGCUUCCAACCGGGUCUUGGUUGUGUCCUCGCCUCCAACAAGCAUGCAAUCAUACAAAUAAUUCUAACAAUCAAUUUCUUGCAAUCAAUAUAUGACUAAAGGAAAUGGAAAAAGAAUGGAUGAUGGAUGCUUUAGGAAUUAUCAGAUUUCUAAGGAUAAUUCCAGAAUAAUUGAUGGAUAUCUUAUCCAUUAUUUAGAAAUAUUUCUAAAUAAUUGAUGGAUAGGAUAGUUGGAUUUCUAGGAUAAUUUUAAUAAAUUAAUAAUAGAUUUUCGAGCAGUACGACCGCUAGGGUUUUGUUGAUAUCUAGGGUUUUGAUUGGGCAACAUAUCAACUAGGUUUGGUUAAUAUAGGAGGUUUGGAUUGGGUACUAUAACGGCUGGGUUUUGGAAUGGAUCCUAAGUGUGAUUCGGGCGCUAGGUGUUGUGAAUGGAUUUCAAGGCUAGGAAACUUGCAUGACAAGCUCGGCUUCGACCCUACGACGGGUGGAGCUAGUCAAGUUUCCUUGGGCUUGGGUUGGCUGUCAGGCUUGAGAGUUUGUGCGACGGGCAUCACUUCGACCUGACCUGGUGCUAGAAGUUAGCAACCCAGCGAUAGGUGGAGCCAAGCAAGACCAAGUGGAAGCUAGAGAGCUUGCACGACAAACUCACUUCGACCACUAGGGUGGAGCUCGGGCAAGAUCAAGUGGAUGGAAGUUAGAGCUUGCUUGACAGACUCACAUCGGCCACUAGGGUAGAGCCUGGGCAAGGUGACCAAGGAUGGGCAUGGGAAUAGGCUUGGAUGGCUCUAAGAUAUUUUAAGGAAUUUUCCUAGGGUUUUUGGAAGUGAAAUAAAUGAAAUGCAACUUUUGGUGUGCACUUUAAGAGGGUUUUUCUACUAUGUAAGUAAGAAAAGGAUAUUUUGGCGAAGGGGUCAUAUGAGGUGAUCAAUGGGAAAGGAACACAUGGAUAGGUUUGGAAUAUUUUGGAAAAUUUUAGGAACUUUUGGAGUACAUGAAGGGCUCUAAGUGAACUUGUGUGUGCAUUUGGCUAGGUACGCAUAGCAAUUUCAGGAGCGCUGCCGCAACAGGGCGGGGCUGCGGGUACUGUGGUGUGGAACCGUGGUCACAACGAGCGAGCUGCGCAUGUGCAGUGGGCCGAGGUAAGGCAGGCUGAGCGAGUGUUCAGAUUUAUUUACCGACACAAACAACAACCAGUAAAAUCAACAAAUCAAGCACAAGAGAUACAAGGAUUUAUUUACCAAAGUUCAGAUUCCUUCAUCGAGGAUUCCUACAUCUCCGUUGGGUUCUUCCAAUAAAGCCGAGUCACUCUCAACCCUUUCCCCACUUCAUAUCUUGAUUUCUUCCCCUACGGAGGCGAAAUCAAAGCCUUCACAAACUUUUCAUGGCACACCACAAGCUUGGGUACUCACCAGGUGAUGCCUAGCCAUCUUGGAGGCUUGACCUAGCCACUCAAUCUGUCAAUCUGUCCACCCAACGCAUUUUUCUCUUCAAAUCUGAUAGGAACACUCAAGCUCUAGUAACAAAAUGGAGGGGAUGGAAACACAGAAGCGUAGUGGUGGGUGGAUUGGAUAAAACUAGCUAGAAUCACUUGAAGAUCACUCAACAAGAUCAACUAGCACCGAAUAUUACUCUACGGUUUUCUCAACUAGGAUAACUCGGAGAUUACUCGACGAGAUCAAUUAGCACCGGAGGUUACUCUACGGGUUUCACAAGGAAGAGCAACACUCAAUUCUCGUAUCAUAUCAAUUCAUCAACUCUGCACAACACAUUGCAUAGCAUCCCUUUAUAUAGAGAGGGAGAGACAGACACUUAAUACUUUGAACUCUUAGAAAAAUUAAAUGGACACUUAGGAACUGACUCCCUAAUUACUAGUCUUAGACUCUAAGAUACAUAUGACUCUUGGGAAACAAAGAGAUAAUAAAGCAACUGAAGAGUCUUGGACUUUCGCGCGGCUUCCUGGCAGCCUGCACACUUUACACUAAAAUGACCAUAACUCUUGACUCGGAAGUCCAAAAGAUGCAUCGUUUGUGGUGUUGGAAACUGUGCCAAUUAUUUCUCUCUUUUUCAUUCUCUCUUGGCUUAUAUCCAAAAUCAUAGCAGCCGUUGUUGAACAUUGAACUCAGAUCCAAAAAUUCCAUACAUGGAUCCAAAAAAUUUUCACUGAUAUGUUUGUCCUCAAAAAAGAUAAUACUUGUUGGCGCAUAAUAGAUAGAAACUUCAGGAUUAAUGGACAGAAAAGUGUUCGUCUCAUCACUUUGAAAGAAAUCAUCCAAUAUAUUUUCAUUAACAGAUUCAAUAGGAUCAAAAUCAAUGGAUAUAUUUUGCUCCUCAUCAUAGAUAGGUGGCAUGCAAUAACACCACUUCUUGGAGACACCAUACGAAUCAUAAGAUGCCAAACCAUAAAUCUUGCAACAAUGAUAGUCCAAAACUUCCCAUUUGCUGCAAACCAAGGACAUCAAGUUGAUCAAAAUCAGUACCUUCAUAACCAGUAGCGCCAUGAAGAGCAGCUUAACAUCCAGAAACAUCACAACCAGUAGGAGCCCCACAAGCAACUUGAUGGCCAUAAUCCUCACAGCCAGCAGUGGCACGACCAACAACCUCUUGACGAGGUACUUCACAACUAGCAGCCUCAAGACCCUAUAAGCGUUCUUGUACUUGACGAUUUUCUUCUCCAAGACCUGCAAGGAUCACAUCAUGGUGAUCAUGCUCUUGGUUGGCAAUGUCGUUGUCGGAGUCUGCUUGAUGACGUUGAUGACAAGCCAUCAACCUUAAUCCAGAUGAUAGAAAUCUUGAAGCAUGGAACAAUAGCUCUGAUUAUCAAAUGAUAGGAACACUCUCACUCUAGUAACAAAAUGGAGGGGAUGGAAACAUGGAAGCAUAGUGGUGGGUGGAUUGGAUAAAACUAGAAUCACUCGGAGAUCACUCAACAAGAUCAACUAGCACCGGAGAUUACUCUAUGGAUUUCUAAAAUAGGAUAACUUUGAGAUUACUUGAUGAGAUCAACUAGCACUAAAGGUUACUCUAUGGGUUUCACAAGGAAGAGCAACGCUCAAUUCUCAUAUCAUAUCAAUUCAUCAACUUUGUCCAACAAAUUACAUAGCAUCCCACCCUUUAUAUAGAGAGGGAGAGAUAGACACUUAAUACUUGAACUCUUAGAAAAACUAAAUGGAAAUAAAGAGAUAAUGAAGCAACUGUAGAGUCUUGAACUUUCGCGCACCUUCCUGGCAGCCUGCACACUUUCCACUAAAAUGACCCAUAACUCUUGACUCGGAAGUCCAAAAGAUGCCUCGUUUGUGGCAUUGGAAACUUAACUCAUAGGACUUUCUAAUGAUGUAUCAUAUGAAUACGGAAACCAAGUAGAUCAGUACCAGAAAUCCAUGAAACUUAGAGAUGUUGCUGCAUGUUCUUCCAACUUGUGUAAACCACCACCAUUUCAUGUAACCGGUUGGUUUACCUUCCCAUGAGGAUAUCAAAAUAUCUUGAAAAUCUAGAGAGGGGAGAGCUUCUUCGGUCUGUGAAUAUGUCUUUUUUGUGUGGGAAACCAGUAGCAGCUAAUGGGAGGCGGUGAGUGGUACAAAUACCUAUCCCAAAAAACUAGCUGUUGGGCUGUUAAGUUCCAGAAUCUCUGGAAAAAAUCUCCGAAAACUCUGGAACCCUAAAACUAGCCAUUAGAUUCAAAAAGUUUCAAACACUACGAAAAAUCGUAAAUUUGCCGAGUGUUUUUUCCUUUGUCGAGUGUUUUUUUUCGGACACUCGACAAACAAGCUCUUUGCCGAGUGCCGAGCUAAAAACACUCGGCAAAGAAAAAACACUCAACAAAGAGGGGCUUUGCCGAGUGUCAAAAACAAAACACUCAGCAAAGAGGGGCUUUGCUGAGUGUUUUAUUUUCACACUCGGCAAAGAAUUUUUUUUUUGAAAAAAAAGUCUUGCCGAGUGUCCAGAUUGGGACACUCGGCAAAUGUCAAAAAUAUAUCUCCCGUCCCCGACCCCCCUACCCCAGCACCCCACCCGCCCGACGCCCCCCUCCUCUUCCUCCGCGCAACACCGGCCCCCACCUCCCUCUCCCUGCCGCCGGCUAGCUGCCGCUGCCGCCGCCCCUUCCCUCCCUCCCUCCCUCUCCCUCUCCCUCUCCUACCGGCGCCCCUCCCCCUCCUCUCCCCUCCUCCCUCCCUCACGCAGCCGCCCCCUCUCUCCGGUGGCGACCUCCGGCCGCCGCCCCGCGCCUCCUCCCCGGAUCCGGCGGGGACUCGCAUCGGGGACGCCGGAUCUGGCGGGGACUCGCGUCGGGGGCCCCGGGAGUGGCGGUCUUCAAGCGGCGGCGUGGAGAUGUGGUGGUGGUGGUGGUCGGCGGGAGGCAGCUCGUGGUGGUCUGCAGGCUGUGGUGGUGGUGGUGGUGGCCGGCUGUGGUGGUGGCAGCGGGCGUGGAUGGUGGCCGGCUGUGGUGGCGGUGGCGGCGGUGCGGAUCGUGGCGGCGGGCGUGGAUGGUGGUGGCAGGUGUGGAUGGUGGCCGACUGCGGUGGUGGCGAUGCCGGCGUGGAUGGUGGCAACGUGCUGGUGGUGCUGCCGACGGUGUCGGCAUGCCUUUUUUUUUAUUUUUUUCAAAAAAAUUGUUUGCCGAGUGUUUUCUGGGCACUCGGCGAAAGCUUUGCCGAGUGCCCGACCGAAAACACUCGACGAAUGUUACUUUGCCAAGUGCCAGAUGCCGAGUGUAACACUCGGCAAAUUUGUUGCCGAGAGUAUUUUGGGUUUCGCCGAGUGCUCCUGGCGCUCGGCAUAAAACCUGUGUCCAGUAGUGGAAAUCUCCACAAAAAUCUCUGGAAACUCUAAAUAUUUUUGUUCUCUCAAAAAUCUACAGAAACUCCACAAAAUUCUCCGAAAUCUCUGCAACUUACCGAUUCUCCGUAGAAUUCUCUGGAAUUUCCGCAAGUCCACUGGACAACAUAAGUCACCCAAGAGAAAGGGAUCUUGGACUCUAAGGAAAUCUUGUUCAAAGAACUAUCCAGUCCAAUUUAAAACAAGCCACCAGAUCACUCAGUGCAAGUGUUGUGACAAGUGUUUCUCUCAUGUUAAAACUUGAAAGGAUAGGUUUGAGCACUAAGGCAUAGGUGAAGCAAUCAUUGCAUCCCUCUCGAUAGCACGGCAUUACAUAUACUCAAGAUCAAAAAAUAGACACAAUAUCAACCACUUGAGCUUGAAUACCUUCACCAUGCUGCUUUUCUUUAAAAUCACACUUUGAGGUGUUUGCAAGCAUUUCUUUCUCUUUCUAUCGGUGUUUUAGACCGGCAACCCGCCUAGGGGUACCCUAGGUGGUCUUUUAUGCGGUAAGGGUCGUCGAGAAUCAAGGAAUCAAUGGUGACACAAGGAACACGAUUUAGACAGGUUCGGGUCGCUAGAUCGCGUAAUACCCUAUGUCCUGUAUGCUUGUAUGUAUUGAUCUUAGAUGCACUUGGAGUUGUUCUGUUUGAGGGGGGUCCCUGCCCGCCCUUAUAUACACGGGAGGGCAGGGUUACAAGUCUGAGUCCUAGUCGAGUACAAUUACAGAGUUCUACUCGGUAUGGCCCGAGUAGUUUUCCAUAUGCAUACUUGACUAGUCCGAGUGGAGAAGCCUAUCCCUUUGUCCUGAUCAUAUCCGAGUACGUCCCUUAGUGGGCUGUCCAAGGUCUACUCGUGGGCCUAGGGUGCAUGCUCGACAAGCCCCCGAGUACUUUGUAGUCGUGCACUGUAGUCUUGAGUACUGUGGGCAUUAUCUGAGUAGUUCUUUUGUAGAGGUUGCGGUGUCCAAAGUGCUCGAGUAUUGUUCGCGUGGCUGGAAGGUACUCUUCUUGCUCCUUUGAGUUGCUUUUGUUCCGAGAAUUUUUUAUAUGGUAGUGCGAUGACAAUCGUACUCCAUAUGGAGUAGCCCCAGAGCCUUAGGUUGAGUCGAAGAGUCAGGCUUAGGGUCAAUCCUGCUUCUUGGCUGUUUUACUCUUGGUAAUCUGAAAAAGAAAAUUCUGACCAUCGGGUACGGUACCCGCAGCCCCCGAGCACUUAGGCAAUUUUUUUCGUUGAAGUGGUCAAGACCCAUUGAACAGAGUAUCCGUUGGGUGUUUAAGGCAAUUAAUUUGUUUAAAAACCCAUCCGUUGCGUAACUAAUGCUUGGAAUCCGGAGGUGGCGGAGAUAUAAUCGGAGGGCCCCCUUUCAGUUAGGUUUACGCCCCACUGUAGCAGAUCUGUUUCUCUUCUUCCCCCACCUUUCCAUUCCUGUUUUCCUCCACCGUGAUUGUCUAGCGCCGCCGCCACCGUUGCUGCUCCUCUGAGAGAGGUCCGAGGUUGAGUGCAUUUUGCUGCGGGUGAAGCCGGUGGAUGCGCACCAAGAAGAUGGGGAAAAAACCCGAGAAGGCUCAAGGCAAGGCUCCUGCGGCGGGCAAGGUGAAGUCCAAGAAGGGGAAGGAGGUGGUGCUACUGGCGCCGAAGGUAGGGCCGACAAACCAGACUGCGCCGCUGCCGCCUGGAGCGAUGUGGUAGCAUUCGGUGAUGAAGGAGGCGGCCAUUCAGGUGCUUGUCGAUGCCAAACUUCUGCACUCGAAAUAGGUACUCGAGUGGAGGCCUACCUUCGCUGACGCGUGGCAAUUCGAGAAGCAUCCGAAUGAGACGGUUAUGCUUGCUCACUUUGUGGAGAGGGGGUUGGCAGUGCCCACCUCCGACUUCUUCAGAGGUAUUCUUGAGUACUACAAGCUUCAACUUGUACACUUGAACCCCAAUGGUGUACUGCACAUGUCUAUUUUUGUGCACCUUUGUGAAGUUUACUUGGGAGUUCCUCCUAGUCUUGAGAUGUUUAGGAAGUUGUUCCGUAGCAGGCCUCAACCUAGUGCUGUUAGGACAGAGGUCUUUGGGGGCGCUGGGUUCCAGCUCAGGAACUCAGGCGCGUAUAUUGAAUAUAACUUGACUGACUCCCAUGGGAAGUGGAAGAAAAGGUGGUUUUAUAUUGGGAACCAUAACCCUCGCUUGCCGGUGGUCACUGGUCAUGCGCCGAAGCACGCAGAGAAUUGGGUGAGCGAGCCUGAAGAUAGCCCAGAGCUCGAUCACUUAAUUCCCCAGAUUGCUGAGUUGAAGGCACUCGGUUUGACUGGAGUCAAUCUGGCAGCCAGCUUCCUCAAGAGAAGAAUUCAGCCCUUGCAAAAGCGGGCGCACUUGGGUGGGGAGUACUCAGGUUUUAAUGACCCGUCCCGUAUGUCUCCGGAUGAUAUUUCUGAUGAUGAUGUUGAGGCACUGUUGGCCAAGUUCUUUAGGAAUUAUCAAGGAGUACUAGUUAUUCCUUCAACGCUUCGUCAGUUUGAUGCUUGGUAUCAGCCAGAAGUGGUAUGGUCUUUCACUUUGAGUUGUACUUUUUGAACUGUUCGGGAUAUUGUUUGAGUGUCGACUUGCUUUUGUAGUCCCGAGUUCUUACUGGCUACUUGGUGUAGUCGGAAGAAGAAGAAUCUGUUGUUGAGGAGUCAGAGGACGAGCCCUCUCCUCCUGUGAAGAAACGCUGAGUAGUCCGCAAGAUGUCUGCUGCUAAGUCUACCACGACUUCUCCUGAGAAGUCUCGGGGUGCCAAGGUAUGUAGCUGUGUACUCACUUGUAGCUGACGGAUUUUAACUUGUAAUCUUUGAUCACUUUAUCUGUCUUCAAAAGGCUGACGACGCGGCGCUUGGUGACGAUGAGGCUGCUUCGGAUGAAGUAGUCAUGAGCGCCUAGGGUGUUGAUGUUGUGUCUGUUGAGAAGGUACUAGGGAAGGUGCCACCAACAGAUGCUGGAGUAGCCCCCGAGCUGACAGUCCAAGCUCCAUCGGCUACCGCGCUGCCGGUCCCAGACCAGGCAGUCCUGGGUUUGCCUGCUGGAGUGGCGGACGAUGUUGGGAAAGGAGUAUCACCAGUAGUUGCUACUGGUUCUUUGUCGUCCAAGGUGAUUGCUAGUGGUGAGCUUUCUUUCCCGACUGGUUUCGUUAGUCUGAGUUGUAUUUUAGUCUUGACCCUGUGUUUCCCAGGUCUUGGCGAGAAGACAGAGCCAGCAGCUGCUCCCGUGGCGUCGAGUACUCGGCCACCUGUUGCCGAGAAGAAGCGUGUGCGAUUGCCGCCACGAUCAACUCGGUGAGCUGUUUAUCCUUGGUGUGUAUCUUCAAGGUUUCUUCAAGUCGUGUAAUGACUUUGUAUUUUGAUGUAGGGAUGCGGAGGAGACUAUCCCUGUGGAGGCAAGAGUAGAUUCGUGUCCCCCGACUACUCUUUCUGCUCCUUUUGAGGAUUUGACUGUCGACAAAGUAUCCGGAGUUGAUGCUAGUCAUCUUGGAGCGUCCAUGUCUAUGCUUCAAGAAGUGAUCCGCUCGGUGGAAGAUCCCCCUGCUGCCUCGGGUUCUAGGAAUGUAUCCUUGUCAGCGUCUACUGGCGGAGAUUUGGCUGUAAUUGAUGCAGGGAAAUCUAAGGAACCAGCUACCCUAGGUAUGUAUCCGCAGUCUUGGUAUUGUAUUCGUAGUAUUGAGGUGGCUGAUGUUAAUCUCUUAGGUACUGCCUUGGGUGCAGCUCCUCAUCUUGCGAAGAGUACUCAAGGUCCAGUAAUCGGGCUCCCGUCUGAGUCAGAGUUCCAGAGAGCUGUCAAUGUUUUUCAAAGCUUCCAGGUGUGUUUUAUUUACUUAUCUAACAGGUUUAGUAACUAGGGGAGUUGACCGUUUGCUUUGCUGUGUAGGAUCUGUAUGACCAAAUGCAAAGGAACACUCGGGCCCUUCAGGAGCGGAACGAGCAAUUGGAGCAGGAGUGUGUCCGACUUGCGGAAUCCUUGAGGGUUCAUGAAGCUGGAGGGAAAUCCUUUGCUGUGGAGCGGUCAGAUCACGAAGUCUUACAGCAAAAGCUAGAGAGCCGCUACAAGUCUUUGAAUAAAAAGUAUCAAGGUGAGUACUUUUCAUGUUCUGGGUAUGUCCGACUAUUGUCGGUUGUGUUUGAACUUGGCCGUUUUUGCAGAACUCAAGAGGAAGGAGGCUACUGCAAGUAGCCAACUCCUUGAUUGGAGAAACUCGCAUGACCGAGUAGCGGAUGAAGCUGAACAUCUUCAAGCCGCGCUGACAGAGGCACAGGCUGCCUGCGAGCAUCAACGGGAUAGGAAGAUCCAGAAUGGAGUGAUGCUUGCUAUGGCCAUAGUGGUGUGCAGAGACCAUGCCCAGACCGUUGGAAGAUUUUGAAGCGAGCUCCAAGAGUUAACUGAUGCCGCUCAAGACUUGGUGAACGCCAUUGCCCCCUUAGAAGAGGAUGCAGGACCUCAAUCACUAGUCGAGCGCUUCAAGGCUGCUCCGGGUAAGGUGGCAGGCCUCUGCAAGGCUGUUUGCAAAUAGCUCCUUGCUAUGGUAAGGUCAUACUACCCAAGGGCAUAUUUUUCAACGGCUGGUGACAGCGUUGCUCGCAAUUGCACAGAGAAAGCCUAUGCGCAGUACCUCGAGGAGGCGGAACCAAUCGCGUCGAAGAUGUCAGAAUUUGUAUCUCUGGAGGAGCCUUGAGCGUUUAUGUACUCUUGUAAACUUUCGAGUACUUUGAAUGAUAUUGUGUCUGAGAGUUGAACACUUGUCUAUACUUUGUUGUUUGAAGUGGGUCUGACCCAUCAUGGGUAAGGAACGUUUUACUCUAUCUCACCUGACCCAAGGUCCCAUGGAUAGACACGCCCGACCCUAUGAGGAUGGAACUCCGCCUUGCCCGACCCCUUGCCGUAAGGCUUCAUAUCGCCCGACCUCGGGUGUAGGGAGUCGGACUCAACUGGGCCCCCAGGACAAGGAUCCGCUACAGGCACAACCCAGGUUUUGGCAGAAGUUGUUCUGAGGAUUGAGUUUGAGUAGUCACGAUGUAGUCGAGUAACCUUGUUAUUCUGUGAAUAGGAGGUGCACGGGUGUACUGUACUCUUUUGUCCUUCGUGGCAUGAAUGCUUUCACGUGGGCAGUCAGAGAUCAUCCAGACUCAUCGAUCACGGGCGCAUAGUAAAUUCUGGGUGGUUGAUGGUUGCAGCCCUUGGCUAUAAAUAGACCCUCCUGGAGGUCGACCCUGAAUCAAGCUUUGAGUAGCGCUAGAUUGCCUUCGGUUGCUGUUGUUUGAGUGUAGAGAGCCUUCAAAGAGUACACCGGUGCUAGAAGAUUCCUCGUAGGUCCCUGCACAGACUCUAGCGCUCAUAGGGAUAGCUGCGAUGCUAGAAGAAUCCUCGUAGGAGGUUUCAUCGCUGUCGUUUUGGAGUAGCUUUGGGAUCAACAUUUAGAGAGUGUUCGAUCAGCUCCUUGGGCACACCGGGCAUGUCAGCUGGUUUCCAAGUGAUGAUAUCGUGGUUAGCCCAAAGGAAACUGAUGAGCACGGAUUCCUAUUUAGGAUCUAGCCCUGUUCCAAUCAGGGCUGUCUUGGAGGAGUCACCCGUCUGGAGAUCGACUGGUUUGAAGUCUUGCUUGCUUGCGGGUUUCACCUUUGUAGACCCCGACUUGUUUUCUGGGAUCUCGAGUUCGGUUAGAUGGAGUUUCUUUGAAGCUGUGAAGACUUAUUGCAUGGGACUAGGUGUUUGAGAAGUCGCAGCGAUCUCCACGGCUUUAGUGUCGCAUUCAUAGGAUCACCGUAGAUCUCCCCGUAGCGUUAGUUCUCCCUUGGGACCUGGUAUUUUGAGUACCAAGUAAACGUAAUGUGGUAUAGCCAUGAACUUGGCGAGUGCUAGCCUUCCGAGUAUGGUGUGGUAGGAUGUCUCGAAAUCGGCGACUUCAAAUAUGAUAUAUUCGGUGCGGUAGUGUUCCUUAGUUCCAAAGGUAACUGGGAGGACAACUUGUCCAAGUGGUAUAGCUGCAUUUCCAGGUACGAUGCCAUAGAAGGGUGAAUCUGUUGGGGUCAACAUUUCUGUGACGUCGAGGCACAUCUUUCUUAGUGUUUUGGCGAAAAUGACAUGGAGUCCACUUCCACCAUCGAUGAGUACCUUUGUCAGCUUUGACCCUGCCACAAUGGGAUCGAGUACUAGAGGGAAUCGGCCUGGUUCUGAGAAUUUUGUCCACUGGUCUUUUCUGCUGAAGGAUAUGGGUACUUCGAACCAUUUAAGUGGUGUUGGAUCUAUUGGCUCGAUGGCCAUGAUUUUCCUGAGUACGAGUUUGUUGGCUCGCUUGGAUGCAGUGCCUGGGAUUCCGCCAAACAUGACGUUGACUGUCUUGGAGGCGGUCUGGAAGUCGCCUUCUUCUUCGUCGUUGUGGUUGUUCUUGCCCUUGUCCUUUUUCUUGUUGUAUUCUUCAGGGGGUGGUGGUGUGGGUAAGUCUUGCAUGACUUGACGCAUGCUGUAGCAAUCUAUUGCCGAGUGCUUGCUAGUCGGGUGCCAUGGGCACUGCUUUUUGAGUAGCUUGGUGAAGGUUGGCCCUUCAUCGUUUUUACGGGAUCCCUUUUUCCCGGAGUUGGUCAUGGCAGCAACGGUGUUGUCGGGCUUCCUUUUGCGAUUCUGAUUACUCGAAAAGUUAUUUCAAGUAUCAUUGUGCUGAGUUCUAUCUUGGUCAUUGUUGUUGUCGCGUCCUCGGUUGCGAUGAGAGCCAAACCAUUCACGCUCUUUGUCUUCUUCAUCCGCCCACUAUUGCACCAUGACUUUGAGGUCUUUGACGUUAGCUGGUCAUCAUUGACCGAAGUCUUGGUAUGUUCGCCGAUCAUAGGGUCCGUUCUGGAAACACUCGAUGACGUCUGUUUCUGAAAUGUCAACUAUAGUUGCCUUCUUUUCGAAGAAUCAUCUCAAGUAGUCGCGUAAGCUUUCACCUUCUUUCUGCUUUAUUUGACUCAAGUGGAUCUUGUUGCCUGGUCUAGCCAUGGAGCCAGCAUAGUUGUUGGUGAAAGCCUUUGUCAAAUCUGCCCAAGAGUCAAUUGACUUGGGUUUGAGUGACUCAAGCCACGUCAGUGGUUCGGGUUCCAUGCAUAUGGGAAAGUGGAUGACUUUGGUGUCGUUAUUGCCCCAAGCUGCUUGAACUGCUAGCGAGUAGCAUCGUAGCCAUUGAAUUGGGUCUUGUUUGCCAUCAUACUUGGUGAUUCCUGUUAGCUUCAACUUCUUGGGUAGUCUUGUCUUCAUUACCCUAUUUGUGAAAGCAGGAAAGUGGUUGUAGUUGUCGACUUCUCGCUCACGCCAACUGUUGAGUAUUUCUCGUAGAUCACUAAAGUUUGACACUUCGUGUUUCUUCUGAGUAGGGUGAAUACUUUUGUUGGCGCUAGAAAUCAGCCGAUUGAAUCUCUAGCGUCGGACACACGACCCGGGAGAAUCUACUUAACUCCUGUUCCGGUGAUCGCCCUGGUGCGGUUCGCGCGACGUGCCAGCCAAUCUGACCUAUUGAUUGGCACGGAAAGAAACGUGUCAGGUCCUAGAGGUUGCGAUCGGCUAAGGUUCCGAUCUUGAGAGAGCUUAUCAGCGAAUGGGUCGAUUUGCUGUAAUAAAGGAAUCGGCUAUAAUACAGCCGAUUACCAGGCAACAUUGGUAAAGAAAACUGCUAAGAGUAAACUAAACAACGCUACAGUAGCAACACUAGGAAUAGAUCUUAAUCGGCUAUGCAAAAAGUAGUAAAUUGAGCAAUAAGAUAUAAAAAAGCCGACAGUACUAAUUCCAAGCUGGAUAACUGGUGAUAAAACUAGAACAACAGGAAAAACCUAGAAUUCUAGUGAUUAUCGAUAACUGGUGAAUAAAUCUAAACGAAACGACAGCAAUGUGCCCGAAGUUAAAGCUUAGAUAUUACUCGAUAAGAGGAACUUACAGAAUCGGCCGGAGAUCAAGUUGAUGCAGCCCCGCCAACCCGUACGAACUCGUGAAAAGAAGAAAAGUAUUGGCGAAGUCGCCUGCUCGAAAGUAAAGUGCGAGGAAAUAGUAGUUUGUUGUAUUGAUUUGAUGAUGAUUACAGAUCUAUGAAAGCGGCUAUUUAUAGCCAGUUGCAACCAAUCUCUUAACUGACUAGGACUCUAUCUCUAAUUUUAAAUGAAAACAAAUAUUUACAAGCAUAAUUCUUAUCGGAGUUGGUCAUCGUGUUCCCACGGGCCGAUCUCCUUUUUAUCUUCAUAGCUCACUUUAGGCCCAUAUUGGCCCAACUGCUCCAACCUCCCAAUCGGCCAAUUUUCACCAAGUCCAUCCGCCGAAAUACUACAGCACCAAUCGGCCGAUCCUCAAUUGUAGCACCAAUCGGCCGAUUCCCAAUCGUGACCUCCGUGUUUCGCCGCAUAAGUUGAUUCCUUCCCUUCUUGACGUCGAUUUCAUAUGUGUAAAAAUCUGGCGUCAACACAUGCCCCCCAGUUUCGGAGUAAAACAUAAUCUUUACUUCGAAAUUCCUUUCAACUUCCCUUCCGAAACAAUUGCAUUGAAAAUACACUUUCGUUUCGCGGUCUUCUGCCUGAUGAUUGCAAUCUUUUCGAAAUGGGCGCCCACGACAACCACUCCUCCCAAAAAAAUCGAACCGUCGGCGUGGUAAAAAUUCCGCUUUUACCCUUUCUCAGACCGCCCUUAGAUAUCAGUACGUCCCGUACUUCUUCUUCACGAGCCCACGUCUUCCUUCUUUGGCGCACUGGCCUCCUUCUUCCGGCGUCUCUUUAGCCUCUAACCUCUCACUUCGGCGAGUUCUUCCAUCUACAUUCCACCCCACCUUCUCGAUGGCGACACCUUCAGGCACUCCACCAACAUCCGAGGUCCUGGAGACGGCUCCAUCAGCAGUGGCUCCAACAGCAAUGGCGGCAGCUCCAUUGGCAGGAGCAGGAGCUCCAUCGGGCGGGAGCGGGAGCUUCAUCGACGACCACAAUGAGCUUCAUACCAGAGGUUUCUACCAAAACUUUCCUUUCCGCUCCUCUAUGUCGAUGCAUUUACCUUAGAUCUGUUCUUACUUCCCCUUCCAUUCUUUACCUGUUUAGGCGGUUAGGCACAAGAUUACUAUUCGCCUCACCGAAACUCCCGGCCUUAUCUGUCUUGGUCCCAUGGGAAACAUAGAUACAACCGACCUAAUCAAUUUGGAAACCCAUAGGAUCCCUUUCAAGCAAUCAACCAUGGACCUAGAUCACUGGUCAGGUACCUUCAGAUCAUGGCCGAAUGAAACCCCCAGCUGGAGGGAAUGGUACCAAUGGAUAGCCGCCUUAAAAAGAGUUCAAUGGGACGAGCCUUUAGUAAUAGCAGCCUUAUCUUUGUCCCAAAUGGAAAGGAAUGAGCCUUUAGUAAUAGCAGCCUCCUACUUUUGGUCUGAUGCCCUCAACGCAUUCCUCUUAGGACACGGACCUAUGACCCCUACCCUGGCCGAUGUGGUCAUGUGGAUCGGCCUUGAUAUCUCCUCUCCCGAUACUCCUUUCCGUUACUUGGCCAAAACAUCCCAUCGGCUGGAGACGAAAGGAAUCGGCGGGUGGAAAGGAUUCAUCAAGUGCAACAGAAGGGCCGGGACAGUCCAGGAAAGAGAGCAUGCGGCCUUCUUGAUGAUGUGGCUAGAGAAACACCUUUUUUGCGGGAGGGCAGCCGGUCCAUCCACUAACACACAGGCUCUGGCCGAGACACUAUCGAUAGGGGCCUCUGUUCCUCUUGGAAAGCACCUAUUGGGAUCGGUUUACCAUAUGUUGCAUCAGAUCGGCGUCAAGCUAUCCAAAGGAGAGCCGAUUGGAAACCCAGGUGGACCCUGGUGGUUCAUCAACUUGUGGCUUAAUCUGUAUAUUAGCAAGAUCUCCCAGCAGCGAGUGGAGUACAUGACGUUCCCAAACAUCGAAUCGGCAGAGAAUCCCACUGUACGGCGCCGGUGUACUUCCUUCGGUGAAGCGGCAUCGGCCUUCUCCGGUUUCUCAUAUUCUGUUGCCAAGGUGGCCGAAUACUUCAGAUGCUUCUACAAUGGCUUUAGUGAAGACGCAACCAGCUGGUUCCCUUAUCAAAGGGAGGAACCACUCUUCGAGCUCCCGUCCUGUUUUGACUCGGCCACCAGCAAAUUUGAUGAGGACCUCACAGAUGAAUUGAUCAAGCCGGGGAUCCUGCCGGCGAACUUCUUCUCGGGGAAGGAUGCCCCCACUUAUGAGUUUUACCAUCCUUCCGUCACAGCACGGCAAUUCGGCUUGGGUCAACUGCCGAUUUAUGCAUACUUCACCGGCCGAGCAAAAUUUCGAGACGAGCUCACCAAAGGUCUCCACUACUACGAUCGGAUUCUAGACUCCAGCACCAUAGACUUGGCCAGUUGGAUAGUAGCCCCUUUCGCUGUUCAGCAGUUCAAGCUAUGGUGGGUGGAAUGGAAGCAACAUCUAUUCUGCGCCUCUACGGCGAUAUAUUGUAAUCUCCUGAAUCCCGACAACAUCGAUCCGAAUGCCGAGGUAUCGCUCUCUUUCUGGCUGAUUUUCAACUCCUUUUUUUUUAUACUGACUCUUAUUAUUAUUUCAGUCUGAGAGCCAUGCUCCCCCAAAAUGCAGUCGGAGUGGUCGGUCGAUAGAGGACCGUUAUCCAUACACAGCAUUCCCCCUCAUCGGCUAUCACGCCCCCUCCGUUGAUGACAUAGCCGGCCGAGCGAAGCAAGCGCAGAAAAAGAUUAUCAAGAAGACAAGUCGCCGAGUACGCGCCCGCACAGAAUCGGCCGAUCCACCCGUGGUUGCAUCGGCGGAAAUUUCGGCUGCGCCGACCCUUCCAGUCGCUGAAGAAUUUGACCUCCAAGCUGCUACAGAGGCCGGAGCAGCUGCCGCGUCAUUAUGGGUGGAAGCUAUUCAGGUAAACUCACCAUCCAAUUUUCCUAACAGUCAUUUCAAUACUGUCCUUUCCUUUAUUAGGCCGCGCAGACUCCCUCAGCAGAUCCACAGCAAUCUGCAAUGCCCCAAGCAGAAGUUGAAAUACCAGUGCCCCUUCCCGUUGAGGUACAUGAUCUCUCAACUCAAUUCUUUAAUAUUUGAAUGAUGAUCCUACCAACCUUGAUGCAAGUCAUCGGCACAUUAACUAUGCUAUCCGACUAGCCAUCUGCCAGAGAAGUCCUUCAAGAGGCCGGCCCGAGCAGAACGCCGAUCGUUGUCGAAUCCUCUUCUUCCGAUGAGCCAAUGGCACCAGUCCCCGAGUCGAGAGUGGCUGUUCCGCAAACACAGAUGGAGGAGAUCCGUUUCAAAGAGGUGAGAAGUCAUUUGACCCGCAUUGACCGAUUCAUCACCACCAUCGGCUGACUCAUUUUCCUUUUAUUUAUCAUUCACAGGAACAGGACACUCCCAAUAAUAGCCUCUUCUCAUUUGCGGUCGCGCUCUCUGAUGACGAGGAAGUUUCUUCUUGUCAAGUUACUUUGAGCUCCAUCCCCGAUGAUGUCCGCACUAAGCUCGAAAGUAUAUGGUCCCUUCUUCAAGAGGACAUCGGCCGAUUGGUGGAGGACGCCUCGCCGAUUUGGCAGCUCUUUGGUGAUGUCAGCGGGCAAGUCCCAGAGGAAGCAGAAGAAGCCUUAGCGCCGGCCGCUUAUAUCGAGUCGAUGCGGAUCCCGAUCUUCAGGGCUCUGCGUCACAUGGCUGAUAGCGCCAAGCUGGCUAAGACUCAUGAGGAAGAGGACUCGUACAAGCAUCGGGCCCAGGAGGUACACCAUCGGAUUCACUUCCUCGAGAAUUCCCGACCCGGACUCGUCGGCACGAUAGAUCGCCUCAAGCGCCGAAGGGCGGAACAUGCCAAGGAGAUGGAGCAGGUAACCAAAGAAAUAGCUAUUGAAGAGAAGAAGCUUCAGGAACUCCCUUCCGUUAUCGCCGAUUUAAAGCAGGAGAGGCAGCAUCUGGCCCAUGAGGCCCUUAGACUCCAUCGCCAUAUGUCAGAAGUUCCAGGGUCGGCAGAUGAUGACCAACGAGUCUUGGACUCGGCCGAUCAGAUCAGAAGUCGAGCGAUUGCAGCCAUUAACGCCCUUCUGGGUGAUCUGUAAAAGUACUGGCCAUUUUGUACGAACAUUAAUGCCUUUUGACUGUCCUUCGUGGCGCUCUCCUAUUUAUUACCCUUUUUACUCUGACAGGACGCAUCUUACCAAACCUCCGCGCUUCCUCUUAUUAUAAAUACCGGCCCUGGUUUCGCUCUUGAGAAUACCUGCUCCACUCUAUUCCUUUUUCCCCGAUUACGUUUCCAUCGGAACGUUCGUAGUCAUGUCUUCUUCGUCUUCUUCUUUCUCCUCGCCUUCUAUCAAUCAGGUACGAGGUCCGUCUCCGCCCUUUUUUCAGUUUGAUCCCUUUAAAUCAUUCCAACUUUUAGGCGGCUAUGUGCUAACUUUUUCAGCCAAGGCACCUUAGCCCUGAACUCGAAUGAGCAAUCAAACUCGUGCACUCUGACGAGUCAUUGUCGCAAGAGAACAAGGACUUGAUCAAGGCACACCGUGAAGAACUCAGAGAUCACGUUCCUGCCGACGUCCAACGGAUCUGGGACUUCAUCGAUGUCAAUGAUUACGGGAGACCGCAAGUUGACAGGAGCCACCCACUUCCUCUUCCGGUUGUUCUUGAAAACGUCGCGGUAGGGACAUCGCACCCGGUGAUGGAUCGGAGCCAUCCUCUUCCUCGCCAAGUUGAGGCGGAGGCCGCGAUGAGAGAUGUGGCAGAACGAAGCAUUCGCCUUCUGAUAGAAUUAGGUAGGAUUGAGAGGGAACUCAAGAAGAAGCGUAGUUGAGUAUUUUUUGUUCUAAGGACGAAGUGUACUGCGUCGGUCGUGUAAUUCAUCGUUCGUACCGAAUCACAAAUCGGCCAAUUUGAACGAUUAUUUUUCUCCUUUAGGCGAUUUCUUCUCCCGUAUCGGCUGUGUGAUCAUUCAGGGAGCGAUCUUUCUGUCUUAUGUUCCGACCCAUAUACUGGGGUAAUACCUUUUCAAGUACCUCCCGUUUAAGGCCCUAGUAAAUUCUUCUCCUUCGAUCAUUUCCAGAAUGUAAGCGUUUCCCAGGGCACAUCGGCCGAUUCUAUACGGCCCUUCCCAAGUGGGAGACCAUUUACCGAAUUUAGGAUCUUUUGAUCCAAUCGGCAACACUAACUUCCAUACUAGAUCCCCUUGGGAGAACUGCUUGACUUUGACCUUCUUGUCAUACCAUCUGGCCACUUUCUUUUUGUUUUCCUUGAUACUGAUCAAGGCUCUCAAACGUUGGCCCGCCAAAUCGUCGAGUUCCCUAUUCAUGAGCGAGGAGUAAUCAUCGGCCGUCAGCUGAUCUUGAAGCGACGUGCGUCUCGACCCUGUUCUCAACUCCCAUGGCAAUACUGCCUCAUGACCGUACACCAAUUGAUAAGGAGACACCUUGGUAGCCCCGUGGCAGGCCAUCCUGUAUGCCCAUAGAGCUUCGGUUAGACAUAAGUGCCAUUUUUUGGGUUGUUCUUCGAUCUUCCUCUUGAUCAACUUGAUUAUCCCUUUAUUGGAAGAUUUGGCCUGGCCGUUAGCCUGAGGAUAGUACGGGGAGGAAUUUAGCAGCUUGAUUCCCAUAUCGGCCGUGAACUCCUCGAACUCUCCCGACGUGAACAUCGUCCCUUGAUCAGUUGUGAUAGUCUGAGGGAUGCCGAAACGAUAGACAAUAUGAUCCCUCACGAAAUCGACCAUAGCGGCCGAUGUUACGGCCUUUAAUGGAACCGCCUCCACCCAUUUGGUGAAAUAAUCUGUGGCUACCAGAAUGAAUUUAUGUCCUUUACUUGACGGAGGAUAAAUUUUUCCAAUGAGGUCUAUUCCCCAACCUCUGAACGGCCACGGCUUGAUAAUUGGAUUCAUAGCCGACGCGGGCGCGCGUUGCACAUUCCCAUAUUUCUGACAAUCUUGGCUUCCUUUAUAAUACUUGAAACAGUCCUUAAGGAUUGUCGGCCAGUAAUAUCCAUUAUUCCUAAUCAUCCACUUCAUCUUAUGCGCCGAUUGGUGGGCUCCACACACCCCUUCGUGCAUUUCUCCCAUCAGGGUCUUUGCCUCCUCCGUCCCUAGGCAUUUGAGUAGAACACCAUCAAUCGUCCGGUAGAACAAAUCAUUUUCCAAUAACACAUAUUUUUGUGGCCUGAAAUCGUAUUCGCCGAUCCACUUUCUUAGAUGGGUCUUUUAAAUAAUCGGCGAUCUCUUUUCGCCAGCCGUCGGCCGCGAGUUCCAGAAUCAUGGCGCCUUGAAUCGGCCGAUACCCGAACGCGUGCUGAGCCAGCCUGUUGGCUUCUUCAUUGUAAUCCCUGGGGAUAUGCUCAAUAACUGUGGAUUUGAAUUCUUUCAGAAGUUGGAGGCAAUCCUCAUAGUAAACCCUUAAUACAUCAUCUUUGCACUCGGAUCUUCCUAUCAAUUGGUCCACGAUGAGCAUGGAAUCUCCAAAAACAUCGAUGGUGUCGGCCUUAAUUUCUCUUAACAAUUGUAACCCUUUCAGGACAGCCCGGUAUUCCGUCUGGUUAUUAGUGGCGGAUGCUUCUAUCGGUAGAGAGAAAUCAUAGCUUGCCCCCUGAGGUGAUAUGAGAACGAUGCCGAUUCCCGAUCCGGCCCCACAUGAUGAGCCAUCAAAAUAUAAGGUCCACGGUACUGGUUCCACGACAGCGAUUUCUGGUCCGCAGUGUUGGGCGACGAAAUCAGCCAUAACCUGACCUUUGAUGGCGUUUGCCGAUUCGUACCGUAGAUCAAACUCUGAUAAAGCCAAAAUCCACUUUCCGAUCCACCCUUUCAAAAUCGGCAAUGACAGCAUAUACUUUACUACGUCAUCCGUGCAUACAACCACGCAUUCUGCUGAUAACAAGUAGUGCCUGAGCUUGGUGCAUGAGAAGUAAAGACAUAAGCACAGCCGCUCUACCGGGGGAUAUCUUGAUUCGGCGUCCAAAAGUCUUCUACUAACAUAAUAUAUUACCCGUUCCUUUCCUUCGAACUCCUAGACUAGUGCCGAUCCGAUAGCUCGCUCAUCGGCCGAUAAAUACAGCUUGAAUGGCUUACCAGUUUCUGGUGGGACCAAGUACUGCUUGAUGUCUUCUAGUGCCUUGCGUUGCUCUUCUCCCCAUACAAACUCUUGGUUGGGUUUCAAUUUCAACAACGGUGUGAAGGCCUGGAUACGUCCGGAUAGGUUGGAUAUGAACCAGGCAACGUUGGUAAAGAAAACUGCUAAGAGUAAACUAAACAACGCUACAGUAGCAACACUAGGAACAGAUCUUAAUCGGCUAUGCAAAAAGUAGUAAAUUGAGCAAUAAGAUAUAAAAAAGCCGACAGUCCUAAUUCCAAGCUGGAUAACUGGUGAUAAAACUAGAACAAUAGGCAAAACCUAGAAUUCAAGUGAUUAUCGAUAACUAGUGAAUAAAUCUAAACGAAACGGCAGCAAUGCGCCCGAAGUUAAAGCUUAGAUAUUACUCGAUAUGCGGAACUUACAGAAUCAGCCGGAGAUCAAGUUGAUGCAGCCCCGCCAACCCGUACAAACUCAUGAAAAGAAGAAAAGUAUUGGCGAAGUCGCCUGCUCGAAAGUAAAGUGCGAGGAAAUAGUAGUUUGUUGUAUUGAUUUGAUGAUGAUUACAGAUCUAUGAAAGCGGCUAUUUAUAGCCUGUUACAACCAAUCUCUUAACCGACUAGAACUCUAUCUCUAAUUUUAAACGAAAAUGAAUAUUUACAAGCAUAAUUCCUAUCGGAGUUGGUCAUCGUGUUCCCAUGGGCCGAUCUCCUUUUUAUCUUCAUAGCUCACUUUAGGCCCAUAUUGGCCCAACUGCUCCAGCCUCCCAAUCGGCCGAUUUCCACCAACUCCAUCCGCCGAAAUACUGCAGCACCAAUCGGCCGAUUCCCAAUCGUGACCUCCGUGUUUCGCCGCAUCAGCUGAUUCCUUCCCUUCUUGACGCCGAUUUCAUAUGUGUCAAAAUCUGGCGUCAACACAUACAUAAUGAUGGUAUUGUUCCUACUUUCAGGAUGAGGUAUUUACUAUUGAAGCAACAAUAAAUGAAAUUAAUGCAACAUAUGGUUGGUACUACAUCUCAUGUAGUAGAGGCGAUUGUAAGAAGUAACUUGAAAAGAUGUUUGAUCACUACUAUUGCAAUAAAUGUGACAAGAGAGCCUAACCUAAAGCACGGUAAAUUAGUUAGUAGUUUACAAUCUUAUUAUAGUACUUCUAUUUCUAAUAGGAGAAUAAUAUUUGCAGAUUCAAAAUUAAGCUUCAAAUAAGUGAUCCAACAGCAAGUGCAACUUGUGUACUUUUGACAAGGAAGCAGAAAUGAUAAUUAAUGAAUGAGCAGAUUCGAUGAUCACCUCAGUUGAUCAUGAUAAUAAGUAGCUACCAAAAUCAAUUCAGAAAAUAUGUGAAGAAACAUUGAUUUUUCAAUUCAGAUUGACCGAGUACAACUUGACAAGUUUUAGACCUGAUUAUACUGUUUCAAAGAUAUUUUUUCCAAAAGAGAAGAGCAGUUCUAGAAUUGGUAUGGAAAGUGUAAAAAAGGUAACACUUUAUUAUUAAGUUUUUAUUGCACUUUUUUCUUUUGAAUCCUUAAUAUUUAAUAAUUUUACUAUAUCAAUGAAACAAAUUCUAACCUAAAUUUACAACUCAAACAAAUGCUACAUGAUAACUACCGAGAAUGAAGAGGUAGACACUGAUGACUCUUUUACCAAGAAAGUAACAUUCGUAGAAGAAGCCAUAAGGACUGGGGAAAGAUUGGCUAGAAAAGUAUACUCACUUCCAUCUCAGUAUUCAUUCUGUUUACAAUACAUGCAAAAAAAUAUUAUUCAUGCAAAAUUGCAGGUCUACUAAGCAUUAAAGGAAUAGCGGAUAGUGCAAUAUCUAAUUUGAGCAGCAUGCAUUACAAAGUGCUCUACUGCAAUUAAAUUAAAAAACAUGAUAUAUGUUGAAUUCUUAGACUUUAUUAUUAUACUUUUCUAUGUGACAAUUCACAAUUUUUUAGAAAAUAGAAGAUCCCAGAAGAAGUGAUCAUGAAAAAAGGUCUAUGCCCAGCAAUAAGAAAAAAAUGCAAGCAUAGAAACAAAUCCGUAGAAAACAUAGAAAAUAAGGUACUCCAUAAACAAAAGUAUUCUCUUAUAUUUUUAUUAAAUAUUUCUUUAACACUUGACAAGUUCUUUUUUAGGAUCAAUAUAUCAGCAAUUCAGAUGUCAUUGGAGAUGAAAACCUUAGUUCGUCCAAAAGGUCAAAAAAAACAUCUGAAGAAAGGUGUUUGGCUGAAAAGGAAAAGCAAGAAAGUUGUAAUGCAGACAAACACAUGCAGAAAAAUAUAAAAACAUGUAAUAGGGAGGCAGACCAAUCUUGCAAUGAGGUAUAGAUAAAACGUGAUACACGACCUGCCUACCUUGUCGUGGAUACCCCAAGAAGAUGUCGUAGAGGUGCAGACCAAGCUAGCAAGGAGGUCGAAACGUGAUACACGGCCUGCCUACCUUGCCGUGGAUAUUAGCCCUAAGAUCAUUCUACUGUUCAAGGAAUAACACUCAAUGCUGCUGCUGCUGCUGACCUGGCUCCAUAAAGUUAUACUCCUCUAGGUGCUUGCACUAACUUUAUCUGAAGUAUUAUUCUCUCUGCACUGUAUAUAUGGUUAUGGAGUUUGCUGGAGUAUCCGGGGGGAAGAACCUACAUAAUACGUCUUGGAACUAACUGACAUUGAUUCACAGACAAACUCUACAAGGUGCUGUUGUUGCCAUUUUAGAGCAUCCAAAGGACUAUAAAUAACAUAGUUUACCAUAUACCAUAUACCAUAAUAUGUUAGCUAAAAUAAGAGCAUACACAUGUUGCAGGAGUCCAAAAGCACCGGUUGAGGACCAGGUACAUUGAAUUACUAGAAAAAGACAGGGGACAAGGUUUAGGUAACCACAUGAAACAUUUGAAUUUACUGUACCAUGAACACUUAGUUACCAUGCUGGGAGCACAUAGUUAACACUAACAUUUAGCCACUUUAGAUCAUCCCGAAUCACCAAUGACCCUCAAUAGUGACAAAUUUUGGUUUAAAUGCCGUCACCAAUGAUCCUCAAUAGUGACGUAUUUAGGUUUAAAUCCCAUCACUAAUAACCCUCAAUAGUGACCUGUUUUGGUUUAAAUCUCAUUACCACUUAUCCUCAAUAGUGACGUGUUAAAACACGUUAUCUCAAUGGCAAAUCAUUGGUGACGUGUUUUAAAAAAACAUGGCACUGUGAGAGUCAUUGGUGAAGGGUAAUUAAAAUGCGUCACUAAUGUUGUAGCAUUAGUUAUGAUAAUUUAGUAAUGCAAAAAUCUACCAUCAGUAAUGAGCUUUAGAGCCAUCGCUAAUGUGGGUUUCUUACAUAGUGAUGCAAGCUCUACAAGGUGCUGUUGCUGCCAUUUUAAAGCAUCCUAUGACUACAUGUUAAUAACAUACUUUACCAUAUACCAUAAAAAUAUUAGUUACAAUAAGCACAUACGCAUGUGGAAGAGUCCGAAUGCACCGGUUGAGGACUAAACACAUUUAAUUACUAGAACCAAAUGUAUGUCCAGAACAAAGACAGGGGUCAAGGUUUGGGUAACCGCAUUAAAAACAUUGGAUUUUACUGUACAUGAACACUUAGUUACCAUUACCAUGCCUUGAGCACCUAGUUACAACAAACAUUAAUUUAGCCACUUUAGAGCUUCCAGAAUCGCUAUAAAUAAUAUACAUACGCCGUACCAUGAAAACAUCAAGAAGAGAGACGGAUACAUGGACCACCAUCAAGCGAGUACUGACAGCACGCACAAGAAUACCCAGAACCUGUUAGCUUGUCUGUAGUGAUCUGUUUUCUUCCCCAUAAAAUCCAUGAGUAUUGCCACAAAUAAUGAAAGAGGCUGACCAAGCUAGCAAGGAGGUAGAGCAAACGUGAUACACGGCCUGCCAAGAUUGCCCUGGAUACGCCAAUAAGAGCGACAGAUACAUGGAUCACACCAAUAUGGUGAAACGUAUAUUCAUCACACAAGCAAAGCUGGUCAGUUUAUCCAUGGUCAAAUUGUGGUCUUUGUUUUCACUUGAGAGCUAAUUGAGGCACUAUAAUAUGGGCAGGCCUAUCUUCAACAGACAUGACAGCUACAGGGAACUUGACAUAAUUUGCUGGACCGCCUGUGCACAAUUAUUUGUUUUAUUGUCCUUGCAUAGAAUGCUAAAAUACUCUUUACAAAAUGUUGGAUCUAAUAUUUGAAAUAUAGAGUAGUAAUCAUAUAUUGAUCAACAACUUGAAAUUAUCUGUACAUUCUCGGUGAAGCUGUUGAACUAAUUUUUGCAAAUUAUUAAUUAAUUCAUCUCAUUACGUAAAGAAAACAGUAAGUGGAUAAGAUAUUUCGUGGACCACAUCACUGCAAACAUGUCAUGGAGAGACAGACCAAGGAGGCAGGACGUGAUACACGACUUACCCUAGGUUGCCGUGGAACCGCCAAGAAGAGAUACAGAUACAUGGACCACACCAUCUUGGGAGUAGUGACAGCAUAUAUGCAGAAGAAUACCCCGUGCCUAUUUGCAUGCAUGUCUCAAGUGAUCUGUUUUCUUCAGAAAAUACAUGAGCAUUGCCAGAAAGAAUGGCAAGAGACAAACAUGUCGUAGAGACUUGCAUGUCUUGCCUUGGAUACGCCAAGAAGAGGGACACAUACAUGGAUAACACAAAUCUAGUGACACGUAUAUUCAUCACAAAGGCAAAUCUGAUAAUUUUAUCCAUGGAGCAGACCAAGGAGAAAUUGAUGACGGACAUGUGAUCUCUGUAUUCAGUUGAAAGCUAAUUGAGCUACACUAAUAUGAGCAGGACUAUAUUCAAGAGACUUGUUGAGAGCUACAGGGAACUUGUAAUAAUUUGCUGGGCGGCCUGCGCACAAUGAUUUGUUAUACAUAGUUGAAAUAUUUCAAGAAUUUAUCAACCUCGUACUCUGAAACCCUUGGUGCAAUGUACUCUGCUUUCCGAGGUAGACUGUUCACGUAAAAUGAGGUCAUGCGUAAGACGGAAUCGGAUUGGAUUCGCAGGGAAUCAGAUUUGGAUAGCACCUUUUAGCAGGUUUUUAGUCAAAUGCAAAUUCGGAUCCAGAUAUGGUUGAAUGCGAGUUCAAAAUUCUACUUGGAUAUCCAUUUAAUUUAGGUGAUAGCAAUUAGCACAAAAUGUUGGAAGAACAAAAUCAUAGUUAGACAUACAAUUACAUGUAUUGUUAAAGUAUAAUACAAUACACCAAGAUUAUUCCUUGAAAAUAUUUCUUAAAAAUAUUAUAAUAAAUGAAUACCACCAACAAAUAGUCGGUGGUCACUAAGUUGGAGCCAUUUCUGGUUACUAAUGCGGCCUGCUCCUCGACCAGCGACGACAGCUGAGCUUGUUCCUUCUGACACCAAAUCAUCAGAGUUUUCCCUCCACUACUAUAGAAUGCACCUUUAGCACCAAUUGGGAAAUCUCCUUCAGUAUCGGAUGCUGCAACCUAUGCUAUGAAAAUGGAGACUAAAAGCCUCGGUCUUGGGUACCGGUUGCAUGACGCAUUACUAAAGGAGGCAAAAGAGAAAUGUAACAAAAAAAUAUUUUGAAUUCCAAGAAUGUUUCACUAUUCAAGAUGACUAGCUGAGAGUCAUCAGACAAGAUACUAGGAACGUGGGUGCUUGAAUGCCAGGUGCUGGAGCGCGGCGAGGCAGUCGUCGUAGCCCGCCGGGAGCGGGUGCUCGGGCGCGAGGUGGUACUCGACGGAGACACCGAGCGUUGGGCGCGCGGCGGCGAGCGCGUUGAGGAAGUGAUCGUAGUGUGGCGACGUCGCGGACUCCGCCACGAAGCCGCCGCCGUGGAUGUACACCACCACGGGCAGCUUCGUCUUGCCGUCAGCGGCCACGGCCGCGGCCUAGGGUGGCAGGUAGAGGCGGAUGGAGCAGGAGCCGAGGUCGACGUCCCCGGAGUCGACGCCCGUGGCGGCGUCCAGGCCGGGCCUGACCGGCGGCGGCACGAGCGACGCGGCCGCUCUUGUAAAUCCAGCAGGUCUGUGCGGAGGCGGGCGGCGGGUGGGAGCGGCGGCGGGUGGUGCGGAGGCCGGCGGCGGCGGGUGGCGCGGAGGAAGGGGAGCUGGUGAGUGGUGACAGGGGAGGGGGGAGAGAGAGAGGGGGGUAGGGUGCAUUGAAUGAGGGCAGGAGGUGUAAAGUGCACCUUUUAGUCCCCAUAAACAACCAUAAGCAUCCCAAGAGUUGCUUAUUUACUUAUAAUAAGCAACCCCAUAAGCAAGAGUGAUUGGUUUCAUAAGCAACUUAUUUGCUUAUUUUAAGUUGCUUAUGCAUAAGCAUGUGAAACCAAACAGGCCCUUAACCUAUGGUUGUGGCACACAACCAUACAGUAGAUAGUAUUUAAUAAUGCUAUUCGUUUGGUAUGUGCAGAAGGGCACGCAUGAAAUGUCUGGCCCACGGUAAACAAGUACGGACGCUGCAAAUAAUCUACUCUGCUCGUCCAGUCCCUAGCCUAUAAAUAGAUGCCAUGCUAGCUCUUGUUGUGCUCACAAUUAAUCCGAUUACACACGAGCUUCUCUCCCUGGCCAAGACACAAUCAUAGUAUGAUGAAGAACAUGGCACUAGCCGGCAAUGGUAUGAAGAAGUUAAUCCUCGCUGUUCUCUUACUGUGUCUAGUUAUAGGGCAGAUACAAGUGGAAGCUAAGAGCUGCUGCCCAUCCACCACUGCAAGAAAUAUCUACAAUACCUGCCGUAUCACGGGUACAUCCCGUCCAACGUGUGCAAAACUGUCAGGCUGCAAAAUUAUCAGCGGGGACAAAUGCAAGCCCCCUAACGACCACCUCACCCUUGACCCGGACACUGGUAAAUAAUAAAUUUAUCUCACUUGAUUUCUUUGUGUUUUGAGUCGUUAAUGUAUUUUCCAUCUGAUGAAACGUAUUGGUUUUGCAUUGAAGAGGAAGUUAAUGUGCUUAACUUCUGCAAGUUGGGGUGUGCGUCGUCUGUGUGCAACAACAUCAACGCUGGUAAGCACCUUUUGCUCAGACAGAGAAAACAAUAAUCAUUAAUUAGCGGCAGCUAGAAUCCUAUAAUCUAAUAUAUAUAUAUAUAAUUUUAUCAGCUCUGGGAAAUGAAGAGGCGAACGAUGCCGUUGAGAGUUGCGACCAAGCCUGCUCUAGCUUCUGCAACGUGCACGUUGGCGCUGCCACCGUGGUUGCUUAAGCAAAUGCAUCCAACUGGAUCGUCCUUGUGCUGAAUAAUUGGAUAUCGUAUCCACUUAAAGCUGCCUUGUGUAGUACGUCUUUGUUUGUGUCUCUCUUUAUAUUCCAAUAAGGUCGGUGAUCUUGAUGCCACACACUCAGACGUGUGUUCAUCUCCAGAUACUACUCCAUGCUACCUACCCUUUGUGUUUUGUUCAAUAACUGGGUAUCAUAUUCCGGCCAGUGUGCCAUCUGUUUUGUGUUUAUUUCCUUCUAGUUCCAAAGGGGUCAUCAUGAUGUUACCUUCUUUCGAUAUGGUGCUUUGCAUGACUACUGUUGUAUGGUACCAUCUUGUUGGCCAAUAAAUACAUCUUAUCCUA